CGCAAACGGAUGACAAGAACACAAUACUUCCAGCUCCCGAGGCCUUGAGAAGGGGAUGUGCGAGCUGGCUCAGAUGGUAAGCCGAUUCGAAGUUAGUUGUCAUGAUGAAGGAAAAAUCUUCUGCUGUGUAAUCCAUGGUCGACUUUAAGGUGUUGGUCCCGACGUUGUUUAUCUACCAGAAAUAAAAACCGAGAACAAAAUCUAUUGAAAGACAAGCACAAAUUGCGGCAUUGUUAUAAAUAUCAUUAUUGGACCCAUAGGAUCAAAGUCGCCUUAGACUCACUAGGAUGUUGAGCUUGCCGUCGAAGACCGAGGACACGGUGAGCAUCAGCUUCUCUCGCUCCGAUCUUGAGGAAACGUCACAAGUUGAACCCGAGACUCGGAAACCUUUGCUCUUCCAAUCUUUCAAGCAUUCAUUAAUUUCGGCUUCAUUCCGGGAGCAGGUAUGCACGGUCGCCCCAAGCCUCGCUAGUUCCUCCACAAUGGCGUGUCUAAUCAUGGUACAAACAAUAUGAUUAUUCACCAACUUUGUGAUUGCGAAGAAGAACAGAUUAAUCCCUUUUUCAUUUCCACUAGGAAAAAUUCUACGUGACAAGACAUCAGUACUUGUGAUACCCAAGAAUGUACGGAAGAUUUGGCUGCGGCAUUGCAAUGGAAGUCAAACCAAUAAUUAAAGCCUUUGAAUGCACUGGAUUUUUAUUUGGGAAACUACAAAAGGAGAAAAAAAAUUCUAUUGGCUAAGUCAAACCAAUAAUUAAAGCCUUUGAAUGCACUGGAUUUUUAUUUGGGAAAUUACAAAAGGAGAAAAAAAUUCUAUUGGCUAAUGGAAGUCAAACCAAUAAUUAAAGCCUUUGAAUGCACUGGAUUUUUAUUUGGGAAAUUACAAAAGGAGAAAAAAAAUUCUAUUGGCUAAUGAUAUCACAAAGACGCAAAUGAUUUACCAACGUCUAAAGGCCACAUACUUUCAAAAAGGUUGUGCAUGAAUCAGUCACCCAGGAACAUCAUUCUCAAAGUAAUUGAGCUCUCUAAUCAAGUCUCUCGUCAUAUAGAGUUUUAACUGGCGAUAAUAUCAAUUUUCUAGCUUUUUAUCCGAGGGAUUGAAGCUUAUUGGAUUCAAAAGCAUCUGCUAUCACUCGAGCGGUUCAAAAAUUUUGUUGGUCGGGAGCCAGUUUGACAUGCUAUGGUUGGAACAAGUUUUUCUAGGCUAGAUAUGACGGAAAAUUCCACUUAAAGUGCUUAAAUCCUCGCUCAAUUUAUUUUGAGUAGGUAUGGGAUUGGCCUAAAAAUCGUAGGCCUUGUAUAUUUUGGCCAGGACAAGAAGUAUCUUGAUCCUAGAUUGCCCCAACCAGUGCAUAAUCCUACUAUCAUUCAAAUUAUUACAAAGGAACGAGAUUUCAAGGUUGACGGUUUUUAGAUACCUAAUUCAUGAUGUUUUCUCUACCAACCUAAAUCAUAACAGAUAAUCAAUCAUCGAAAUCAUCGAUAGAAAACAACGAGGUGUUCGGUAAGGGUCAGAGAGAGAGAGAGAGAGACCCGAUUCCUUUGGUUCCACCGGUGACAAGAGCAGUCAUUCCAUGAAGCGACCACCUGUUUUUGUUGUCGUUGCUGCUGCUAUGGCAUCUACCGGCAGUCCCAUCUCCCUCCGUAGCCAUUGUCACUCUCUCUCUAUCCCAGUUGUGAUUUUUCCCCGGAACUCUUGUUUCUCCUUUUUGUGGGUAAUGCGCCUCUCUAACUUUCCACCCCGUUUUAUGCUAAGUCCUUCACUGGCCCCAGAGAGAGUGACGGCGACUGGAAGAGACUUCCUUACCACACAACUAUGGUGGAGUAAUAAGACCCGUUCCCAGCACGACGCGGAGCCACUACUUACGUACGGUCGUAGAAGUCUCCAACCAAGACUAAUCAACUAUUGUCACUCUCUCUCACAUAUCCAUGACAUAAAAAGGAAAAUAAUAGAAUAAGAAAGAAAAAAAAGAAAUCAAAAUGAUAUUCUUUGACGUUCAAAAAGAAUUCAAUCGACUAAAAAAAAAACUAAGGACAAUAUAUAAAAUUGCUUUGAUGAAUUAAAUAUUUAGAAUUGAUGGAAUUGCCAUUAGAUUUUAAGAAAAUGAACCAUGUCAUUAGAUAGCCAAGUUGUUGCCCUUCGGCUUAUGUAGUGUAAGUGCAUAAUAUUCUAAUAUUGAUCAUGGCAAAGGAGUAAGUCAAAGUCGGCCUUUCUCUGAACUUUCAUGACUAUGACUUUGGCCUUGCAUGGCUGCACCUUAUUUCUGUUCCCAGGAACAAAAAUUUCUGUUUUUUUGUUCCUGGGAACAAAAAAGGAACAGAAACGCGUUUGUGUGCGUUUCUGUUUCUUUUUUGUUCUUUUAUUCCCAAGAACAAAAAAGAAACAGAAACGAGAAACACAAAUUUUGUGUUUCUCGUUUCUGGAUACACAAAUGAGAAACACUUUUCUUUUUCUUUUUCUUUUUUCUCUUAUUUUCUUGUUCUUCUUUCUUUUGGCCGGUCGCCGGCCUUGGCCAUGGCCGGCGACCGGCCGACNNNNNNNNNNNNNNNNNNNNNNNNNNNNNNNNNNNNNNNNNNNNNNNNNNNNNNNNNNNNNNNNNNNNNNNNNNNNNNNNNNNNNNNNNNNNNNNNNNNNCGGCGAGGCCGACCUCGCGCCGGCCUGGGCGAGCUCGAUCUCGCCCCGGCCGCCGAGCUCGUCUCGCCCAGAACCGGCCUCGAGCUCGCCCAGGCCGGCGAGGCCGAGCUCGCCUAGCGGCCGGCGAGCCUCCGCCUCGCCUGGCGGUGGCCCGGCGAGGCCGCCCUCCCCUGGCGGUGGCCCGGCGAGGCCGCGCCUCGCCCGCCGCUGGGCGAGCUCGGCCCUCGCCGGCCGAUCGCCGGCCAAGGCCUUGGUCGGCGACCGGCCAAAAGAAGAAAAAAAAAUGAAAAAGAAAAAAGAAAAAAAGGAAAAAUAAGAAAAAAAUAGAAAAAAUAAAAGAAAUAAAAAAAUUAUCCAAAUUUACCAAACAUGUUUUUGUUUAUUUUUUAUUCCCGGAACAAGUUUACCAAACAUGUAUUUUUGUUCAAAAAUUGUUCCCCGGAACAGAAACACUUUUUUCUAUUUCUGUUCCCUGGAACAAUUUUUAAACAGAAACACAACCAAACGCGCCCUUUGUUUCUCAAAAAAUAAAAGUAUAUUGAUUUUUCUCUGAUAACCAAAUAAUCUUAAAAGUCAUAAUAACACAGUUUGAUAUACACCAUACAACGCUCCUAUGCAUUGUAAGAAAAUUUCUUCUAUUUCUUUUCAAAUUAUUGAGAGACGCCUAGAUGCAUUACCUUCGCAUGUGUCUAAAGAUUUAAAGACUUAUAAAUUGAUACAAUGAUGGCAUAAAAGAUAAAACAUUUUUUUAAUGCCAUUUUUUUUCAAAUGACAAUUUAAAUUGUGGAUUUAAUAGGAGAAAGCAAAAAAGUCGUCAUUCAAAGACUUUUAAAUUGAUACGAUGCUGGCAUAAAAGAUAAAACAUUUUUUUUAGUGCCAAUUGUUUUUCAAAUGACAAUUUAAAUUGUGGGUUUAAUAAGAGAAAGAAACGUAAAGUAGUCAUUCAAUUUAGUAAUAAAGUAGACGAUCAAUUUUUGCUGAGGUAGUGUCUAGGUGGCAGCUACUUUCGAGGAAAAAUCACCAAAAAAGUUUUCUUGCAAUGAGGAGAGGCUAAUUUCAGCGAUCUACAAUGUUAUAGAUUUUUUUAUUAUUCACUUUGAGGUUAUUUUCAUUUAAUUGAUUCUUGAAAUUGAUAUAAAUAGAUAUAAAUAGAUAUUAUAUAACUAAACUGAAGUGAGGCAUUAGCAAAGCAUGCUUAAAAGUGUAUACGGUACCAUAGUUUUUCCAAUCGUACGGUGCAAUGCACUCAAAUUAUCUCAUCCACAUGUAUUUUGUAAGUUUUUCUAAUCAUACGGCAUGCUAGUACUAUGAGUUAAAAACUAUAAUCGAAUAUAAAAAUAGGAUAUUUUGAUUAGCACGUAAAGUCUGCAGCAUCCAAAUCGAACGGUUUGUCUCAUACGCUUGCUACUUUGUCAUCUAUGAUUGAUCAAGAUUGUAUAAAUUGAGAAUUCGGAUGCAUAAAAAAUAUAUAAUCACCGAAAUUAAUUUAUACGACCAUAUCAAGACAUGGGCUACCACUAGUUAAUCAGGAUACCGGUGAUUACAUGAGUGCUGUGAUGGUAGGGUUGAAAUUCAAGAAAGGGGUCGAGAAACUCGUUGGAAGUCUUUUUGUGGACAGAAAUAGCAUCAAAACGGUUCUUUCACUUGUGGCUCCAUGGUGUGGAGCUUCCCAGGAGCUUUUCGCUGAGUAAUACAAGUUGCCUAACUCUAUCUUGAUCAAAAGUCAUGGUCCCUUACAAUCGAGGAGUGCAAAAAUUCAAGCCUAAGUCGGAAAAGCCCUGAUUGGACUCAACCGAGUAAUGUAGUGCCAGCUAAUUUACGAGGGACCGGUGGUUUGGCCUAAAAAUUCUAGGCUGUAUUUAAUCUAGUUUGGUAAAGAUAUAUUUUGACACCACCAUCACUUGAAUUAUUAAAGAGGAACGGAAUUUCAAGAGCAACAGUUUUCAAAUGCCUAAAUUAUAGUAAUUUUUACCUUAACCUAAUCCACAACAGCUGGUCAAUAAUUGAAAUCGAUGACAUAAAAAAAUCAAGUGUUCGAGAUAGGGACCGAUUCCUUUGAUUCCAUCGGUGAGUGAUCCACCUGUUUAUCGUUGUGGUUGUUGCGGCUGCUACAUCUCCUUGCUGUCCUACUCCCCUCUAGAGCCAUUCUCUCUCUAUCUAAAAGAUGAUUUUUCUUUUCCCUUCAACUCUGUUGUUUUCGUCUUUCUUCUUGGGCCCAAUGCGUCUGACUUUCCAUUGUCUUAUGCACAAGUAAGUUGGAGUAGGGUUCCACGGCGAUUCAGGGAACUGCCAUCCGUAGCCUGAGGUUGACAGAAGACGAAGCUUGAAAUUACCACGGAACCGACCAUGGCUGAAAGCCAACAGCAUUCGACCGCGUUUAAUUAUCGACAUCUCUUCGUUCUUCUGCUCUUUUGGGUCCGCGCCCCGUCUGUCCUCCUCCUUUUCCCCGUUUUAGAGAGAGAGAGAGAGAGAGAGAGAGAUCGGGCGCUUUUGAAACUCUGGUUAAACUUUCUUUUAUUGAGCCGCGCAGCUAGGAAUUGUAAUGUCGUUUCGACACUUGAGUUCGAAUUGAUAUUCAGUUAUUUCGAGUUUGAACAUUUUUAUUUUUAUCGUUUGCCUUCGACGUUCUGGACUUGACUUACAUAUUUAUCAGCGAAUGACCCAACAGUAUAACAUCUAAGAUCAUGUUAAAACGUUAUGUUUGUAUUUUGAGAAGGCCCAAAAAAUAAUAAUAAAAAGUCAUUCUAAAUAGGUUCUAAAUAUUUUUAUUGAUAUUACCAAAAAAGAGUAACCUGCUACCCACGAUAUGGCAGGCAGAAGUUGUGGAAGCUUGUUUACAAAGACAACAGUAGCUCCAAACGUUUGAACUCAAUUGAUUUUACAGCAUCGCGUUGCUAUGUCCACGUUCAUGCUCAGAGACUUCCCAAGUUAUGACUUUUGAUUGAUACUGUUGGCCAUGCAUUAAAUGCAACACACGAUGAGAUUCAAGACAACAUUGUUCAAUUAUGUAGGACCUUCUUAGGAAAACUUUUUAAUUGAGCUUAAAAAGUUUCUUAUAGUCGUUUAAGAGAGAGUCUCGUUACUUGUGAGAUGAUCGUUUGGUGAUUGAGGUACUUAUGGAAACAACCAUACGAGGAUUUGGAAAAUUUUAGGAAGACUGUGCAGAAAUGUUCGAAUAAGCAAUCUAUAUAAGGUCGAUUAUUUAAACCAGAGGAAUUUUGAGAUCACAGGAGAACAUUUACGACAUCCCAAAAUCAUUUUGUGCUUAUUGUUGGAAAUUUCCUAUAAUAUAGGUUUACAUUAAUUAAUUGAUUUUUUAUUUUAAAUAAUUGAGUUAAUAGAUAUUCCAAUAUUUAUUGAAUCCUAAAAUGAUCUGAUUAAAUUGAGUAUUGGUAUCUAUUGAUAACGGGUUUGGUUGAGCAACAAAGUAUAGACAAUUAUGUUUGACUGAAACCUAUAAUGGGAAGGGUCCAGUUGACAAGUUGUUGAUUAUGGUUUGCUAGGUUCCUUUAAUCCUAUUGAAAUAUGCUAUAUUAAAAUAGGUAGAGGAAGAUCUUCAAUAGAUCACUAGUUAUCAGAUUCAUCUAUUUUUUUUUUCAAGUGAAACAGCUCAAACAUGUACGUUUUAAUUCCACUAUAUUUAUUAUUCUCGGUGUUUUACAAUCAUAUAUGGAUCCAAUUCUUCUUAAUUAAUUAAUUAUUCAUGCGAAUAAUUUUCUACAUGUGGUAUUAGAGCCGAUCAUAUAUGAUUGUAGAAUCCAUUUUUUUUUUUAUGGACAAAUUCGAAAUCCUCCUCUUUGAGCCGAAUAUGGGCAUUAUUUUUUCGUGUAGAUUUUUUGCUUGAUUGAUUUCGAAAUGAUAGGGCUUUUAUUCUACACGUCGAGAUAUUUCCAACCAUAUAUAAUUUGCAUAAUUUCGUUGAGAAUUGAGAGAGAAUUUUUAGAUUUGAAAUUCUAGGGUUUAUACAUGAAAAAGUUCUAGAAUUUGCAAAUUAUUGCAAUCGAUUGAUGUUUAUUGUAAAUCGAUGCAUGGGUAUUGUUAUAUAUAUAUUUUAGCAUCCUAUUGUUGAAUAAAAGUAAGUUUUUAGGCUUAAACUUAAGAAAUUCGAUAUUCGGCCAUGGGAGGUUAAGAUCCGAAACUUUGAAGCUUGUAUGUGGUAGAUUUACUUGGUUUUUCUUCGUUUAAUUCAAUAUAGUUAAUUAUAUUGAUAUCAUAUGCAAAAUCCAUCAGGAAAUUUCAUAAAAAAUCAUGUUAUUUUGUGUUAGAGCUUCGGGUUGAAACCGGGUCGUGCGACCCGGUUUUCUUCAACUUCGGGACCCGGCUGGAGGUUGAAGAAGACCCUCCAGCCGGGCCAGGCCAGCCCAUCCAUUCUUUCUUUUUCGGCCAGAACCUUUAUGUUUUGAAUGGGCUCUGGAAACACGCCCAUUAGCCAACUUGAAAAGAGGUUCUGGGCUGCCCAGAACCAAAAUAUAAAGGGCUUAGCCCAUAUAGAUUUUUUAAUUUAAUUUCGGUUUUUAGUGUUGUAGUAUCUACCGUUGCGGUAGCAGAAAGCUUUUGUAACUUCCGAUCUACUUGAAUUGAUACCGCAGUGUCAAAAUGAAGCCUUCGAUGGCUUCUGUAAGUCAGAAUCUGGUCUCUUUCUCUCUCUCACUGAACACUUCAUUCUUUUAUGUCGAUGGUUAUGAUGAUCAAUCAUCUGUAUGAUAUAAGUUGAGGAAGAAAACAUCUUGAUUUAAGAAUUUGAAAAUCGUCAAUCUCGAAAUCUCUUUUCUCUAUGAUAAUUUGAGUGAUAGUAGUAGGAUUGUACAUUGACUAGGGCAAUCCACGAUCAAAGUACUUCUUGUCCUAGCCAAAACAAAUUGAGCCUGUAAUUUCUAGGUCGCUAGAAUAAAUCUAGCCAAGAAGGAUGAAUUUAAGCACUUUAAUUGACUUAUUUCCAUUAUAUCCAUGCUCAAGAAAAUCUUUCUGAUCGAAGCGUGUUUGACCGAGCUUCCGACCAUCUAGAUUCUUUUAACUGCCCGAGUGACAGUGGAUGCUUCUGAAUCCAACGAUGUUCGACUCCAUGGAUAAAAGAAACUAGGCAAUUGAUGUCAUCACCAUUUAAAACUCUAUAUGAUGGAAACGACGAGACUUGAUCAGAGAGCUCAAUUCUUUUGAGGAUGUAGUCACUGGGUGAUUGAUUCAUAGGUAGCCUUCUUAAGUUCUGUAGCCUUUUGACCGUGAUAACUCAUUUGACAUUAUUAUUAGCUAAUAGAAUUUCUUUCUCCUUUUGUGAUUUCCCAAAAAGAAAUCCUGGCCCUUCAAAGGCUGUAAUUAAUGGUUUGACUUCAAUUGCGAGUGCGGCCACAUCUACUGCACAUUCUUGGAUAUCACACAGAAUUUCUACUUCCGGAAAAGAAGAGGGAUUAAUCCGUUCCUGCUUGCAAUCACGAGUUGGUAAAAUGAUCAUGUCGUUGUGCCAUGAUUAGGCAUGUCGUUGUGGAGGAACUAGCGACGCUUAGGGCCACCGUGUAUACCUGCUCCAGAAAUGAAGCCGAAAUCAAUGAAUGCUUGAAAGAUUGGAAGAGCAAGGGUGUUCAGGUCGCAGGAUCGGCUUGCAACAAGUGGAUCCUUGUAAGUCUAAGUCGUCUUUGAUCGAGUGGAUCCAAUAACAAUAUUUAUAAUAAGGUUGCACCUUGUGCAUGUCUUUUAAUGAAUUUUGUUUUUGGUUUUCGUUUGUGGCAGAUAAAUGACAUUAGGACCAACACUCUGAAGGCGACCAUGGAUUACACACCAGAAAAUUUUCCCUUCCUCAUGACUACUAAUUUCGCUUACCAUCUAAGCCAGCUUGGACAUCCCCUUCUCAAGGCCUUAGGAGCUGGAAGUAUUGUGUUAUUGUCAUCCAUUUGCGGCGCUGUUUCAAUGAACACCGGAUCAAUCAACUCAGCCGCCAAAUGUACAUUAACAUUAUCAUAAAUAAUUAUCUUGACACUGUUAUAUGGAGCUAAACAAAUUGCGGCUGUUUUCUGUUUUUGUAUUCAAAUUUUUUGGUAGGAGCAAUGAACCGGUUGACCAAGAAUUUGGCAUGUGAAUGGGCUAAGGAAAACAUAAGAAGCAACUAUUUUGCACUACGAACCGAGCCAGUAAUUUGAUCUCACAAGGCUUUAAAUUUUCUCUCCGGCUCAAGAAUGUUUCAUUACAUAGAUCUUGAUCAUGUUUGUGUUGGAACCAAAAGGACUUGGAGGGAGAGAGUACACACACAAAGAGAGAUUAUAUUACACAAUAUACCUUGCAAAGGCUUAAUAGAGUACACACACUAACUUUGUUAAGCUUAAAACUCUCUCUAAAAUCUCACUCUCUCACACACUAAAUAAACUAGUGUAACCCUAUAUCUAUAAGCACUUCACCGCCUGGACUACAAACGUGCAAGAGUUGAAGUUGAAUUUUUCUUCUUGGCAGUCAAAAAUUGUGGGCUGCGUUUCCUUCACGUCCAAGUUGCAAGCCACAAGUUCACCUUCCUUCGUACUUCUUGAGAUCUCCAGCAGCAAGUAUAAUAAUAUUUUAUUGUGUGCCCAAGAUGCUUGUAGUUUCUUCAUGAUUUUUCUUCUCCGGCGGUUUAAAGAGACGUGGUGUUGCAGCACACGUUUCUUUGGCGGUUUACAAACCGACUAACUCUUGCUUUCACACACAUAGUCAAAAAACAAUUAAAAGACAAAUAAGCUAAUCAAAACACAUAACCAAUUUUACUAUUUUCUAAUAGCCUCCCUUAAAAUUGAUUUUGUAAAACUAUGACACCAAGCAUUGUCUUCAAUUUCUCGAACAAAUCCGCCUUCAAUGGUUUUGUCAAAAUAUUUGCAAUCUGGUCUUCAGAUUUACAGAAAUCAAGUUCAAUCUCACCUUCUUUAAUCAGCUCACGAAUAUAAUGAUACUUGAUGUCGAUAUAUUUGCUCCUGCCAUGAAAUAUGGGAUUCUUGGCCAAUGCAAUCGCUGACUUGUUAUCACACAUCAAGUUAGUAGGACCUUUUUGUUCAUGCAUAAGCUCAAAAAGCAUCCUUCGAAGCCACAUCGCCUGACAUGCUGCUGAAGAUACUGCAAUGUAUUAUGCUUCAGCUAUUGAGAGUGCAAUAACUUGUUGUUUCUUUGAUGACCAAGAAAUUAUUCCUGAUCCAAGAAAGAACGCAUAUCCGGAAGUGCUCUUCCGUGUUUCAGUAUCACCUGCCCAAUCACUGUCUAUAUACCCCACUAAACUGAAAUUGUCAGUGUAAGUAUAAAAAAUUCCAUGAUCACGAGUUCCACUGACAUACCUUAAAAUUCUUUUUGCUGCUUGCAAAUGUGAUUGGUAUAGUUUCUCCAUAAAUCGACUAAUAAUUCCCAUGCCAUAAGUUAUAUCUGGCCUAGUGGUAGCCAAAUAUCUUAAACUGCCAACAAUACUUUUGAAAUAAGUGGGAUUUACCAAUUCACCGGUUCCUUCUUUCUUCAACUCCAACCGUUCUGCUACAGGAGUUCGAAUUGAUUUGAGCGUUUCCAUAUUGAAUCGCUUCAAAAUAUUAUUAGCAUACUUCUGCUGUGAAACAAAUAUGCCUUCAUUUGUCUGCUUCACUUCAAGGCCCAGAAAAUAGGACAUUAACCCCAAAUCUGUCAUCUCAAAUUGACUUGUCAUGGCCUCCCUGAAUUCAGCAAACAUCUUCUCACAGCUUCCUAUAAAUAUCAAAUCAUCAACAUAAAGGCAAACAAUUAUAACAUUGUCGUUAGUAUUUGACUUGAUAUACAGUGUAUGCUCAUAAGGGCACUUUUGAAAGCCAUACUCCAACAGGUAAGUAUCAAUCCUCAUGUACCAAGCUUGAGGUGCAUGUUUUAGCCCAUACAACACUUUCUUCAGUUUAUAAACUUGAUUUUCACGCCCUUUCUUCACAUAACCUUGUGGUUGCUCCACAUAUACUUCCUCAUCGAGAAAACCAUUAAGGAAUGCCGAUUUCACAUCCAUUUGAUGGAUUUUCCAACGGUUUUGAGCUGCAAGUGCCAAGAUCAUUCGAAUGGUAUCCAUUCGAGCCACUGGUGCAAAUACUUAAAUAAUCAAUACCUGGCUUUUGCUUGUAGCCUUUCGUCACCAGUCUAGCUUUGUAACGGUCCACCUGAUCGUUGGGUUUGUACUUCGUUUUGUACACCCACUUGACACCUAUAGGCUUCGAACCAGGUGGUAAAGAAGUUAGCACCCACGUGUCAUUCUUUCCAAUGGAGUGGAUUUCUUCAUCCAUUGCUUGGUUCCACUUCUCAUCUGCUGCUGCAUCAUCAUAGGAUAUGGGGUCACAUUCGGUAAAUACACAAAAGUUUACCAUUGUUUCAUCAGUGAUUUCGUCACUGUCAUUAUGAUCAACUCUUGUGACCACAUAAUCCUUGAAUUUUACUGGCGUCUUCUGCAGUCGUCGUGAACGACGAAUCAAUGGUUUUGCAGUCGUUGCUGAUGAGGAGGAUGAACUGCCAGGUGAAAGUGAUGGAUCUUCAAUUGAAGAUUCUUCGGUCUCCCUCACCAAUGGUUCAUCUUCCAUAGGAAUGUCUUUUUGGUCAGCCUUUUGAUUCCAGUCCCAGGCUUCAUCUUCAAAAAAUUGGACAUCCCUGCUAAUAAUUACCUUCUCCGUGACAGGAUUAUAUAGCUUAUAACCCUUAGUCACAUUACUAUAUCCAAUGAAAAUACACUUCUCGCUUUUAUCAUCCAACUUUUUUCUUCGUUCGUCUGGUAUAUGGGGAUAUGCUACGCACCCAAAUACCUGUAGGAACGAAACAUCUGGCUUGUUGCCGCUCCAAGCCUCUUCUGGAGUUCUUCCAAGAACACUCCUUGUUGGACACCUGUUCAACACAAAUACAGCACAAGCAACGGCUUCUGUCCAAAACUUCUUCGGUAAUGCUUUAGCCUUUAGCAUACUUCUUGCCAUUUCAAAAAUUGUUCUAUUUUUUCUUUCUGCUAUACCGUUUUGCUGAGGAGUAUAGCUAGCAGUCAACUGACGUUUCACUCCAUGAAUUUUACAAUAAUUGUCAAAUUCAUUGGAAGUAAACUCUCCACCUCUAUCCGAUCUCAAUGUCUUUAAAUUAAAGCCACUCUAUUUCUCAACAUAGACUUUGAAUUCUUUAAAUUUGCCAAAAGCUUCGGAUUUUUCUCUCAAAAAAUAAGCCCAUGUUUUUCUAGUAAAAUCAUCGACAAAAAUUAGUGUGUACCUUUUUUGUCCAAAUGAUUCCACCUCAACAGGGCCACAUAUAUCUGUAUGUACCAACUCCAGAGGUUGCUUGGCUCUUCUAGUUCUCCCAAUUGGAAAAGAUUUCCGAUGUUGCUUUCCAACGAGACAUCCUUCACAUGAGCGGUCUGGAGCGUCGAUCAAGGGCAUGCCAGUCACAUCUUUUUCUGGACUAGUAAUUUAAGUCCACGAAAAUUUAGAUGACCGAACCGAAGAUGCCAUAGCCACUUGCUAUCUUUUGUCGUUGCUUGGAAACUCAAUAGAGUCUUCAUCUGAAGGGAUAGAGGAAACAUCCGGUUCUUCGUCAUCUGUGUCGUCGUAAUCAACUUAUUGUUUGCGCCUCUAAUGGUGCACACACCAUUUUCAAUGUUAACUUUGUGGCCUUUUUCGGAUAGUUGCCAAACACUCAGCAAAUUCUAAAAGAGUCUUGACACAAAGUAAACGUCUGCAAUAGUAACAUUAGUACCAUCUUUUGAGUUGAUAUCAAUGUUACCUUUGCCAUCACAGGAAUUUUGGAUUUAUUCCCGAAGUUGACUUCACCAUGAAUUGUCUCAUCUAACUUCGAAAAUAGCUCCUUUUGACCACACAUGUGAUUGCUGCACCCAGUAUCAAGGUAUCAAAUUUUUGUGUUCAUGGUACUUGAGUCAUCCAUUUGGCAUGCUAACACCACGUCUUCAUUUGUAUCGACAGCGUGCACAUAUUCUGGUUGCUCUUGCCUCAUGUUUGCUUGACAUUCGGAUUUGUAAUGUCCGAAUUUGUUAUAGUUAAAACACUUGACUUUUGAUUUGUCACGUGUUUGAUAUCUUUUAGUGGAAUUCAGAUUUCCACCUCCACCUCGGGCACCUCCACGACCUCAGCCACCAUGAUGACCUCCUCGAUUUGAUUGAGUGACCCGACUCUGCAGUGCUUGCUCAGUAUUCGAACUGAUAGACUUUUGGUUCAUUCUUUGCUCAUGUGAGCAUAAUGAUCCCAUCAACCGCUCCAAUGUCAUGGUUGAUAUAUCUUGGCCUUCUUCGAGCGGCGCAACAACGUAGUCAAACCUUUUAGUCAAAGACCUAAAGAUUUUUUCUACGACUCGUACAUCUUGGAGUUCUUCACGAUUAACCCUCAGUUGGUUAACGAUGGUUUGUACACGAUCAAAGUAAGCCGAGAUAGAUUCAGAGUCAUUCAUGCGUAAAGACUCAAAAUCUCCUCGAAGUGUUUGGAGCCGCACCCGCCUGACACGAUCAUCACCUUUGUAGGAUUUUUGCAAUAUAUCCCACGCUUCUUUCGCUGUCUCAGCACUCGAUAUUUUUUCAAAUAUCAAUUCCUCUACGGCUUGAAAGAUCGCAUAUAAUGCUUUCUGAUCUUUCUUUCGAGAUUCCACCAACGCUUCUUUCUCCUCCUUCCUCAAAGCAUUGAAUUCUUUAGCAUCAGCUAUUUCGGUGUAGCCGUUCUCCACCAGGUUCCACAAAUCUUGGGACCUGAAUAGAACCUUCAUCUGGAUGGACCAGUCGUUGUAAUUUUUUCCGUUCAACUUUGGAAGUUGCAACUGAACAAAACUAGUGGAUGCCAUUGCUAGCUCUGAUACCAAUUGUUGGAACCAAUAGGACUUGGAGGGAGAGAGUACACACACAAAGAGAGAUUAUAUUACACAAUAUGCCUUGCAAAGGCUUAAUAGAGUACACACACUAACUUUGUUAAGCUUAAAACUCUCUCUAAAAUCUCACUCUCUCACACACUAAAUAAACUAGCGUAACCCUAUAUCUAUAAGCACGUCAUCGCUUGGACUACAAACAUGCAAGAGUUGAAGUUGAACUUUUCUUCUUGGCAGUCAAAAAUUGUGGGCUGCGUUUCCUUCACGUCCAAGUUGCAAGCCACAAGUUCACCUUCCUUCGUACUUCUUGAGAUCUCCAGCAGCAAGUAUAAUAAUAUUUUAUUGUGUGCCCAAGAUGCUUGUAGUUUCUUCAUGAUUUUUCUUCUCCGGCGGUUUAAAGAGACGUGGUGUUGCAGCACACGUUUCUUUGGCGGUUUACAAACCGACUAACUCUUGCUUUCACACACAUAGUCAAAAAACAAUUAAAAGACAAAUAAGCUAAUCAAAACACAAAAUCAAUUUUACUUUUUUCUAAUAGUUUGUGAAGAGAACACAUGCUGAAAACCAGAUUCAUCACAAAAUUUUGUAAAGUCUUGAUUUUCAAAUUCGCCUCCAUGGUCUGUCCGUAUAUUUGAAAUAACAUAUCAUUUCUUAUUUUGGACAUUUUUAGCAAACUUUAUAAAAUAGGAAAAUGUUUCAGAUUUACUUGCCAAGAAAUAUACCCAAGUGAAUCGUGAGUAGUCAUCCACAAUUAUUAGGCAGUAUUUCUUACCUCCAAUACUCUGAGUUUUGGUUGGUCCAAAGAGAUCCAUGUGCAAGAGCUACAGUACACGAUUAAUGGAUACUUGAUUUAUUGGUUUGAAUGAGUUUCUUAUCUGUUUUCCCAACACACAUGGUGCGCAUAGAUCAGACUUUUGAUAUGUCAGUUUGGGUAGUCCACGAACAAGCUUAUUUGCUGAGAUUUUGGCUAUUUGCUUCAUGUUAAUGUGUCCAAGUUUUCUGUGCCAUAAGUUUGUUUCCUCUUGAAUUGAGAUUAGACAUUGGGUUUCAUCUGGUUUUAUAUCCAAGAGGUAGAUAUUCCCAUGUCUUCGCCCCGUGAAGGACCGAGAGGAAUCUUUACUGGUUCAUGAACAUAUUCUUUCUUGAAAGUUGAUUUUGAAACCAAUAUUACAUAGUUGACUGAUGCUCAACAAGUUGUAGUUGAGUCAUUCUACUAAAGAAACAUUACUGGUCGUAAGGCUUCCAAUCUUUACAGUUCUGUAUCCCACAAUUUUUCCUUUGCUAUUUCUUCCAAAGGAAACUUUUCCACCACUAACUUGUACAAGUUUUAUGAAGCAAUUUGAGUCUCCUGUUAUAUGUCUUGAGCAUCCACUAUCCAAGUACUAUUUAACCUUUUUUUCUUGAUAGUGACCUGCAUUUAGAAAAGAGACUCAAGCUUUCUUUGGUACCCAUAUUUUCUUGGGUCCAUUGGUGUUAGUGUAAUAUACGGUCUUUGCUUAUAUUUUCUUAACAUGUUUCCAAACCAUAAGACAUUCUUUCUCAAAAUGAUCUGAGUUAUUGCACUUAGAACAUUUAAGAGCACUGCAACCUACUGAUUUUACAAAAACUUUUUGGAAAUGAUUUUUGUAAAAAUCUCUUGUAGGUCUUUGCUUACUUCUUUCAUUUACUUUAGGAAAAUCAAUUAGAGGAAAGUAGUCAUUCCUAAACCUGAUUUGUUGAAGCAAGGUCUUUGUGUUGAAAGAAUUUUUUCAAGUUUCUCAGAUCCUAUAGAAAAUCUUUUAGAAAUAUUUGAGAUAUCAUUUUUCAAGAAUGCAUUUUCUUUGGAAAGAUUGUCUACCUUUUCUUUCAAAGUAGUAACACUUUUGUCUAAAUUUUUGACCUUUUCUUUCCAAACAUUUUCCUGUUGUUUCAAUGCAGAAUUUUCUCUUUUAAGUUCUGAAAUCCUUUUGAGAGAGAUUUUGAGAUUAAGACACAAUUCAUCAAUAUAUCUAGAGACUUUAGUAGGGAUUUUCAAAUUAUUUACCUCAAUUUCACUGUCUGAAUCUAAGUCUGAUUGUGCUAUAAGACAGAUAUUGGCAUAAUCAUCAUCACUUUCAUCACAUUCUAUAUCACUCCAAGUUUCUGCUUUAAGUGUCUUUCGACAUUUCUCAGUUUUUCCUUUCUUUUUCUUCAGAAGGGGACAGUUAGGUCUGAUGUGUCCCCUUUUCUUGCAUUCAAAGCAGACUAUAUCCUUAUUGGAUUCAUCAUCCUCAACUGAUUUAGUCUGUUGCUUUUGAAAACUUUGUUUCUUUGGAUUGAAUCUUCUUUCAUUUCUAUUUAAUUUUCUGAAUCUUCUUAUCAUGAGAGCAAGCUCUUCAUCAUCCAUAUCGUCUUCAGAAUCUGUGACAUCAGAAUCAUCAUUAGAUUUUAAUGCAAUUGAUUUCUUACCUUUAGGAUCUUCAUCUUCGUUGAUUUGCUCCACUUCAUAAGACUGAAGAGUCCCAACCAAUUCGUCAACAGAGAGUGGUCUUUGUGUCUCUUUUACUGAGGUCUUUAUGUGAUUCCAAUCCUUGAACAGUCUACGCAGUAGCUUGUUUACCUUCAUGGGUCCAAAAAUUGGUUGAUGUUGAUAUUCAAGACCAUUCACGAUUUUUGUAAAACGACUAAACAUGUCAGUGAUAGAUUCUCCUGGUUUCAUCUUAAAUGCUUCAUAUUGACUGAGCAGAAUGUUGAUUCUGGUUUCUUUCACUCGAUUGGUUCCUUCAUAGGUGAUGUAUAAUUUAUCCCAGACUUCUUUAGCUGUUUCACAAGAAGAUAUUCUAUUAUAUUUAGUAGGAGAUAAUGCACAAUAUAAAGAAUAAAUUGCUUUCGCAUCAAGAGCUUGUCUCUUGGUUAUCUCUUCUUGAGUCAUUUCGCUAGACUCAACAGCUUCUUUUCCUCUUUCUAAGACUGGUGCAGCUUUAGGAAUGAUUCUUUUGUCUGCCACAUCCCAUUCCAAAGGAUCCUUUGAUCUUAGGAAUGCCUUCAUCUUGUUUUUCCAUAUGUUGUAUUCCUUUCCAUCAAAAUAAGGCGGUCUGGUAUUGCUUUGCCCUUCAAUCAGUCUUGGAGGUAACAUACUAGCCAUAGAUCUUUAAUUCUGAAGUAAAAUACUUCAACUUAAGUGAGUACACAGGCUCUGAUACCAAUUGCAAAAGCUAGUACGAGCACCUAGAGGGGGGUGAAUAAGUGUAAAAACAAAUUUCCAAGAUAAGUGUGCAACACUAAUCAACAAUAGAUGAUGAAAAGGAAGUUAGACUCUUGCAGACUAAAUGAAUUACGAUCAAAGUAAAAGAGCGUAGAGAAGAGAAUAAGAAUAUGAAAUUUAUAGUAGUUCAGCUUAAUCCAAGCCUACGUUUACUCUUUCGCACUGAUAGCCCACUGGCUGGAUUUCACUAUGAAUCAAAAGAGUUGUUACAGUAAAGCUCUUCUUUGAUUCCACAGUGUAGGGACUCUGCUACACUUCCUUAAAGUCUCUCAAAGAUAUAGACUCUUUUUUGAGUACAAGAUUUCGCUCAACAAUUUAAUUGACUAAGAAUAAGGAGUUUCAGACUUUGGAAUUCUUCUAUCGCGUACACACUCGAACAAUUGGAACGUCUUCCUUAUAUACUCCUUCAUGCCAUCACACCCGUUGGCACUUACUAAAGGAAUUCUUCCAAUCUACCUGUUGGACAGAAUCAAUUAUGAAGAUUUCGAGCUAUUUAAGGAAUAUGAUGAUAGCCCACCAAUCAUGCUCGCCCAUACAAUCAGGAUCUAGGUUUCCAUAAGUAGAAUCUUCCAAGUAUACUUCGCCAAUCAACGGAUCCAAAAUCCCUGAAUCAAUCUCAAUUUGAAUAAUGGAUUCCAAUAUGCUGUAUCCAACCAAGAGAUCUUCUUUAGUCGAUAUAAUCAAAUCCUUAGUGAAACAUUCAGUUUCGGAUAAGUUUUCUUCGACGGUCUAGAAACUGUCAAUGAGGAUAGAUUUUGGGUCUUGAGUCUAGCAGUCUGGAGGUCUUCAGACUUUGAUGAAAGAGUUUGCAAGUCUUCAGACUAGAGUAAUGGAAACUUUUGUCAACUUCAAAACACUCAAGGAAGUUUUCUCCAACAGUCACGACCCUCCCCUAGAUUCCAGAGUUGCCAGCCCUUGCCCAAAGGGGCCAAGGGCUGCCAUUGGCCACAAUAACCCUCAUCCUAGAUUUGGGCAAGGGCCUGCCACUACCUAGGGGUUGAUGACACCAGCCAACCCUCGCCCCAUCAUUGCCUACCCUUUCCAGCAAUGGUGGGUGGCGACAACGAGGCUUUAACCCAAACCGAACCUGUUCCCCCUUCUUUUUUUUUUUUUUCUUCUUCUUCUUCUAAUUUAAAUAAUUUAUUUUUUUAAUUAAUAUUAAAUUAAUAAAUUUAGGGGCAAAACGAUGUCAUUUUACACCUUCAUUGCUAAAUUGGCUUCCAGCGAACCACAUAAAUCACAUAUAUUAUUAAAAAAAAUGCCAAGUCGGAUUUUUGGCUACUUUCACCAAACUUGGCAUUGAAGUGUCUCAUUAUUAAAAAAAAAAAAGUGGCAUUUAAGUGUUUGAAAUUUUUAGCACUAAAGUGUUCGCUUAUGCCAAGUUUUGGCAUUCUCGAUGUACUUUCUCUAACAUCUAACUAUCAAAAGAAUAUUGAAAAAGUUUAUGUUGGUGCCUAACUUAUGCCACAUAGGACUGCCGAUAUCCACGUCAAUUAUUUCCAGUCUAAAUUGGCUGAAUAAACUGAAGUGGUACCAAAGUAAAAAGGUUUAUGACUAAAGUUUAGAACUGAAUUUGUACCAAUACAAUAGGUUUAUGAUUUUUUUGGUAUUGUUCCUAAUUAUCAAGGCCAUUAUAUCAGACAUGUUAAUACUCGCCUAAUCUUGGUUAAGUGGGUAGUGAUAGUGAUAGCCACCCUCCUAAAGGCAACAUGGAUUCCCCGAGGAAUGUUAACAGAUUGCUAAGCGAGUGUGAAUAGCUACUCUCGCAAGGUGAUGCCUUUGCCUAACAUGAGCCCUCCCAAAUUUACCGAUCACAACCUAAUUUCUCCAAUAAAUUAUUCAAGCAAUAUUAGACUUAGAAGUUACCACUAACCUAUUAAGCAUCGAGUAGCAACCUAGAUAGGGUGUAGCGGUCAAUCUUACUCCCAAGAACCAAAUUUAAUUAUGCUAUAUGAAUCUAACAUUGUUUUGGUACCCUUCUCUCUAUAAAAUCGUUUUGUCAUAUUAUUGCUUAAAAGUGAUCAUGAAUGGUUCUCAAGCAAUAAAAUAAACAAUCAGACAAUAAACAUCAAAUAAUGAAAUAAUAAAUAUCUAGCAAAUAAAUAAAUAACUUGAAUAGCCGAAUUGGGCAAUAAUUAACAAAGUUUUUUUUUUUAUAGGCUUCAGGGUAAAAACCCAUGUGCUAUAUAGGUGGAAAGUUUAAGGGCACGCGUGACAAAAUUUCUAUUCUAGAAAUUAGUUUUUGACCAGAAAUUGAUUUCUCAAUUUCUAUUCUCUAGACAAGUUUCUGAGCAAAGAAACUCGUUUGAUAACGACUCAAAAUUUCUAUUUCUAGAAUAGAAAUCCGUUUGAUAACAAAAUAAAAUUUCUAUUUCUAGGAAUAGAAAUUGAUUAGAUAACAACAUAUGAAAUCCUCAAAUACAAAAUAAUAGUCGAAAUAAUACUAAUACAUUACAAAAGUUAAAAAUACAAUUUCAUGGAAUUUCCAGCAUAUUAUUAUUCAUUGCCAUUAAUAGUUUUCCUAAGCGUAUUUAUUUGGUUUUCCUCCUUAGACAAUAUAUCGUUUGCAAGCUUAUCUUACGUAGGUUCAGACAAGUACUGCGGAAGCAUAAUAUGGGUGCCAUCAAUGGCACCUAUACAGGCCUAUCAUUUUAUCAAAGACUAGUAUUAUAUAAUAUUAUCAACAAAAUAAAAUUGAUAGUGUAAAGGAAUAUAUGAGAAUUCUACCUUUAAAUAACGUUUAUGGUUAGGAACCAAUCGGGGGAAUGUCAGUUUAUUUUGAUUCUCGAAUUGAAUCAGUCCAGUUGCUCAUCCCUAAUUUCUUUAUUGUUGCUCAAUGAACCUUUAAUGGCCAUUGCAUAGCAAAGAGAGAGAUUCUCUUGAAUCUCUUGCCUUUGAAUUAAAAUUCAAGAUUGUGUAACAAUCUAAUUAUUUUGAUUUUGCAAGAAUUUUGAAUCCGUAAAGAAACAAGGUUAAAUUUCUAGGCACGUUUUUUAUUCAUCUAUUGCAUAAGAACUUUUUCUUCAACUGGCCAUGCAUGUGGCCUUUUUAGGAGGAAAGAGCCCAAUUGUUUUUAAAUAAGCAUUUAAGAACUUUGGUCGUUUUUGAAAAUUGGGGACCCAUUCGAUUGCCUUUCAUCCUAAAGAGGAAGUUAUAAAAAAAAAUGAAAAAAAAAACAUGAGCAAAAUUAGAAAAAGAAAAUUAGCAAUAAUUUGUGAAGUUGUGGUUAUAAGUGAAUUAAGUUAGCAAGAAAGCACAAGGUUCUUUUAUAUGGUUUGAUUUCCGCUUCUGAUUUCUAUUUCAGAAACUGAGAAGUUAAAAAUUUCAAUUUUUGAUUUCUUCGAUUUCUCUAUUUCUAGAAUAGAAAUUUGUUUCAGAAGUAAAUAAAUCAAAUUGCGUUACCAAACAGAUUUAUGUUCCAAACCUGUUCCGGAGAACAGAGAAACAGAGAAAUCAAGAAAUAUAAAUUUGAUCAUGCGCGCCCUAAAAGUACUUUUGCAAACUUCCUAAAAUAGACAAUUGUAUCAAAGGAAAGCGAAUAUGGAAAUGUAACAUGCUAUGUAAAAUAAAUAUACCAAAUGAAGUGUUUUCUUGAAAAUGAGCCAUUAAACAUGGGAAUAGAAUUUAAUGUUAUGCAAUGCAAUACUAAGGCUAUAUUUCGAAGCUAGUAUAAAAUUCAAAAUAGGAUAUUAUCAUAUCCUACAUUCGGUGUCGCUCAAGAUAGGAUAUAGUUAAAUAUAAAUGCUAUAGACCGAAUAAUAUUAUCUUAUAGCGAAAGUGGGAUAAAAUGUGGAUGUGAUUUCUAACAUCUAUAAAAGGAAAGUUAUUUUUUUCGAAUGAAAAACUUCUUAAAUUAACAAAAUUUUAUUAUAUUUCAAUAUAAAUAAUAUUUGAAUUCUAAUAUAAGAAAUUCAAAUUAACAAAAAAUGACAAUUUAUUUAUUUUAUUUUAAUAUUAUUUUAUUUUUUAUAAUUGAAUUUAAUUAUAUUUUAUAAUAUAAAUUCAAUAUAUAAAUAUAAAUAUAUAGUAUUGCAUAUUUUAGGUACUUUAGUAUUUUAGGUAUAUUAGUACAGUUUACUAUUUAAUAAAAUUUUAUUAGAGAAUGAUGGAAGGGCAAGAAAGAAAUAAAAAAGAAAUUAAUUGAUAAAAGUGAGGAAAAUAAAAUAAAAUAAAGUGGGCAAGAGUUUCGCGAGAGUUUUUUACCAUCUCCAUUUGUAAAAUUUGUUUAUUCAUUUAUACUAAUACACUGUUAAUAUCAAAUAAUGUACAUGAUAUAAUGUGAAUAGAUUCAACUUGAUUACUGCAAUCACUAAACAAUGGAUAUGAUAUAACAAAAUCUUUGGAUUUCAUAUCUUAUCAUAUUCAAUCAUAUUAUAGUUAAAAAUUCAAAUGACCAAACAUAAUCUAAAAGAAUGAAUCUACUUAUAUAAUAUUAAUAUGCCCCUGAAUGCACCCUUAUACAUUUUUUUUGUGAUUAUUCAAAUGAAAAUGCAAUCUAAUUACUAGAAGAAAUUAUAUAUAUAUUUUUAUAUUUUUAUUUUAUAACUUGUGAUUAUGGUAACAAACAUAUGAAUAUGCCGAUAGAAUAAUACUUCAAUUUGACAAAUUUAGUCAUAAAAUUUUCAAUAUUUUAACAAUGUAAUCCAAGGCCGAUUAUCAUUGAAGUGUGAGGCAUUUUAUGUGGUAUGGUGAGUUUUAAUGUAGAUAAUUUUUUAAAAUUUUUCUAAAUUUUCUUCUUUCCUUCCUUUCCUUUUCUUUCUCUUUUCUUUUUGUCAGUGGUUGGUCGCUAGCUUGGUGAGGGUCGCCCUCACUAGCUACAUGCGACUGUUGGCUGUGCCUAGGCAAGCCCUAGUGAGGCCGCUUUGGCCUGGGCGAGGGACCCUCACUUAGGCUAGGGUGGCCUCACCAACACUUGCCCUCCCCUAGAGAAGGUUGGCCCUUGCUAGCCAAUAAAGUUCAAAAAAAUUGUAAAAAAUAUCUACAUCAAUGCUAACUGUAUCAUAUAGAAUGGCAGACAUCUAGCUAGUGAUUUUCAGUCAAAAUUGGCCAAAGAGACUACAUUGACAAAUUGUCAAAAUGUUUAUGAUUUGAUUAGUCAAAUUGAAAGGUUUAGAAUCGAAUUGGACUUUAUUAAUAAUUUCCCUGACAAUUUCCUAUAUAUUGGAUCUCUAAUUAUUUAACAUGUGAUUCAUGAACCAUGAAAACAUUAACUUACGUAAAAAGUCGUGUCCAUCCUAAGAUGUAAUCAAACAACCACGAACAAGUGCGUACAGGAAACGCUUCUAUUGUCGGUCUUCUAUCCUUUUGGAAAUGAUAGGACGAUGCAUGCAAAAGAGUCCAUAUUUUUAUCACGUGAGAUGCAUCCUAAAGAUAAUCAAUUAGGCCCUUCAUCUCAUCCCAACCUAGACAGCACGCAUCUCCGAUUGCGCUCAAGAAUUUGGUUCGAUCCCUCGCAUCGUGCAAUCCUGUUUAGUCGAUUGUUGCGAGCUAAGACAAAUCACGUUCAGGAACGGCGUGCAAAUGGUUUAUGACCAGUUCCUAAGGGUAGUCGCAAUUAGGGACCAAAUAAAAUCAAUAGCGAGCGAAUCAACAGUCUCAAUGUGUUCAGCAAUUCGAAUAGGAUGGCAUUGUCUCGAUCAAUUCAAACUAGCAAACACAAUCACACUUGUUGUCUCGAAAUGAUCGGCGGCUUGAAUAGGAUGGUAGCAACUCAUUGUCUUGAUUGACUCAAACUAGCAAACACAGUUACAUAGCUUUGCGAUGUCUACGACUAAGAACAAAAAAAUUGGCAACAAUGCCUUUUGUGAUGGCUUGAGAUGGAUGCAAUAAUUGCGAUGUGAAUGAUGCUAUGCGAUCAAUGUAAGAGUUUUCCUGAUGUGGACUAAAUUAAUUGAUAUUGUAAUUUACUGUUUUUACGGUUAUCGUAAAAUAAUGUUGAUCUAAGGUGAGAUAGAAGGUUUUUUAAUUAGUCAAAUAUGAGAUUGGCUAUUGUGAGCCAAGUUAAGCCUGGCCUGUAAUGAGGGGGUCUUACUGGAAACUCUAUAAAUAGUACUCAAGUCUCUCCUCUAACCCUAAUUCUCACAUUAUCCUCACCUAAGGGGCAUUUACCUAACUCUACACGUGAGGGGGGUCACCUCAUUGAACCAGUGAUACGGAGGGAAAUAGAGGAGAAUGACUUGAUGCGUGGAUCCCCUUGAUAUGUGGGUAAUCCCUUUUCUGCUUCCGUUUUAUGUUCGAUGGAUUCCAAAAUAGGUAUAUUAAUCUUUCUACUCAAUUAUGCAUGUUCUUGUUCUGGUUAUGGAGAUCUUGGGAUUGCGUGAUUUGCAUCCAACAUGUGGUAUCAAAGUAACCAUAACCUUAGAACUCGAACGCAUAAGAUUUGUGCUAUAAUUUGUGAUUUUCGUGUUUUUUUUGUUCAAUAAAAAUAAAAUAAAAUCACAAAUUUGGAUUUGGCUCGAUGAGGCGAGCAAAACUGUGGGCAGCGUGUCGCCGGGGGAGGCCCAAUGUGCCCCCACGUGCGGCCACGUGCCGCUGGGCGUCGAAGACACGCGCCCAUGCGUGUCCACAUGUCCUCACGUGCUCCCACGCGCGGGGCGCUACUCGUGCGUGCAGCGCAUGCGGGCGUUGAUGUCAUGAUUACGUUAGCGACCUAGACUCAGAUCCAACCCGAAUGGCGACCGACUUGACCCGACCCGACCCGGUCACCCGUUGACUGAACCGGUCAAUUGGUCGGACUGGAAGGUCAGAUUGGGAACUAGUCAGACCGCCACUGGUCAGAUCGGUUUUGAUCGGCCUUUGAUGCCCGCGCGUGGGCUCCACGCGCUGCGCACUUAGGCGGUGCGUGCGGGCGCGUGGAGGUUCCGAUUCGCACGUGGCCGGCUACGUUUGAAUUGUAUGGUUAUUCCCUACGUCAUUGUGUAUUUAUUUUACAUUUUUGAUGAUCUUAUAGAUGUGAAAAUACAUACGGAACCCUAAAUAUGUGUAUUUUUAGUGUAUAUUUUUUAUAUUUUCUGUGAUUUUGGAAAUAUAAGUGUUGGGUUAUAGGUAUGUUAUCAUAUAAACAUUAUAAUGGUGUGAUACAUUAAUAAAAAUUAAACUUUAUUGUGAACUGAAGCUGGCUUAAUGAGAUACAACCAUUAUGGGAUAGUUAUUGAGCUAUGUAUUGAUUAUAAAAUUUUUGUUGUUUAAGCAUACUCCUUUACACAAUGAUAAUCUUUGAAUGAUGAACUUCUUAAGAAUUCGUGACCAAACUGAUUGUACUGAUUAACAUAUCUGUUGAAUGUAGGUAAUGCAUGUUAAUUAAGUUACUACAUAUUGUACAUGAACUCAUCUGAUCAUUUGUUUUUUUUUUUUUUUUUUGGUAAAGGCAUCUGAUCAUUUGUUAAUGUCUAUUAAGUUGAAUAUUUUUAUGGUUAAGGAGUAUGACAACAUUUAUGCAAAGUAAUAAUAUCUACUGUUAAAUUUUAGAUAUUUGGUUAUCUGGUUUGACAGAAUUAAUAUGCCACUGGUUGAUUACAAUGAUAAUUUAUUACUUAAAAAUUAGCUAAUAAAUUAGUUGUUGGCCUUGGAGUUAUUUUUUGCCUUAUGAACUUAUGAAUGAUAAUGAAUCACCUGUCAAGCUUGUCAAUUUAGUGUCCCAUGUAUUACUAUUAAUGUUAAUCUGUGAGAGAUAUUUUAGAUUAGCAUUCUUUUAAUGUUGUUCUAGUAAUCAGUAAUUUGGGUGCACAAGAGAUGCUUGCUUCUAUGUUAUGAGAAGUUUCUUGUGUUGCUGUCGAUCUCAUUGGAAUCUAUCUUUUAAGUUCGCUAUAUAUAUAUGUAUAAGUAAAGAUUUUAUUAAUAAAUAAAGCAAUGUAAUUAGCAUGAUAUCUGAUUUUGGUGAUAUGCUGCCCCUAUCACUAAAGUUAAAAUCACAUGUAUAUGAUUUAUGAUAUGUAAAUUUUAUAUCCCUAGUAUGAGAUAAUUUCAAUGAUUCAAUUGAGUAGUGACUGCCAAAGUGGCACGCUUGAUUGGGUUUGAGAAAUUUCGAUCUCGUAUAAUGAUUGUGAUAUCUCUUGGUUUAAUGCAUAGUCAUACUUCCAAAUGAGGUGAUUAUGUAUUAGUUCAUGAAGGAAUACAUGAUAGUAUGGUGGUGGAGUGACUAAUUCUAGUGAUUCAUAUGCCCAAAGGUGAUGAAUUCAUGAAGAAUUGUAAUAUAUUCUCAUAACCGCUAUCAUGUGGGGAGUGUACAACUGCAUGUCAUGUAUUCUGCCCAAAUGUGAUUAUAUGAUUAUGUGUGUAACUCUCUGGAUGUGUAUUUGUAUGUCAAGUUACAUAGUGCUCACAUGAUGCUAAUUAUACACAUUGCUUGUUUUUCAGUCACAUUUUCUGUAAUUAAUAACUCCAUUAUUAUUAUUAAGGUUUUUACUGCUUCAAAUUUUAACUUGUGGACAUAUGAUUUAUUGCUUGAGAAAAGAGCAAUAGAAUUUUGUUUACCGUCCAUGAAGCGUUCCAUUCUGGAACACUCGAAAAGAGGUUUGCCUGCGCACAGCACUGCUAUAAGAUGAUGGAAGCCUUAGUUGCAUGAAAUUACGUCUUGUCUAACAUCGAAAUUAGGACAUAUCUGCAAAGAUUUUAUUUAAGUCCUAAUGACAUAUACAUCUCGUAUAUAGUUAAAAUGUCGUUUCUAAAAGUUUUUUAUUUAAGGAAAAUGACCAAGAUAAAGAAUAAACUAGGUUAAAAUUAGUCUUGAAGGUUGUCAGGUCUAAUAGUAGCGGUAAGUAUUUUGGCAAGUAUGACAAUACUAAAUUGCUUAAAGGGUUAUUUGUCAAAUACUUGGUUAAUUCUGGGGUGGUAAUUUAAUUAUUAGGCCUGAAAAUUCUAACAAGAAGAUUUGGCUAAAAGGUUUGAAGCACCAUAAUAAACAUGUUAAUGAGUAUGAUUAGUAAGACUAAUUUAUCCGGUCUUCGAUGGGUUGAUAUUAUGAAAGCAACUUUUUCUCAUACAAAAUGUGUCUCUGAUCAAAGUUGUUUCAUAAACUUCUUUUGAAUUAUAAAUUGGACAUAGAUUACUUGAAUCAUAUUAAAUUUAGAGGUGUCAUGUAAAAGUGAGAUUAUCUAAUUCAAUAUUAAGUGUGUUGGAAUUUAGAUCCACUUAAAAUUAUUUUGUAUCUUACUCUGAUUGUUCGAAGGAGUAUUAAUUUUAUGACCCUAAAGAAGGUAUAAGAAUUAUGGAAUCACAUACUCUAAAGUUUCUAAAGAUCGACGUAAUUGUAGAGGAUUGCUACUCUCCGACUAUUAAAGAUAAUAGUAUAAUGGAGGUUACUGUAUUUUUUGUUUUUACCUAUUUAGAUAAUUAUGGAAUCUCUUGUACCAUAGACUAAACUUGUUGAGGUUCAAGAUAAUUUUUGAUAUAGUUUAUAAUGAAAUUUCUUAAACCUCUCAAGUGCAGAAUGAAGUGGUUGCAGUUUUAUUAAGGAGAUUUGUUAAGAAAAGACGAUUAAUUAUACCAUCAGACUAUAUAGUCUAUUUGUAAGAGCAUUAUUACAAUAUCCAUUACAUGGUUGUUUUAGCAACUUAUAUAAACGUCGUUUCUUGUUCUUAAUUAAGUAUGUGAUUAAAUGCCAUAAAAAUAAUAAUAAUGUUUUUACUCUGAAAGAUGGGUGAAUAGUUUAUAGUGAAGAAAUAAAAAAAUAUUUCUAGUAUUUUAAAGAUUCUUUCAGAGUGAAUGUGGCAUUAAUAAUUUAUUUUGAUAUGGAGUUACGCCAAAAAGAUACAAAAAUCUAUAUUGUGCAACUGGAGGAUUUUGCAACAUAUGAUUCAAGUAAACUUGUGUGUAGACUGAAAAAUCUUAAUUCAUGAUCUUAAACAAGUUUCCAGACAAUAUUGUUAAAGUUUCAUAGUGUUGUUAUUUUGUCCAUUUGGGAACAAAGUAAUUCAAUAUACUGCAAGGUCAGUGGGAGGAAAUUUAUUUUUUUCCCAUACUCUAUGUACAUAAUAUUUUGCUUACAAGUUGUGACCUUGAGACAUCUUAUAUCCUUUGUACUGAGGUCUGUAAGGAUUGUUUUUGCCAUAUUAUAUUAGAUUUUCUCUGAGGAUAUUUGCUUAUUGUAUAUUAGAAAUAUUCAAUAUACAUCAUUGCAAGCCAGGAAUUGCUCAUGUUGUUAAAAGUGAUGGGUUGAAUCUAUCACAUUGUCCUUAUUUAGAUAUUGAGAAAAUCUAAUUAAAUGGUGUACCUUGUGUCAGUGCACUUAAAAAUAUAAUGUAUGCUCCAAUUUGCACUAGACUAAAUACCGUUUUUGUGACGGGACUUCUAAGAAGAUAUUAGUCAAAUCCAGGACGCGAUAACUCGGUUGCUGCCAAGAAGAUUUUAAGGUGCUUAAAUAAAACAAGAGAUUAUAUGCUAAUUUAUAGACAUGUUCAAUUCUUGCAGCUAGUAGGGCAUUUAGAUAUAAACUUUGCUGGCUAUUAGGAUGACAUAAAAUCAAUAACGGAAUACAUAUUUAUGUUAGCAGGAAGUGUAGUAAAUAAAGUUUGAUGUCAUCUUCUACUAUGUAAGUAGAGUUUGCAACAUUCUUUUAGGCUGUUACUUGGGCUAUUAGGCUCCAGAACCUCAUGAAAGAGUUGAUCGUUUUAACUUUAUGGAUAGACCCAUACGGUUAUAUUGAGAUAACAAAUUUGUAGUAUUAUUUAUUUACUAUAUAGGUUUCAAGGGGUCUAAAUAUAUUGUGAUUAAAAUUUUUUUACCAAAAGAAAAACGGUACAAAAAGGUGACGUAAUAAUAUAAUAUAUUUUUAUAGAUGAUAUGGUUGUAGAUCCACUAAUUAAAGGCCUAUGCCCAUGUGUAUUUGAGCGACAUGUCAUUAGCAUGGGCCUAGGAGAAUCAUGAGAUGCUGUUGUUUAGUGGAAACUAUUUUGGUUUUACUCUAAUAAAUGAUUCAUCUGUGUUCGUUAUACUUUGUAACGGUUUGAUAUGUAUCAACUUUUGCAUUCAAUAAAAUAUUUUUGAAUGUGUUGUUAUUAUAUUAAAUACAUAUUGAUAAAAUCUCAAGGGAUUUUAUAAACCUUGAGUGAAGGCUAGGGGCAUCUAGGCAUCCGGUUAUUAGCCUUAUGCAUAUGUCUUGUGAUACGUAAAUAAAUGUUAGCCAUAAGGACAAGACAUAUGUGGGUUCAUUGGAACCAUAAAUCAUUCUCUAGUGGCACAAGUUUUUGUGACACCUAAGGUAAGAGAAUGGUGACUGACAAAUGGGAUCUCUCUAUGAGAGAUGCUAUUCAUUUGCCACACUAUCAUAUUGAAUCUAUAUCAAUAAAGUUGAGAGUACUUGUGACCAUAGAAUGCUCUGUGUGUGAACAUGCAGUUACCACCAUGAUUCGGUGUUUAAGACUUUAUGGGAUAUGAUUAACUAUUACGAAUUAUCUCUAGACCAAAUGUGCGCACAUACAGUACAAUUUCAAUUUAGAUAGUCCAAGUGGGAGAAUGUAAGAGUUUUCCUGAUUUGGACUAAAUUAAUUAAUAUUAUAAUUUACUGUUUUUAUGGUUACCGUAAAACAUGGUUGGUCUAAGGUGAGAUAGAAGGUUUCUUAAUUAGUAUAAUAUGGGACUAGCUAGUGUGGGCCAAGUUGAGCCUGGCCCAUAAUGAGGGGGUUUGGCUGGAAACUCUAUAAAUAGUGCUUAAGUCUCUCCUCUAACCCUAAUUCUCACAUUAUCCUCACCUAAGGGGCAUUUACCUAAUGCUACACAUGAGGGGGGCCACCUCAUUGAGCCAGUGAUACGGAGAGCAAUAGAGGAGAAUGACUUGAUGCGUGGAUUCUCUUGAUAUGUGAGUAAUUCAUUUUCUGUUUCCGCUUUAUGUUCGAUGGGUCCCAAAAUAGGUAUGUUAAUCUUUCUACUUAAUUAUGCAUAUUCUUGUUCUGGUUAUGAAGAUCUUGGGAUUGCGUGAUUUGCAUCCAACAAUCAAGUCAAAUGAGAGUCGAGUAGCGGGAUCUGAAUGUUACUUGUAUUCUCUCCGUGGUGUGUUUUGUUUUGGGUCAAGAGUCUCUUCACAAUUCCACUGAAUAUUCUGCUUGAUCCUUGACCAAGAGAAUACAUGCUGUCUAUGGCCGAGGGUGUUGCGGUAUUUGCUGAAAUCCCUUUCAUUGAAGGGUGCCGGUUGAGAUUUCAUUAGAGGGUGGCCGGACUUAUGGGGGCUCGGGCUUGAAAAUUGAAGUGGGUUUAUCUCUUUUAAAUUUAAUUUCGUUUAACCUGACGGGCUAGUUAAAAUGCAAUUCACAACCAAGCCAAUUUUAAUGGAAUUCAUUUGAUGCGGACAUGUUACUAGUGAACAAAAAAUGGUCAUACGCCUAAAUGCAAUGUGCAUGCAAAAUUGUGUGAUAUUAGUAUUUUGUUUAAAGGGUCAAAUAAUGUCAUUGUCAACAAAUUCAAUCCCAAAGUUUUUUGUGAAACGUCUGAGAUUUUUAGACAAAAAGUCAAAUGUCAACAGAUAAUUUUAAAAGAUAUUUAAAAAAAAAUCGAGGAAAUUAUCUUUUUCUUCACCCUUAAUUAAUGUAUGUUUGCCAUGACAAUAAAUUUGAUCGAUAUAAGUAAUGGUCAUGCUUGAUCUAUUGGUUAAGACGUACUCAAUGUAAGUGAAUCAAAUUUUCUCUUUAAAUCAACAAUUUCAAAUGUCUUUAAAUAUAAUUUAAAUUUGAAAGGAGUGUUAGAAUACUUAAAUGUUAAACCACGCUUCAAUAUAACAAUUUAGAUUUCUAAAAAAUUGACAGUAGUCUUACAAAAUCUUAUCUAAAGUUCAAAUGCUCAUUAUAUAUUUAAUCUCUAAUGUAGGUUAGAUGACGAAAUAGUGUUAUGCUUAAUAUUCGUAUCAUCAAGGAUAUCAAGUGACUCAAUAUUCAUAAAAUGCUUAAAUCUAGUCUAUAUCGGACAAUGUAAGUAUACAAAAAAUGCAUUAUAUAAUCCAUUUGUUCAAUUAUCCAACGACAACUCACAACUUCAUCUUGCAGGUCAACAUUACAUAACAACCAAUGAACUCUCGAGAUUUUCCCUCUAGUUUUGCCUUCUAGUGAUUUUUCACAGAGAGAGAGAGAGAGAGAGAGAGAGAGCCUAAGUAAUGAAUGGGCCAUGUGCAUUUAAAGGCUUUAAUCAUAUGUUAGACUUCAAUUGCUAGAACAAUCAAAUCUUCCGCUCAUUCCAAGUUAUCACGCGUCCUAGGGCCUCAACAUUUGGAACUUCUUCUAUUGGCAAAGAAAAAGGCUUGACAUGUUCUUGUUCGCAAUUGUUAAUAAAAAAUUAAUUUUUUAAAAAAUAUAAAAAUUGUCCACUAAAUUUGUAUUGUAAGAAAGCGUUUUGAUAAUAUAUAUAUAUUUUUUAAAUAUAAGAAACAAGUUAUCCCAAAUUAGAUUAAAUAAGGAUGUGUUGUAACAAUAUAGAUUGAAUUAGGUAUGGGUCAAGAAAUUUGUAUUAUAGAUAAAUGGAUCAUAAAUAGAUUAGUGAGUCAAUUUGGAUUGGACCAUUCAUGACCAUACCAAACCCACCUGUUUGAUAGGUCUAAGUGCCACAUAUAAUUUAUUGCAGCCUAAUCUUUUCUAGGAUUAAAAGUUGUACCAUGAACAAUUUUUUUUAAAAGCAUUUGGAAUUGAGAAAAUAAAAAAGAAAUAUGUAAUGUAUGUUAUGUUUUUAUCAUUUUUGUCCAAUUGUUUUGCACCAAUCUAUAAUUAAAACUUCUUUCUAGUCUAUAUUGGCAAGAUGACUGGAUAUGCAUUAAGAAUUAUCUCUGAACAAAAAUUUCCUAAUAAUUGGGAUAUCAUUAAAAAGUUCAAAAAACUACUUAUUUAAAUUAAUAAAUUACCUAUUGGAUGAACUACCCCGACUUAAAUAUUGAAUAAGAUUGGACGAACAUAGAUGACUCAAAAUGUGUCAAAUUAAGAUAGCAUUAGCAGACAAGAUUUUGAUACCAAUGCAAUUGCUAGGAAACAUGCUUUGUCAAAUUUAUGUCAAGAAUUAAUAAUUAAUUGUGCGUUGAAUUUUAGGAUUUAGGUUUUAGAUAUAUGAAAAACAUAUUUAAUAUAUUUACGAAUCAAAUUGCGUUUGUCUUGUGUUAAAAAAAAAUGCAAUCUUGUAUUGUGCAUUGUAAUAUAUCAUGUUUGUCGUUUCAACCGUUACUUGUCAAGUAUGUAAAAAUCACUGGGAUUUGCCCCAGUGGCCACCCUUCCAACAUGGAAGGGAGAGGUGAGGGGUUCAAAUCCCCACCUUCUCAGGGGGGAUGGGGUGGGGACGCGUAAGUUUCAGAGUAGAUUUUGACUCCCACGCCCUGCAAGAGGCAUGACAAAAGUCUGAGAGUGAGUGUAGAGUAGGAAUAGAGUAGGACUAAUCAAAAACAAAAAAGUAUGUAAAUUUUCUCAACCAAAACAAGUAUGUGAAUUUUACUUUUGGGCAAUUGCUUAAAAGUAAGAAAAAUAUCAUUGAAAGGUAAAGAGAAAAAAAGCUUGAAAGUGGGAAUAGAAAGUGGGAGUAAGAUUCUCUCCCUCAUACAUGGUCAACAACAAAUAAUCAACCCACGCAUUUUAAUGCCUUCGAUGUUGCCAUUAUUGGUAAAUAAACUUCUUUAUCCCUGCGACGAUAAACGUACGAUGAACAUCUUAGAGGUAGAAGAGAGUUGGACUCAUGCUUUAGGAAGCAAGAAGCCAUUCACGGUAAACCCUCCAUCGACACAAAUGGUUUGCCCCGUAAUGUAAGAGGCCGCCGGCAACCACAAGAAGGCCACUGACGACGAAACCUCCUUCGGCUCUCUGAUGCGACCGAGCGGUGUCCUUGCUAUCGCCUCCUCGUGGAAUUUCUCAUUGCCGAGUAGCUGCUAUGACGGAUGAGUUAAUGUUAGAUCACGAUGGCAAAGGUGAUGAAGAUUUAUGGGGCGAACUAUUUUCGAAGAGGAUAGGAAAUUUUAAGUCUUGGUAAAUUAAAUUACAUGGUCGGUGAGUGGGCUGCCUAUGAAAUAAGGUGCAAUAGAGUUGCUUCUUAUGUUGUCUUUAGCCCAUUCGCAAGCCAGAUUCUUGGUCAACUGGUUCAUUUCUCCAGUCAAUGAGUUGAGAAAGUAAGAAUAUAACUUGGUAGAGCUUGAACCAACCCCAAAGUGAUGCUCGAAAGUCCACUUUAGAGUCACUCAUUACUGUGUUUUGCAGCCAAGGGAUUUGACUACGUAAGGCCCAGUUAUAUAGCCCACAGGCCUGAUUGGUUUCGUAAACCGAUCACUUGAGAAAAUUAGCAGUGAUUAGAGUCAUAAGUCCAUAAUUUGGAUGCCUUCUCCAUGACGGACGGUGAAGUGUUCGUCUUCAUCGAUAUCUCAGACAAUCUUUCUCAUCUCUUGCCUGCCCCUUGAUCUUGAGAAUCCAAGUGAAACUAUCCAUAGUGUUCACUUUAUCACUAGAUUGAGAGAUCAACGUAAGUGUUAUUCUAUUGGUUGCUCGAGAAUUCACUUGCUCAUCUUGAAAAAUAGUACUUAGAAUUCACUUUAUCAUCUUGAGAAAUUAAAUAUGAAAAAGAUAUCAUACAAAGAUAUAACAUCAUUAUCAUGCCAUAAUUUCGCAAUACAUUGACACUGUUCUAAUGAUAAAAUCAAUUGUCCCUACGACGAAAAUUCACGAAGUAGCGUCUUACAGGCAAACGAAAGUUGGGCUCAUGCUCCAAGAAACAAGAAGCCAUUCACGGUAAACCCUCCAUCGACACAAAUGGUCUGUCCCGUUACGUAAGAGGCUGUCGGCAUGCACUAGAAGACCACCAAUGAUGACACCUCCUUGGCUCUCCAAUGUGGCCGAGCGGCGUCCUUGCUAUCACCUUGUCAUGGGACUUUUCGUUACUAACUGACUACGAUAACAUGAGUUCAUGUCAUAUCAUGAUGACGAACCUGAUCAAGAUCUAUGUAGUGAUCUGUUUUCAAGCACGAGAGAAAAUUUACAGCCUUAAGAGAUAAUCUUACAGGCUCGGCUUGUGGGGCCAUUAUGUGCCAAGGUGCAAUAGAGUUGCCUCUUAUAUUGUCCUUAGCCCAUUCACAUGCCAAAUUCUUGGUUAAUUAAUUCAUUGCUCCUAACAAUCGACUCGGAGAAAAAAAGAGAGGAAUUUUUUAGCUCCAUAUGAAAAAAGUUCAGAUAGUUAGUUAUGAUAAUAUUAACUUACCUUUGGUUGUCGAGCAAAUUUGUCCAACAUUCAUUGAAACAACGCCGCAAACAGAUGACAAUAACACAACGCUUCCGGCUUCUGAGGCAUUGAGAAGGGGAUGCACGAGUUGACUUAGACACUAAGCUGAUUCGAAGUUAGUUGUCAUGAUGAAUGAAAAAUUUUCCGCUGUAUAUUCCAUGGUCAGCUUUACUCUGUUGGUUUGUUGAUCUACCACACAAACUACUACCAAUAAAAUGAAAACCAAGUAUCAAAUCUAUCGAAAGAAAUGCACAAAUUACGACCUUGUUAUUGAUGUAAUCAGAUCCACAGGAUCAGACUUACUAGGAUGUCGAGCUUCCCGUCGAAGAGGGAGGACACAGUAAGCAUUGGCUUCUCUCGCUCCGAUCUUAAGGAAAAAUCACAAGUCGAACCUGUGACCUGGAAACCCUUUCUCUUCCAAUCUUUCAAGCAUUCAUGAAUAUCCGGCUGCAUUUCUGGAGCAGGAAUACACGGUGGCCCCAAGCCCUUGCUGGCUUCUCCACAAUGGCAUGCCUAAUCAUAGGGGUGAGCAGGUCCAGGGUAGGUAGGGUCUAGACCUGGACCCUGUUCCUUACCUUGUUAUAACCGGUUCUCCUUUUUAGACCCUGUUCCCUACCCUGUUUUCAUUAGACCCUGUUCCCGGCCCACCAUGUUUUUCCGGUCCGGGAACAGGGUUGAUCUUGUUUAUAUUGGAACCUGUUUUGCAUAAAAAUUAACCUUAGAAAAGUAAGUCUAGAUGAGUUAUCUGCUGAAACAAAAAGGCCGAACCAAGCACAUCCUUCGACCAAACUCAUUGGGAACAUGUAUAAAAUUUGGACUCCCCUUGAAGAAAACAACCAAGUAUAUAAUUCGAUCAUCUCGCAUCCCCAUAUCCCACAAGAUACAUCGAGUUUGCCUUAUAUUAAACAACAAAGAUUCCCUCACACUAAAGCAAUAUCUAGUCAAUGAACCACUAAAUCAGUGAGGUCGCCACAAUCACGUACAGCUAGGAACAGACAAGGUCAAUUCAAUACACCUUACAAUCACUCCUUCACUCCCAUCAAGUAGUUAUAGCCUACCAAAGUAUCUGCCUUCUAAGAUCCAUCACUGGAAUACUGAAGGAGUAACAAAGACAUUCUGCCAAUAUCAUAACUUGGCUUCAGGUACAAAAAAAGGAAUAGAACAUUAAUGUAAGUACAUAUAAUAUUAAUGGCAUUAAGGAACAGAACAUUAACUUGGCUUCAAAAUCUUUGAUCGAAGCGAUGGAGUCGAGAAAUAGAAACUCGAGCUGCGGCGUUUUCGCCAAACCAAAAAAAAAAAGAAAGAGAAAAGAAAGAAAGAAAGAAGCAGGGGUGGUCGGGGGAGCUCACCAGGAUAUGAGCGGUGAGGGAGUGAGAAGGGCCAUGGGAGGAGAGGGAGUUGAGGGCGACCUCGGUGGCGGAGUGCUCGGCCUAGCGGAGCGGGAGUGCUCGGGCGGAGCAGAGAGGCAGCGGCAGCUUCGCGAAGGGAGGCGGCGGUAGAUCGGCAGCAGGGGAGCUCGGGAAACAGCGCGCGGUGAGAUCUGCGGGUCAGAGGCGUCGGCAAGGCAACAACAGCAGGUGGAACGACGAGAUUGAACGGAGGCAGCGUCGGUGCUCGGGUGCGAGCUUGGCGGGGGUUAGCAGCUUCGCGAUUUCGGGAAGUGAGGGCAGUCCGACAGCUUCACGAACGAGACCGUCGACUCCUCGUUGGGCCGGAGGAGGUCCCGCCACAGGGCGAAGGCGACGGAGAGCCCGAACGCGCCGGACGGCGAGAAGACGACGCUCGGGACACCGCGGUCGUGGGCGAAGUGGUUGGUCCACCCGAGGAAGAAGUCGGAGACGACCACACAGGGCGGGGAGGGGUGGGACUCGAACCACCGGGAGAGGAGUGGGAGGUGGAGGUCACAGAGGGCGCGGACUUUGGCGACGAAGCGCACCCACGGCGGGUGUGGCGAGGCGGGGGGCUCUGGGGAAGGCAAGACGAGAGGCUGGAGCGAGGAGGAGGAGGCGAGGAAGGGGUCAAGUAGGUGGAGGUUGUCGGGGGUGACGACAACAGUGACGGUGACAGCGGGGGCGGCGGGGCGGGGGAGGAGGAGGAGCUUGGCGGCGGUGGUGCGAGCGUGAGGGGAACUGGGAGAGGAGCUCAGGGAAUUCUGGUUCUUUGUGUCUGCGCCUUUGCGGGUAAAGAUUAAAAUAAAAUUAGGGUUUUGCUGGGGUAAAAACCGGUUCCCAAACCAGUCCGGUCGAACCGGUUCCCGGGUGGGUAAUCUCUCGGAACCGGUUCUCGUUAAACAGGGUCUGAGUUUUGGGAACCAGUUCCGACCUGGUUUUAACCGGAACCGGUUCCCGACCCUGUUUUCCGGGUGGGCCGAACAGGGAACCGGGUAAACUCGGUCCGGUUGCACACCCCUACCUAAUCAUGGUACAACAAUAUGACUACUAAGCCUUAGUACAUGUCGUACCUAGGAUUGUUAUGAACAGGCCAUUUUAGCAAUGCAAUCCUCGAAGUAAUUGAGCUCUCUGUUAUGUCCCUCGUCAUUUUCAUCGAUCGAGUUUUAGAUGGCGAUUAUAUAGAUUUUCUAGCUUAUUAUUUAUAGAAUCCAACAUUACUGAAUUUAGAAGAACCUACUAUCUCUUGGGGCAAGCCUAGCUGAAACGAUUUUUUUCAAGCCUAGAUAGGCUUGAGCCGGGCUACUAAACCCAUUUGUGUUGUUACUAGUUAAACAUUAUAUGAGGGAUGCAAUGGCCGAAAAUAGCAUUGAACGCCUUUUAACCUAUGGCUCCAUGGUGGUGAGCUUCGCAAAAGCUUUCUGAUGUAUAUGAUACAGCCUGCACAUUGUCAGAAGUUAUGUAUGCAAAAUUUCGGGCCUAAGCCAGAAUAGCCCGGAUUUGACUUGGCCGGAGUUAUUUAGCCGGGCUAGUAUAUAAAGGACUAAUCACCCGGCCAAGAAAUUCUAGGCCAUAUUUGUUCUCAUAGGACCAAAAAAGGUACCUCGACGUUUGGACUGCCUAAUCCAUACACAAUUCUACCGUCACACACAUUAUUAUGAAGAAAUAAGAUGCCAUAAUUGACGGUUUUCAGAUGCCUAAUUGAUCAUGUUUGUUCCUCCAACCUAAACCAAAAUAGUCAAUUGAUUAUCAAAAUCAACAUUGCAAAAGAAUGAGGUGUUUGAGUGAGAGAGAGAUCCGAUUCCAUUAGUUCCACCGGUGUCGAGAGCGCUCAUUCCGUGAAGCGACCACCUGUUGUCGUUGUUGCGGCUGCCCCAUCUCCUUGCCGUUCCACUCCCCUCAGGAGCCAUUCUCUUUCUUUCUAAUAUCUGAUUUUUUCCCCUCGUCUCACUUGUUUUCUUUUUGGGUCUAUGCGUCUUUCUAACUAUCCACUGUGUCAUGUAUAAGUACGGGGGAAUUGGGUUCGGCGGCGAUUCCGUGUGGCCUGAUAUUAGGGUCCAGGUGGAUGAAGUCGUACUGCCAUUUGCAGCGUGAGAUCGACAGAAGAUAAAGCAUAAAGUUACCACGUGACCGACGAUGGCCAAAAAGCGACGGAAGCUCGCCGUGUGUAUCCGGCGCUCUCACAUGGAUCGAAUGGAUGCGUGCAAUGCUGGCUCAGACAUUGGGCUUGAGAACACUUGGGCUAGGGAGAAUGGCGAAGCCUGCAGGACGCCACAGUCCCAUUGCAUAGCACGGCCCACACGCCCGACUGGUUUGGUGAACUGAUCGCUUUGAGAAGACCAGAAGCAAUUGGAGUCCUUAGUCCAAUAUCGACUGAGAUCUUAGGAGUCCUUAGUCCAAUAUCGACUGAGAUCUUACAUAAUGCUACUCGAGAAAUUAAAAAUCAAAAGACAUCACGCGAGAGAGGACACAAUUAUAAUACCAUCACCUCACAAUGCAUUGAAAUCGUUCUAACCCUUUGUGUAACUGAUAAAUAGUGACCAUAUAAAUCUACCAAUCAAACUUAUUUUAUUUCUUUUUCUUUUUCUUUUUGGCAUUAUCAUGUUAACUAAAGAUGAACCCGUGUCUAUGGCAUGAUUAUAAUAGUACCACAUACAAUUAUUUCAGCCAAAUCUUUUCUAAGUUUGAAAGCGGUAUUGUGAACAGUCUUUCAGAAAACAUUAUGAAAUAAGAAAAUAAAAACUCUGUAUUUCACUAAUAUAUUGUUUUUUUGUUGAAAAUCUUUGAUGUUUUGCAAAGAUCUAUCAUUAAAACGUAUUUCUGAUAUACGUUAGCGAGAUGAGUGGAUAUAUAUUGUGUACAAUGUUUUCCUUUAAUUUCCUAAUAAUUGGAAUGUCAUUAAAAAGUUCAAGAAAAUGCUUAUUUAAAUGGAUAAAUUCUGUUGAAGCUACCUAGAAAAAAAAAACAUAGCUUUUUAUAUGAUAAAUUUAUUGGACCGUGUUUGUCAUGUCAAUCAUUGCUUGUCAAGUACAUAUAUUUAAAAAAAAAAACAAAACACAUGCAUAUUUAAAUUUAGGCAAUGGCAUAAACAUAAGAAAAAGUUUCACGAGAAGCUAAUAAAUGGAGGCUUAAAAGUGAGAAUAGCAAGUGAGGGAAAAUGUACUAAAUUAGUCAUGAUUUUUUUUUAAAUUUUAUUAGUAGAAUUAUAAUUUUUUUUGGGUGAAAUUUUAAUGUAGUCUUUUUUAGUUAAUUUUCAUGUGAAAAUGCUCAUGUAAAGGUCUAUUUAUUAUCAAUUGUCUUAAAUAGCAUAAUCGGCCCUGAGUUGUGGUUACUGUUCAUCUUCAUUUCCUUCUUCUGUUCAUUUUGUUCAUGUCCUUCUUCUUCAAGCACAUGGUCGCGCAAAUCAGCACCAAGUUCAUCGACCCUCUCUCCGAAUUGAACCGUCAUGGUGCAGACCACGAACCCUUCGUAGCUCAUCCCCACCACAUUCAUCUUCUUCACGCCAAUUGCCUCCAGCUGCACCCAAUACUUUCUCCUCCAUUAGAGCAAUUGCGCACUGGGCUUGGAAUUGCUCCGUCCGCUCAGGCCUCAUCGUGCAAGAGUCUACAAAGAAGACAAAGUCAGGGACGUACACGUUGAAGCAGGCAGCCAGCGGGGAGACGAAGUCAUUCCACUCGGCACUAUCACAUUCCCUUGGCGCCAAUGCCGGGGAGGAGGUGGAGGAGGAGGUUGGGCCUUAUUUGUGAUAUUGGCGAGAUUUGCACUCCUAUUCAAAGAAAGGAGAGAUUGUAAGUAAAUCUGUAUAUUGACAGUUUUCUUAUUUAUUGGAGUUUCCUAUUUUUGGGUUUACUUGUUUCCUUUGUUGUAGCAACCCUUGUGUACAAAUUGCAAAAGAAUGUUAUGACAAAAAAAUAAGAGAAUUGAGAGUUUUGUCCGAGGCCAUAGGCACAUUGCUAAACCUCACAAUUCUUGUGUUCUCUUUUGUGAUUGCUUUAUUAAAACUCAACAUGGUAUCAAAGCAUGUUUGAUUCAAUCUAUGAUUUUUUGGGUUUGGUUUUUUUUGCACAUCUAAUUGUCUUGAUCUACUUAUGUUUGGGUCCUUUCCUAUUCUGACGAUCUGUGUUCUUUGGUUAGUGCUUGUUCCUCUCUUUGUUGCUGUCAUAUCCUUGUUAUUACUACCAACACGCCAUGGAGGGCUCAACGAAGUCCGGAGAUGCAUCCAACACAACAAAGGUGCAUGAGACAAACAACCAAUGAUUGACUAUGUUGUUGCUAAACGAAAGAAACUACCUUCCUUUGUCACGAGCUGUAACAGUUGCUCUUAGGGGGUAGAUUGAAGCUUGGUCACAUCAAUGAGAAGAUUAGAGCACCUCCCGCAACAAAUCCCAGAUUUGAUGAAUGGCAAGCCAAUGACCAUAAUGUAAUGUCUUGGAUAUUCAAUUCCAUGGGGCCGGUGAUCUACAAGAUAUUUGCAUAUUUAGAGUCAGCCAAGGCAUUGUGGGAUUUGAUAUAUGAGAUGUAUGGUCAAGCCAAAAAUGCACCUUGGAUCUUUGAGACGAAGCAAGGAGUCGUUUGUUCUAAGCAAGGCACAACACAAUCUUUCACUGAAAAAUUGGGUCGUAAUGCCAUGUCUAAACCUAUGAAGCUAUCCUAUGAAAAUUAGGCAACAAUACACAUUGCUUCAAAUCCAGUCUUCAUGAUAGGACCAAACGCAUAGAUGUCGAUUGUCACUUUAUAAGGGAAAAGGUUCAAGACAAGAUGGUAGAGACACCAUAUAUUCGUAGUAAGGAUCAACUUCCUGAUGUGUUCACCAAAGCUUUUAUCCAAUGGAGUAUUUCAAGAUAUGAUGAACAAGUUGAUCUCUAAUGAUGUAUUCGCUCCAACUUGAGGAUAAGUAUUGGUGAUAUUGGGGGGAUUUGCGCUCUUAUUCAAGGAAAGGAGAGAUUGUAGGCAAAUUUGUAUAUUGAUAGUUUUCCUAUUUUUUGGGUUUGCUUGUUUCCUUUGUUGUAGCAACUUUGUGUACAAAUUGUAGAAGAAUGUCAUGACAAAAAAAUAAGAGAGUUGAGAGUUUUGUCCAAGGACAUAGGCACAUUACUAAAUCUCGUAAUCCUUGUGUUCUUUAUUGUGAUUGACUUACUAAAAUUCAACAGGCCUCACCAGCUUGGGACUCUUGGGGACACAACAUCGCAUCACCAUGCCGUCAUUGAGGUCGCCAGGUUAGUGACGGUGGACUCGACGCCAGACAGCAAGAAGGAGAAGUGGAGGCACUAGUCCCUCAAUGCCGUGAAGCUAUGACACUUGGUCAUUGGACUGAACCUUAAAGCUCAAUGCUCUUUUUGCGACCGCUUCCCUCCUCCUCUAGAAGCAGAGCAAUGGUGGUGAUGCGAGAGGCGGGUGGUGAUGCCGAUUUACAGAGACAUUCAUAAAGCGAGGACGACGACGAUGUUUCAAAGGUUCGAAUUGGUUAAGGUCGUGGUGAGGGUCGCUUCAAAAGUGCUGGAUAAGAGAUAAGAGGUGUAUGUUUUUGAAAAAAGAUGAACGGUACAAAAUAAGAAAAAAGAAGAAAGUUUAGAAAACUAUAUUAAAAAAAAAAAGGAAACGACAUAAUUUUGCCUACAUCAAAAUACCGAUUGUCAAAUAUUUGAGAAAUAAGGUAAAUCGGCGAUGAAUAACUGUCAUCCGUCAUGUUACUAUUUUCUAAAAAACUUGACUGGAGUAUUAUAUUAAAAUUUUAUUAAAUAUUCAAGAUUACAUUGGUAAAAUUUAAAAAUUAAAAAUUAAAAUGACAUCCUUAUAAUAGCUUUAUGACUCAGAAGGUGAGAGUAAAUGAACAUAAGAGUAGCUUCUACUCUCCCUUAUGUACGAACAAGCAAUUGUCCACCUGCACACGUGAAUGUACAGAGAUGUUGCCAUUAUUGAUUAAUAAACCUCUUAACAAAGUUGGACUCAUGCUCUAGGAAAUAAGAAGCCAUUCACGGUGAACCCUCCAUCAACACAAAUGGUCUGCCCUAUUAUGUAAGAGGCCGCUGGCAAGCACAAGAAGGCCACUAAAGACGACACCUCCUCCGGCUCUCCGGUGCGGCCGAGUGGCGUCCUUGCUAUCACCUCCUCGUGGAACUUCUUGUCACUAAGUACCUGCAACGAAAUAUGAGUUAACAUCAGAUCAUGAUGGCGAACAUGGUCAAUACUGAUGUGGUGAACUAUUUUCCUGCAUGAGAGAAAAUUUAAAGCCUUGGUAGAUCAAAUUACAGGCUCGGCUAGUGGAGUCAAUAUGAACCAAGGUGCAACAGAGUCGCUUCUUAUGUUGUCCUUAGCCCAUUCGCAUGCCAAAUUCUUGGUCAACUGGUUCAUUGCUCCUGCCAAUCAAUGCGGAUAGAAAACAUAAAAACAAACGCAAUUUGUUUAGCUCCAUAUUAAUAGUGUUUAGAUAGUUACUAACGAUAAUGCUAUUACCUUUGGUGGCUGAGUAAAUUGAUCCGACGUUUAUUGAGACAACGCCACAAACGGAUGACAAGAACACAAUACUUCCAGCUCCCGAGGCCUUGAGAAGGAGAUUUAUGCACACGCAAAGUAGCCCCUGUGAAAAACAUUGCGUCUCAAUCAGCAUGUUAUUGGACAAAUUGGCCAUCUUUCUUGGUUCGACUCUUGCCAACUCAUCUUCUCAUGAAAGGCAGUACUCGCAUUAUCAAAACAUGCCAGUACCUUCUUCAGAAACACAUAGAACUCCAAAAGAAAAGUAAACCCCUCGAAUAUCUUUGCAAGUGCAUGUAGAACCAACCUUGGUAACAAGAACUUCCUUGAAGAAUUCUUCUGAAGAAAUCAUAUGAGCAAAAGAAAAAAACAUAAACUAAACCAUUCAAUCGCAGUAUACAUCUGACCAAAAAAAAUAAAAAAAAUCGCAGUAUACAAAAUAGUCAUCUUUAUCCACUCUUUCUGUAGAUGACCCAUAGCAAAAGACCUCGCAUUUCUUCUUGUCAAAUAUGUGGUUACGCCUCUUCAUCAUCCUCAACCAGAAUCCUCUUGCACGCUUCGCAGCACAUGAAGGAUAUCCCAGCAGCAGGCACCAACUUCAUGCAACUAGGGCCUAAACCUCUAUAUAGACCUCCAACCCCUUCCUGCUCAAGUAUGCUCGCAAGAGCAUGAACCACGUUUUUGUACACCUGCCUACCGCUGACUGGUCCCACUUGCAUAUGCUUCCGAGCUACCUCCAAGGGGAAAGUUGCACUACUCGAAAUAGCGCCAGCUAAUGAUCCGAUGAGAAGAGUCUCGAUGUUCCUAAUCUUCUCUUCCUUAAAAAACUUCCGAUAUUAAAAAACUUCCGAUAUGCCUUUCUCGACGUGUCGUAAGCAAAAUAGUUGGUGGCAGCAUAUGGAAUCACUCCGAUAAGACUAGGGGCGAGGCCUCUAUAUAAUUCUGCGGGUCCCUCGUCCCUCACUAUUUUCAAGAACGCAUCAAACAUACCAUCGUAAACUCCCCUCUGCAAUAUGGAAGGCUCGUGUUAACAAUGACAAGAUUCAAUCAUAUUGUUUUAGCAUGCAGCACUAUACCUGGACUGUGAGUCGAAUUUUGACCAACUCAAGAGGAUAUGUGUAUAUUGUUGAGCUCACACCAGCACAGGCACCUGCAACUAAGGAGGCAGGAAGGGGAAGCUUUGGCUGUUCCCCAGGUUUAUGCGACAACUGUUUGUUGACUGUAUCAUAAGCAAAUAGCUGCAAUACACAGGACCAAAAAUUCAAUUGAUAAUUGAAAGAUUGUAGAAGCUGGAGAGAUUAAACCUGGCAACAAGGAUACAAGGAACCAAGAGAAAUCUUGGGCAUAGUUAAAUGUCAAGUUCCUAAUAGUAGAUCUCUUCAAACUGCAUGCCUACCACAUAAUGUUUAUAUGAUUAAUUUCCAAGAAGCCCAACAAAGCAAAACUUAAGCCCACAACUAGCGGCACACUACUUUACAAGUCAAAUAAAUAUUCACAGCAGAGGAUAACAGAUUGAAGGCCAUUGUCUAGCAGUCAUGAACAAACCUUAAUGACAAUCGACAGGAACAUCAGGUAGGGAAAACCAUAAUAGAUACAUUAGCUAUUUAGAUUACAUGGAUGCCGGAUAGAUUGUAAAUAUUGUAACGUAGGAGCCAAUGCAUGUGACCUCCUGAAUGAUCAAGUCAUUGGCAAUAUUCUUAUAUACCAAGAUGAUAACAAGUUCAAUUUUCCUUCCAUGAAGGAAGAUCAAGAAUUAUAAUGGUGACUUGAGAUUCAAAAACAAAGUUCUCAGAAAAUGUGCGAACCACACUUAAAUAGCUUACUUUAAUUGAGUUCCCCAUAAGAUUUGUGAUGAUCUGCUGAAAUCUCCCCGGAUCACCAAUCAACUUCUGCGGAACAUUUUCAGAAAUGUAAACUGCUAGCUGCAGAUUUGAAGGGGUGGAAAUUAUAAGAUAAUGACUCAGGUGAAUUAGCAGCACCAUGUAACAAAGCCAGUCAAUACCUCCACUCCUUUUUCUUGAGAUUUUUCCGAGAAGAGGGACAAGACAUUAUCCAAUAUGGCCCUUAGAUCAAACUGCACAGCCUCAAUCUCAAUCUUACCAGAUUCAAUCUUCGCUUGGUCCAAGACCUCAUUUAUAAGUGAAACCAAAUUUGUGCCUUUGAAAAUGUAGGAGUCAACUUCAAUGAUAUAUCACCAUAAGAUUCUUCUUGUUGCACAUUAAUAAGUCCGUAACUCUUUAAAGCCUGUCCACAUCAUAUGAGAAGUCAUCAACUUCCCUCAGCAGCUCUUUUAACACGACCAGAAACAGGGGCGUCCACCAAUUUUAGAUCUUUUCCUUCAUCUGCAAUAUGACACAUGCAGCACAAAAUUUAGAAUAAGAAUGCUGGCAAAUAAACCCUUUAGUUUAUCGAAAUUGCUUGGACAAGUUUUGCUUCCAACAUUCCAACAGGCUUUCACUCUAGGUCACUGAACAAGAAAAGGUAUUAACCCUCCUAGCAUAAGGACAAAACAUUGAGAUUUUGCAACCUCGUUUCCAAAGAACCAAUAUACUAUUAACAUGAGGCUAAAAUUACAAUAACAGCUAUACUACACAAGUUGUAAUCAAUCAUUCCUCUUGAUCAAAUUACUUUCAAACACUAUCUUCUCCAAGAUCGCAUGUGCAAGCUCCAUACAAGAAGAUACUAUUUGAAGAACUAGAAAUGGUUCGAUCCACAUCUGCGAUAUCAUAGUUAGGACUUUCCCACAUUAGGCCUAAAUAUUUUGAUGUUGAUCCUAGAAUAUAUUCUUCAUUUUUCCAUCUUUUUCCAUCUUUCAUUGAAGUUAAAGAAGAACGAGGCAGCUCAGAUCCAAUCACCAAUAGCUUGAAAGGGAUUGUCCCAACUGCUAUUCUAACCAUUCCUCUCAUAAGGAGAUAUUCUGUUACCAGCUAUUUGAAUGCAUUUCUAACGAAGAAAAAUGAGUCAAUGAACCAAACUUGUAGUUCAGUAAAUUUCUUCUACUCUCAAUUUGCUUCACAUUUACUGGGAUUUCCCAUAUUCACCGCUUUCUUAAUCUGACAAGUCACCGUUUCCAAAGAACCAAUAUAAUAGGUUGGUUGCACACAGUGGACAGGGUGAAAACUUGGUCUAACAUUGAUAGCACCUGUGUGCUAUGCGGAAAACAUGAAGAAUCUCGAAUGUACUUGCUCUUUAAGUGUGUAUUCUUAAAGCAGAUUUUGGAAACAAGACUCUUAAUGCUGAUGUUAAGUGUCUGUGGAGAAAUUGGCGAGUUCUUGUUGGCUAGCUUUGCUGUGAUCCGGUGGCAUGGUAUUUGAGUUUGCAUCUUGUUUUUUCUGGGUAGUAUUUUGCUGUUGCUACUGGUAGUGUAGAUGGGGAAGACUAUUAUGUCAUGUUGUCAUUCGGUGCGUGGGGUCAUCAGAUUGAAAGUCAACCUGAUGAAUUAUUCUCAAGUUAUCAAGCUUUCCUAUUAUGAUAGAUUGCUCAAAGGGAUCUCCCAUCCUUUACAUCGAGCAGGGACGAAAGUUCCCCCUAGUGAUCGACAGUGCCGAGUAGACAGGCCAUUGCUCAACAGAUAAAUGUUAAUUUAGGGAUAGCAGACUAAUCUUAUCCAAAAGUUCACAAAUACAAGAAGGUUUGGCACCAUGAUCCAGCUGUAUAUGUGGGACAGUAUGCUGCAAUGGACUUGUACGGGAUGUGACCUCCCUUGUUUUUUUUUUUUUCCACAGGUUGUCCAAUAAAAUGAAGACUUACUUAAUAAAAAAAGAUAUUGUUAAAGUUUGUGCUCAAUGAAUGCGGUUCAAACAGUCAAUGACACAUGGAAAUUUUAUAAACUCUAUUCAUCUUACCAGUUUCCGAAAACCAUUCUCCAAUGAGCUUAUGCGUUGCUGCAUUGCUUUGAGAGCACUCUCCAUAUUCUCCACCGAGCUACACCAUGGAAAUUGACACCGUGAACAACUGCUGUCUUGUGGAAUUAUUCAUAACAAAUAGACAAAUAUCCAUUCGUAACACUUUAGGUACUAGUGCAUAUGAAUGUCAGAAUCAAUUACCAGACUAAUCAGAUGCAUUCCCUUGAUCUAACGCGACAUAGAAAAGUCAACGUAAAGCUGGAAUACAUAUUAAUCCAGUUCAUAGAUAGCAGAAGCAAGUCAAUCAGCAGCUAUCUCUAAAUGCACCACUUUCAGUGAUAAAAAGAGGAAAAAAAAAAGCUAUGCGCAGGUAUGACACUUUGCCAAACAGAAUCAUGGAUUGAUGGCACAUGAUACUUGAUGAUUUUUUUAGUUGGAGAGACAAUAUGGAUCACAAUUCUACUAGAGGAAUCACUUGAUGCAUAUAAGAUACUGCCAACAAACCAAUUGAACUAUAUUCACCUUUGAAGAUUGUUAGCCCAGCGAGAUAUAAGAAGCUCCACCACUUUUCCGAUCUGUCCAGCAAAGAGCAAUAGAAGAACAUAAGCAAAAAUCAUCUGUCAUGUAUCCAUCACAUUCUAGUUUCACAUCACAGAUAUCUUUUUGUCCUACUACGUGCAAACUGUCAUUGACCACAUAUUCCAGGAUUCAAGCAGAUAAUUAUGUCCAGGGCACUUCUUUGAAAUUUUAUAUCUUCUUUUGAUCCAUACUCUCCAUAACAACAUGAAAAGCCUAAAUCAUGUUCUCAGCAAAAACUUUUCACAGGAAAACCCCAGAAUUGUCAGCAGGUCAUUUUUACCACUCAAACGAUAGUUCUCUAUAUAUCUUGCAGCAAGUUACUCAUGUGGAUUUCUAUCCAGAAACUGACUGGACUUUUAAUUGAAGAGAUCAGCAAUCGAUAUACAAUGACAACAGUAUUUGUAUGUCCAAGUAGGCUACUUUACUUGUCUUACCUCUCUCUGGCCAUCCUCCAACAUAAAACAACUACUUGGCACGAAACCCCUCUCAGACCCUUUCCAUUCUUGACUGUGUGGAGAUCAGCAAAAGAAAGAACAAAAAAAGGCAAGAUAGGAUAAUUUAGCAAGCAGGAGAGCAAAGGGAAUGAUAACAGAUCACUUGCUAGGUAAAAAAAUCUAACAGGGUUCAAUUCCAAUAUGGAGAAAGUCCUGCAAUUGGCGUAAUGCGAAAUCGCAUGGCAGAUUGAAGACAACAACAUUUGAUAUAUGUACGUUUUCACAUAAAAGCCGCAGCACAACCCCACAAACAAAUGCUAACAAAAUGCUAUACUUCGACGCAGGCUUCGAUCUGACCAAAAAAAAAAAAAAAGAACUUCAGGCUUCGCAUCUUCAACUCAAGAGCUCGAGCAAAGCUGAAACCAGCACGAUCAUCAAACAAUUAAUCAAGCAUUGAAACAUUAAGACGGAAAGAGUGAGCCUACAUGUUUUGAUCCAAGCAUGGCCUCUUGGAUCCACUUGGUUCAUCCAAAAAAGUGGAAUCCGAAGCUCUCUUUUGCGUGGACAUAAUUUUUCUUUUCUUUUGUAGAAUUUGACAAGAACUGAGAAAGUGUCGGAAUUUUGGGAGUGUUCACCCGCUGAAAGAAUGUUGCUUGUAGAGCUUAACAAGAACUGAGAAAGUGCCUGGAUUUUGGGAGCGUUCGCUCGAAAGAAUGUUGCAGAGAAAAGAACAAAUCAGUAGACAGUUUAUCCGCGAACUCAAACUCAAGAGGGCAGAGAGAGAGAGGGGGAGGUCGCACGCCGGUCGGUUGCUCGCGGUCGUCUCGCCGGUAUCCUCCUGGUUCGCCGGUUGCUCGCGGUGGUUCGCCGGUCGGAAGAGGGAGGGCAGAGAGAGAGAGAGGGAGGUCGCACGCCGGUCGGUUGCUCGCGAUCGUCUCGCCGGCCGCUCGCGGUGGUUCGCCGGUCGGGAAGAAAGAGGGUGGAUCAGUGGUUCGUGCGCGCCACGUCAUCCGCUGACGUGGCGCGCACAUACCACUCAGGUACCGACACCUGUCCCGAGCGGGACCCCCUGGAAAAUGAGAAAAGGGCUGGUAUUCGGCUGGCUCGGCUCGGCUCCACCUACAGAAAAGAAAGGACGGUAGCCUACGGCCCUACGUUUGUGCAGAAGAUGGACAGCGGACCCACGCCUCCACGUGGCGCUUCAUGAAUGGCCGGAGAGAGAACGUCUUUGUUGUAGAGAGGAGGCCGUCCAUUUUCUUCUUCAGGGAUGGGAGGAGGACAGGAUAUGAGCGAGCGAGAGAGAAAUAAAUGCGUGCAGGCUGUUAUGUGCAGGUCUAGUUGAUAGGGGAGAGGACAAAGGACCGAAACUGAGCCCACUUCUCUGACGCUCUCUCUCCUCUUUCUCUCUUUUGUCCCCCUUCCCAUACACGUGGCACCGCGUGAGUGGUUCGGGACCACGUUGACGUGGUGGUCCCGGACCACCCAAUAUUUUCUCGGAUUCCUGACCGAGGUGACGCUAGGUGGGAUUUGGGAGCUACUCCCUGCAUAGGAUAAGGUUCUAGAAGAAUAUGAGGAAGUGAGGGAGAAAAGCACAAAGAAGGAGUUGGGAGUAAAAACCAAUUUUAGAGAAAGAGAGAGAGAGAAUGGCUUCUGAGGGGAAGAGGACUGCAAGAACAUGUAGCGCUCACAAUGGCGACAUCGACAAUAGGUGGUCGCUUCAGGGAAUGACCGCCCUCGUCACUGGCGGUAGCAAAGGAAUUGGGUCUCUCUCUUUCUCCUACUCAACGAACACUUCGUUUUUUUAUGUUGUUCAUUUAGAUGAUCGAUCAACUCUUAUGGUUUAGGUUAAGAAAAAAACAUCAUAAUUUAGGCAUUUGAAGACAGCCAAUCUUGUGCCUAUGGCAAUCAAACUAAUUUUAUAUCUAUUAACUAACGACAAACCUAGAAGCAAAUCUCAACCGUCCACAUAAAAUUAGUGAAUUGAUCUUGUAAUGACCCAUGGAUGAAGUUGGGAGGAAGGUAAGGUUGCAUUUGUGUUUUAGAGUAUGUGCUUAAACUUAUAUGACUACUGAUUAGGGUGCUUAAAAUAAAUUAUUUGUUUUUACAAUUUCCAUUUUGUGUGUGUGUGUUUUUAAUUUUGGAAUAUCUAUUAUAGCAAAAUGGGUAUAGUUGCCCAACUUAGGACUAUCCGGGCCAGAAAAAUUCAAGUCAGGCAUGUUAGAUAGGGCUUUCAACUAUAGCAGGUGCUUUUGAAUCUGAUUAUAUUCGAUUUCAUAGAUAAAAUGCUAGACAACUAAUUUCAUGAUCACUCAAAACUUUAUAUGACAAAGAUGAUGAGAGAUCAAUUACUUCGAGGAUUUGUAGCUGGAUAGGCUGGUUUAUGCAUUUUUGUUUUUUUAUUUAAAGUUUUGUUGUCUUUAGAUGUUAAUAGCUCAUAGACAUGUCGCUAGCUAGUAGAAUUUGCAUUCUCCGAUUGUCAUGAUCCAGUGCAUUUAAAGGCUUUAAUCAUCUGUUAGACUUCAAUUGCCUGUGUAAUCAAAUGUUCCGCACAUUCCAAUGUAUCACCUGUCAACUUCUUCUAUUGGCAAAGAAGAAGGGCUUGAUCUGUUCUCGUUUGCAAUUACAAGUUGGUAAAUGGUCAUAAUGUCGUCCCGUGCUUAGGCGUGCUAUUGUUGAGGAAUUAGCGGGGCUUGGGGCUACCGUCUACACCUGCUCCAGGACUGAAGCUGAACUCAAUGAAUGCUUGAAAGAGUGGAAGCGUAAGGGCUUCCAAGUGGCGGGUUCGGCUUGCGACGUUUCCUCAAGAUCCGAGCGAGAGAAACUGAUGCUCGCCGCGUCCUCCCUCUUUGACGGCAAGCUCAACAUCCUAGUAAGCGUCGGUCGUCUUUGACCCCGUGGAUCCAAUAACAACAUUGAUAAGGUCACGAUUUGUGCUUUUAUUUCGAUAGAUUCUGUUCCGUUUUUCAUUUUCUUGGGAUUGGUUUGUGUGUUAGAUAAACAACGUUGGGACUCUGGGGACAACCGGUGGAAUGCCGACCGUGGAUUGCACGGCGGAAGAUUUCUCCUUCAUUAUGACUACUAACUUCGAAUCGGCUUAUCACUUGAGCCAGCUUGCGCAUCCUCUUCUCAAGGCUUCGGGAACCGGAAGCAUCGUGUUCUUGUCAUCCGUCUGCGGUAUUGUUUCACUCAGCGUCGGAUCAAUUUAUUCAGCCACAAAAGGUGAAUUGAUAGUAUCAUGAGCAACUAUUUAAACACUUUUAAUAUGGAGCUAAACAAAUUCCAUAUGUUUCUUACUUUCUCAACUCAUUGUUAGGAGCAAUGAACCAGUUGACCAAGAAUUUGGCGUGCGAAUGGGCUAAGGACAACAUAAGAAGCAACUCUGUUGCACCUUAUUUUAUUCUGACUCCAUUGACCGAGCCUGUAAUUUAAUGUCCCAAGGCUUUAAAUUUCUAUCUUGACCAUUUUUCCCAUCGUGAUCUAACGUUAACCCAUCCUCCGUCGCAGCUACUUUGUAGUGAGGAGUUUCAUAAGGAGGCAAUAGCCAGGGCGCCGCUCGGUCGCACAGGAGAGCCGAAGGAGGUGUCGUCACUUGUGGCCUUCUUGUGCUUGCCGGCAGCCUCCUAUAUAACGGGGCAGACCAUUUGUGUCGAUGGAGGAUUCACUGUCAAUGGCUUCUCCUUUCCUAGAGCAUGAGUGUAACUUUGUUCUGUGUCUGAGAUGUUUGUCGUGCGUUGCCGUCGCAGGGAUAAAGAAGUUUAUUAACCAAUAAUGGCAACGUCGCAAUACGUUUCAAUGUGUACGUCGAUCAUUUGUUGACCGCAUAUAAGGGAGAGUAUCGUACUCCCACUUUGUAUUCCCUUUCGAGCUCUUUUAUGCAAUUGCCUAUGAGUAAAAUUUAUGUACUUGACAAGCAAUGAUGGAAACAGCAGACAUGAUAUACUACAACAGCACUAUCCGAGAAUAUAACAUUUUUUUACACAAGACAAACGAAGUUUGAUUCACAUAUAUGUUAUAUCUGUUUUCCAUAUAUCUAAACGCUAAAUCAUAAAAUCCAAAGUGUAAUUUAUUAUUAAUUCCUAACACGAAAUUGACCAAGUAUGUUUCGUAGCAAUUGUAUCGUCAAAAUCGUCUUUGUAAUGCUAUGUUAAUAAUAUUUGUGAAAGAAUGCCUCCUUUUAUGGCACUGCCUUGGUCAAAGAGAUGUUUUAAUUUGAACAUGAGAUCCACAACAUCAAGAUGGUAUGAAUCGAGAAACUUGAUGCAUUGGAAAUAUAGAACCACUGAAAUUAACAUAUAUAGCUUUAUAUAACCGUAGCAAGGUAGAGGUUAUCACUAGCUUUGCCUUCAUAUGAGUGAAAGAUGUGAUGAUGAGGUAAAAUUCAAUAACGCAGCCUGAAAACAUGCCGGAAAAUUCUUUUUUGUGAUCUAAAAAUAGCAUCAAAUGCCUUGACCCUACAGCCUCACAGCGUUGAGCUUUGUAGGAGCUUCUGGACGGGCAAUACUGACCACAUAACUCUGGGUUGAUCAAAUCUUAUCUCUAGUUAAAGUAGAGGUGCACGAAAUUUCGGGCCAAAGCUAGAAAAGUCCGGAUCAGAGACGGCUAAUUCAUUUUGAUUCGGGCUAGUGUAAUUAAGGACUAGGUGCAACCUACAAUCAUUACGAUCAAUUCGUUUUGGAUGGGCCAAGAAAUACACAAGUGCUUGGCCAAGCACAAUCCUACUAUCUCUGAAAUUAUUAUAAAGGAAUGAUAUAUCAAAAUUGACAAUUUUCAAAUGCCUAAAUCAUGAAGUUAUUUUUCUCAACCUAAACCAUAACAGUUAAUCGAUCAUCUAAAUCAACGACAUAAGAAAAACGAAGUGUUUGAUGAGAGAGAGAGAGAGAGACCCGAUUCCUUUGGUACCACCGAUGACCAGGGCGGCCAUUCCCUGAAGUGACCACCUGUUGUCGUUGUUGCCGCUGCGACUGCUGCAUCUACUUGCAGCUUGCAGUCCCCUUCCCCUCACGCCGCAUGUGAAUUGCGAACCACUCCCAACGUAAGGUCAUAGAAGUCUGCUGAGGGUGAGAACUGUAGCAAUGACAAGACUUAGGACGCCACAACGAUUUCGAACCACAGAAUUUGCAUUCUAUCAUGGAAGUAGGCAAGUCCCACACCUAUCUUUUAUCGAAGCACCACGUUACUUGUGUUUUCAUGUUACUCAGGUUGAACUGAUAGUUAUUCAUACAGUUGUCAUAUAAUGCCAACCUUCAUGAUCAUCCUGGUGCAAUGUGAGUAACAUGAUAGUGUAGAAACAUUCCCAAAUGUGAAUCACCAAAUAGAAAACUAAUGAAUUACUAAAUCCAGAGACUUAGUGUGAACUUUUCCAAGCCCAUACCAACCGUAUUUUUCAAGUUUUUUAAUUUUAAUUAGCAUAACAUGUAAAUUAGUUUAUUUACGAGUCGCCACUCAUCAAUUAUCAGUUGGUCGUAUUUUUCGAGUUUUUAAUUUAAUUAGCAUAACAUGCAAAUUAGGUUAUUAUUAUUAUUCUUCUUCUAAUUUAAAUAAUUUAGUUUUUAAUUUAUUUUGAAUUAAUAUUAAAUUAAUAAAUUUAGUGGCAAAAUGAUGUCGUUUUGCACCUUCAUUGCUGAGUUGGCUUUUGGCAAGCCACGUAGAUCACAUAUAUUAUUAGAAAAAUGCCACGUUGGGUUUUCGGCUACUUUCACUAGAUUUGGCACUAAUGUGUCCCACUAUUAAAAGAGAGUGGCAUUUAAGUGUACAUUUUAGAACUUUUAGCACUAAAGUAUUCACUUAUGCCAAGUUUUGGCAUUCUCGAUAUUCUUUGUCCAACAUCUAACUAUUAAAGAUAUGUUAAAAAAGUUUAGGUUAGUGCCUGACAUAUGCCACAUAGGACCGCCAACAUCCACGUCAAUUAUUUCUAAUCUAAAUUGGCUAAAUAAAUUGAAGUGGUAUCAAAGUAAAAAGGUUUAGAACUAAAGUUUAAAACUGAAUUUGUAUUAAUGCAAUAAGUUUAUGACUUUUUUGAUACUGUUCCCAAUUAUCAACGUACUACUUCCCCUUGUUAUGUGGCCAUUGUAUCAGACACGUUAAUUGCCAGCCUAAUCUAAGUGGGCAAUGAUAGUGAUAGCCACCCUCCUAAAGGCAACGGGGAUUCCCCGAGGAAUGUUGACAGAUUGCUAAGUGAUUGUGAAUAGCUUUGCCUAACAUGAGCCUUCCCAAAUUUACCAAUCACAACUUAAUUUUUCCAAUAAAUUAUUCAAGCAAUAUUAGAUUAAAGUUGCCACUAACCUAUUAAGUGUCGAGUAGUAACCCGGAUAGGAUGUAGUGGUCCAUCUUGCUCCCAAGAACCAAAUUUAAUUAUGCUAUAUGAAUCUAACAUUGUUUUUUUACCCUUCUCUUUAUAAAAUCGCUUUAUCAUAUUAUAGCCUAAAAGUGAUCGUGAAUGGUUCUCAAGCAAUAAAAUAAACAAUCAGGCAAUAAACAUCAAAUAACGAAAUAAUAAAUAUCUAGCAAAUAAAUAAAUAACUAGAAUAAUAAAGAACUCCAGCCGAAUUGGGCAAUAAUUACAAAGCUUUUUCAUAGGCUUUAGGGUAAAACCCUGUGUGCUGUAGGUGAAAAGUCUAAAAGUACUCAUGCAAGCUUCCUAAAAUAGACAAUUGUAUCACAGGAAAGUGAAUAUGCAAAUGUAACAUGCUAUGUAAAGUAAAUUCACUAAAUGAAGUGUUUUUUGAAAAUGAGCCAUUAAACAUGGGAAUAGAAUUUAACAUUAUGCAAUCCAAUACUAAGGCUAUAUUUCAUAGUCAGGAUAAAAUUCAAGAUAUGAUAUUAUCCUAUCCUGCAUUUGGUGUCGCUCAAGAUAGGAUAUAGUCGCAUAUAAAUGGUAUAGACCGGAUAAUAUUAUCCUAUGAUGGAAAUGGGAUAAAUGUGGAUGGGAUUUCUAAUAUCUAUAAUAGGAAAGUUUUUUUUUUUUAAUGAAAAACUUCUUAAAUUAACAAAAUUAAAUUAUAUAUCAAUAUAAAUAAUAUUUGAAUUCUAAUAUAAUAAAUUCAAAAUAAAAAAUAGUUAUUUUAAUUUAAUCUUAUUUUAUUUAUAUAUUUGAAUUUAAUUCUAUUUUAUAAUAUAAAUUCAAUAUCUAAAUAUAAAUAUAUAUUAUUACAUAUUUUAGGUACUUUAGUAUUUUAGGUAUAUUCGCAUAGUUUACCAUUUAAUAAAAGUUUAUUAGAGAAUGAUGGAAGGGGAAGAAAGAAAUAAAAAAGAUAUUAAUUGAUAAAAGAGAGGAAAAUAAAAUAAAAUAAAAUAAAAUAAAGUGGGUAAGAGUGUCACGAGAGUUUUUUAUCAUCUCCAUUUGUAAAAUUUGUUUAUUCAUUUUAACUAAUAUACUGUUAAUAUCAAACAAUGUACAUGAUAUGAUAUGAAUACAUUCGACUUAAUUACUGCAAUUACUAAACAUUGAAUAUGAUAUAAUAAAAUCUCUAGAUUUCAUAUCCUAUCAUAUUCAGUCCUAUCCUAAUUAAAAAUUCGAACAAUCAAACGUAAUCUAAAAGAAUGAAUCUACUUAUAUAAUAUGAAUAUGCCCUAAAUGCACCCUCCUACAUAUUUUUGUGAUUAUUCAAAUGAAGAUGCAAUCUAAUUACCAGAAGAAAUGAUUUUUUAAAUUUUUUAUUUUAUAACUUGUGAUUAUGGUAACAAACAUAUGAAUAUCGGAAUACAAUAAUAAUUCAAUUUGACGAAUUUAGUCAUAAAUUUUUUAAUGUUUUGACAAUGUAAUCCAAGGUCGAAUAUAUAUAUUUUUUUGGUCAAAGAUAGAUGAUUCUUUCAUUCACAAGCAAAGAUUACAAGAAGACGAUAGGGUGGAUUCAUAGCAUAAAAUACUAAGAAGAGGAUAGGGAGGUGCCUUGAAAUAGUUUGUGGGAAGGGACUUAAGACGAUGCGAUUUCUCUACCCAAUCAGCGGCUUGGUUGGCUUCUCUCGUGCAAUAAGACAACUUAACGAAAGGUAAGUUUUGUAGCAUGAUUUUGAUUUCAUUAAUCAAGCUUCUCAUAGCCCAUGAGCUUCGGCCUGGCCCAGCGUUGCUUCAACAAGAGAUUGAUUAUCGCUUUGUACUUCCCAAGCACUUCCCUUGUUCUGAAACUGAACUAUGCCCACGUGAGUUGUUGUUCUAUGGGUGAGAAAAUGUAGACCGUGCGAGAGAGCUAGGGCUUCAGCGCACAAAGCAUUCGCCACUUGGAUCUCAGCAGCAAAUCCAUCGAUCAACAGCCCUCUUGAGUCGCACACAACCCCCGCCAUCGAGUUCUUCUCUUCCCCCUUCACCCAGGAGCAAUCGAUGUUGAGUUUGAAGCCAUCUCUGUCCGGCGGUUUCCACGUUUCAGGUGAAGAGCGGUUGCUAGAUCUCUUCUGUUCUUUACUCGGGACCCAUCUGGAGAAGGCCCUAACUUGGGCGUGAGCUAGAUCUGCUAUAAAGUCAAAUUUGGGAGGCUUGGAUAAGAAGAUAUGGUCAUUCCGAAGCUUCCAUAUGAUCCAAAGCGUGCUGGCCACCAUCUCCACUAAGGGUAAGUCGAGUUUUUCAGCAAAGAAAUCUUCAAACAACUUAUCCAUUCAGGUUACUGAGAUUGUUUUGUUGUAGAGGUUGAGUCGCGGGUCAAGCCAUGUAUGUCGGGUUCUUUUGUAGAGGAAAAAGAGAUGCUUUGUUGUUUCAAGGUGUCGAGAAUAGGGUGGGCACAACGGAUCAGGUAAUACUCGCCUCUUAUAAAAAUUUUCCUUUGUGGGUAUUGCGUUUUGACAGAUGCUCCAUAGAAAAAACUUAACUUUGGGAGGGAUUGGGAUACUCCAUAAUCGGGUCCAUAAGGAUUUAGGUGGCUGGUAUGAAGUAGUUGCUUUGUUUGGAUCUGGAGAAGUAAUCAAUGAGCAAAUCCUGUUGUAUCCACUUUUAACUGUAUAGGAGCUGGACUUGUUUCCCGUCCAUAUCAUCCUAUCUUUCUGUGGUAUUGCUGAAAUAGGGAUUGCAAGAAUUUCUUUAACUACUUGGUCGUCAAAAAGUUCACGAAGCUUUGGCUCAUCCCAUGCUCUGCCUUCAUUGCACAUUAAUUUAGCAACUUUCUCAGGAUCAUUUAUAUUCGCCGGCCCGCCUAAUACUCCCCUUGGAAGCCAUUUGUCCUGCCGAAUGUGAAUACGUUCCCCAUCCCCCACCAUCCAUUGGACUUCCGGUUCAAUAGUGUCUCAGCCUAUGAGAAUGCUUCGCUAGCCCCAAGAUGGCCUCUGUCCUGGUUUUGCUCUCCAUAAGUCCCCAUUUGGAUAGUAAACACCUUUUAAUAUCUAGCUCCAUAGUGCUGAGGGUGAUUGUAAUAAUCUCCACGCUUGUUUGUUUAACAUAGCCUUAUUGAACUUAAUUAGGUCUUUAAAGCCAAGACCCCCUUCAUCUUUUCUGGACUUCAAAACUUCCCAUUUCCUCCAAUACAUACAUCUUUUAGAAUCAUUUUGUUUCCACUAGAAGGCUGCAAUCCUUUGUUCAAUGGCUUUGCAUACUGAUAUUGAGAUUUUGAAAAUAGACAUGGCAUACCGGGGAAGAGCCUAUAUCACUGCUUUGAUCAAGACAUCUUUGCCGGCUUUAGACAGUAAUUUUUCUUUCCAUCCUUCAAGCUUCAUGUUUGCUCUUGCAGGAAUCCAUGAAAACAUCUCAUUUUUUGUUUGUCCCCAGUCAGAUGGAAUUCCCAAGUACUUCCUUGUUUUGUCGAUAAUAGGCACACGUAACUCAUAUGCCAUAUUCAUUUUCAAGCUCAGAGGGCAGCCUUGCUAAAAAACACAUGAUUUGUUUAAAUUGAUGGUUUGAUCGGUAGCAUAGCAAUAUUGAUUCAAAAUGUUUGCCACAUUUUGACAUUCUCUGACUGUCCCAUCCAGAAAAAGUAUAGCAUCGUCUGCAAAUAAUAGAUGAGACAGCGUGGGACAAUACCUGUUCAAUUUUAUUCCUUUGAUGCUUCCAUCUUCUAGUGCUUUGUGCAUCAUCCAGGAGAAUGCAUUUGCCAUUAACAUAAAUAGGUAUGGGGACAAUGGAUCUCCUUGUCUUAAACCCCGCGUCGAAUGGAAAUAUCUUGUAUGAUUGCCAUUGAUUUUGACACUAAAGGACACCAUGGAGACACAAUGCAUCACAAGCUCAAUCCAUUUUUUACCAAAUCCCAUCUUCCUCAUACUCAUUGUUAAGAAAUCCCAUUCAACCCUAUCAUAAGCCUUUUGCAUAUUCAGUUUAAGAACUGCAUGGAAUUUCUUUUUGUGAUCUAUAAUCCUUAGCUGAUGCAAAACCUCUUGAACAAUAUAUAUGUUGUCAUGUAUUUGUCGUUCUUUAACAAAGGCGCUUUGUUUAGUAGUUAUUAGCUCAGCAAGGCAUGGUUUUAGUCUAUUUGCUAGCACUUUAGAGAUAAUUUUAUAGCUUAAAUUACAUAAACUGAUUGGCCUAAACUGACAAAUACUUUCUGGAUUUUUCACUUUUGGAAUAAAGGAUAUAUGAGUCUUGUUGAGCAGGGGAUCAAAUGAACCUGAUUCAAAAAAGUUUUUGACCAGAUUGAACACUUCUAGCUUAAUCUCUUCCCAAUAAUACUGAUAAAAUUGUCCAUUAAGGCCAUCCGGACCGGGGGCUUUGAGUGUACCUAGCUGGAACACCGCUUCUUUGACCUCUUCCAUUGAAAUAGGAGCUAACAGGCUUUCAUUCAUUUCUCUAGUGACUAUAGAUGGGCAUAUGUCUAGCAGAGGUUGAAGGUUUCUUGGGCCUGCCGAUUCAUAUAAUGAGCGAUAGAAAUCUUCUAUGUGUUGCUUCAAUAUUUUCUGAUCCUUACACCAAGUAUCUUCAUUUAGUUUCAACACGGAGAUUCUAUUUCUUUGUCUUCGUUGAACCGUUGUAGCGUGGAAAUAUUUUGAAUUCCCGUCGCCCCAUUGAAGCCAAUUUGCGCAAGACCUCAUAUAACAAUGCUGGUUGUUUCCACAGCCGUUCUAUAUUCUCUUUAAGCUCCUGACUUUCCUGCUUGCUGGAAAAUUGGUGAUCCCCAUUCGUAAUCUCAGUUAAUUUUUGUUUGAGCCUUUUGAUUUGGAUAGAGGCAUUAGAAAACUUAUUUUUGCUCCAUGCGGUCAACUCUUGUGUAACGGAAUGUAUUUUCUGAGAAAAAGUCAUAUAACAAUGCUGGUUGUUUCCUCAGCAACGACUUAUGAUGUCCCGACAUUCUUCUUCCUCCGUCCAAUAUGCUUCAAACUUAAAUUCCUUUCUUUUAUUCUCCCGAGCAAGAUGUAAAGAUAACACCAAAGGGCUAUGAUCAGAACCUACCGCUGGAAGGGCGACAACUUCAGCAUUUGAGAAGGUAAUUCUCCACUCCAUUGUACAAAGAGCUCUAUCUAGCCUCUUUUUAACUAAAUUUUCACCUUCUCUAUUAUUAGCCCAAGUAAAAGCACACCCCUUUGUAUCAAUAUCCAUCAAGGAACAAUCGUUGAGCAUCUCUCUAAAGGCCGCUAUUCUAUGUUGAUCAGCUUCCCUUUUCCCAACUUUUUCCCAACUAUAUAGAAUUUCAUUAAAGUCCCCCAUACAGAGCCAAGGAAGUUGAUUAGUAGAAUGAAGAUUCCGAACAUUUUCCCAUAACAUAAGUCUCUCCUGGAAUUUUGUGGAAGCAUGCAUCAUUGUGACUCUCAUUAGUUGUCCACUAUUCGGAUCCUUACAUUCCACAUCCAUAUGCUCUUUUGAACUCGAAUUGAUUUGAAUUUCCACGCCCUCAUUCCACAUCAGCACCAAACCCCCGGCAAUUCCUAUUGGUUGCUCUACGAAUAUGUGUUGAAACUUCUAUCUUUUUCAGACUUUAUCCACCAUCGACUCCUUAUUUUUAGUUUCCAUCAAGAAAACCAAAUCGGGCUUUUCUUGAGCCAUUAAGGCUCUAAGCUCCUAAACUGUCAGGGGGUUGCCCAGCCCCUGACAGUUCCAACUUAGAAUCUUCAUGGUGUCUUUGGUGGCUUAUUAAGGCUAGCCACCAGAGCCCAAUCCUUCCCCUCUCUUACCAACUGCACAGGGGUAUCUAAUAAUUCCAUAUCAUCCAGAAUAUAAGAGGUAGAAACUUCUGCUCUUUUCUGUUUAUUUGUUUUUUGAUAUUUCGGCAUCUUCGUUUUAGAUUCACCUGUGAUGUUCAGUCCUGCAUUGGGUGGGCCUUCGAGUAGCAUCAACUGUUUUCCACUGCCCUCUUUGGCUGAUGAAAGCAUUUCUUUGCCAUCUCUUCCCACCAAUGAAGAAGGGCUAUCUACUCAUUUCUUGUUCCGGGAAAGGGGGUUAAUUGUUUCAGUUUCUGCCCUUGCAGUAACUUCCAUAUUGACUGUCUCCACGGGAGUUUCAGGUAUAGAUUCUUCUUCAUUAGGAACAACCUUGCCAUAAAAUGCUUCCCAAUGUGGACUUUUACUUCUACUUUGAACCAUGGCCCAUACUUUCCUACCUUGUUUGUAGCCCAGUUCGUUGUUUCAUAGGGUAUCUCCUCACAAUAUGAUGCAUAGUGCCCAAUUCGCCCACAUGAGUAACAAAAGUGAGGGAGACGCUCAUAUUUAAACUCCACCCAUAAAUUCUUGUUCCCUAUCUUGACUAAAGCCCCAAUUUUCAGAGGAGCUGUAUGAUUCAUCUCUACUUUAGCUUUCCCUGUCUUAUAGGGACCAUAGCCUUUAGAUGCUAAUUGUAUUUCUUUUACUGCUCCCACUUUACCAGCAACAUUAGAAAAUACCUCUUCUAAGAUCCAUCCCGGGGGUAGUCCAACAAUGUGAACCCAUAACUCAUAUCUAGAAAAAUCAUAGCAGUGUACAGGGAUAUCUGGCUCACAUUGUUUUAGCACUAACAAAUUGCUUGCAAAUGACCACGGCCCAGAUUUCAGGACUCUCUCCUUUUCCUCCUCUGUCUCGAAUACAAACGAGAAGAGACCCAGUUCUUUUUUAGAGCAUUCAACAGCCUCUGUUUUCCACGCCUUCUUCAUAGUGUUGCAAAAUGCUUGAAAAUUCACAUUGGAUUUUGAGUAUAACUUACCAAAGAGAGUAUGACUACAUUCAAUGCGUUUGUUAUGGGGGAUUUCCUGUUGUACUUCAAUUACAUCAUUGGCAGACCAUAAAUGGCCUAAACUCUUGCAGAGAGCAGCAAGACGACACUGAUUUUCCUCAUCAUGCUCCAUUCCGGCAUCAAAUUAGUGGGUUUUUGGGGUUGAUAGUGGCUGAGGGAUGAGGUUAUCUUCAGGACUGUUCUGUGGAUGUCUAAUGGCUUUGGGUAUUGGGUGAUUGAAGGGAGCUUUGCAAGAUAGUGGAGGGGAGGCGAAAUCUGUCGGAAGGUGCUACUCCACGCUCGAUUUCCUGUGAAACAUAAGGGGGGAUUGCAUUUCCGAGAUGGUUUUAGGGUUUGUGUUCUGUAUACCCAUGGAUUUGGGCAAUGAUUUACUAGUUUCGAAUGGUAUGGUUUCCACAAAACUAUGGGAUGGAGCAGUGAUUUAGGUUUUGGGGGUAAAAGCUCCUAUGGGAUUGGGAGAGGAGAACUCAACUAGCGAGAGAGAAAUCUUAAAAAGUGGUUUAAUAGUUCCAAGGUCGAAUAUCACUAAAGUAAAUGUUGGGCAUUUUAUGCGGUAUGGUGAGCUUUGAUGUAGAUCAUUUUUACAAAAAAAUUCUAAAUUUUGUUCUUUCCUUCCUUUCCUUUUCUUUCUCUUUUCUUUUUGCCAGUGGUUGGUCGCUAGCUUGGUGAGGGUCGCCCUCACUCACUACAUGCGAAGGUCGGCCGUGCCUAGGCAAGGCCUAGUGAGGCUGCCUUGGCUUGGGCGAGGGACCCUCACCCAAGCUAGGGUGGCCUCACUAGCACUCACCCUCCCCUAGAGAAGGUCGGCCCUUGCUAGCCAACAAAGUGUAAAAAAAAUUGUAAAAAAUGUCUACAUCAAUGCUAACUGUAUCAUAUAGAAUGGCUGGCAUCUAGCUAGUGAUUUUUGGUCAAAAUUGGUCAAAUAGACUACAUUAGCAAAUUGUCAAAAGGUUUAGGACUCGAUUAGCCAAAUUGAAAUUUUUAGGACUAAAUAGGACUUUAUUAAUAAUUUCCCUGGCAAUUUCCUAUAUAUUGGAUCUCUAAUUAUUUAACAUGUGAUUCAUGAACCAUGAAAUCAUUAACUUAUGUAAAAAGCCAUGUCCAUCCUAACAUGCAAUCGAACAAUCACGAACAAGUGAGGUGCAGGAAACACUUCUAUUGUCGGUCUUCUAUCUUUUUGGAAAUGAUAGGACGAUGCAUGCAAAAGAGUCCAUAUUUUUAUCACGUGAGAUGCAUCCUAAAGAUAAUCAAUUAGGCCCUUCAUCUCAUCCCAACCUGGACAGCACGCAUCUCCGAUAACGCUCAGGAAUUUGGUUCGAUCCCUCGCAUCGUGCAAUCCUGUUUAGUCGAUUAUAGCGAGCUAAGACAAAUCAUGUUCAGGAACUGCGUGGAGAUGGUUUAUGACCAGUUCCUAAGGGUGGCGAUUAGGGACCAAAUAAAAUCAAUAGCGAGCGAAUCAAUAGUCUCAAUGUGUUCAGCAGCUCGAAUAGGAUGGCAUUGUCUCGAUCGAUUCAAACUAGCAAACACAGUCACACUUGUUGUCUCGAUGUGUUCGGCGGCUUGAAUAGGAUGGUAGCAACUCAUUAUCUCGAUCGAUUCAAACUAGCAAACACAGUUACACAGCUUUGCGAUGAGGACUACGACUAAGAGCAAAAAUAUUGGCAACAAUGCCUUUUGCGGUGGCUCGAGAUGGACGCGAUAAUUGCGAUGUGAAUGAUGCUAUGCGAUCAAGUCAAAGGAGAGUCAAGCAGCGGGAUCUGAAUGUUGCUUGUAUUCUCCCCGUGGUGUGUUUUGUUUUGGGUCGAGAGUCUCUUCACAAUUCCACUGAAUAUUCUGCUUGGUCCCGACCGAGAGAAUACAUGCUGUCUCUGGCCGAGGGUGUUGCGGUAUUUGCUGAAAUCCCUUUCAUUGAAGGGUGCUGCUGAGAUUUCAGUAGAGGGUGGCCGGGCUUAUGGGGGCUCGGGCUUGAAAAUUGAAGUGGGUUUUUCUCUUUUAAAUUUAAUUUCAUUUAGCCGGGCCAGUUAAAUUGCAGUUCACAACCAAGCCGAUUUUAAUGGAAUUCAUUUGAUGCGGACAUGUUACUAGUGAACAAAAAAUGGUCAUAUGCCUAAAUGCAAUGUGCAUGCAAAAUUGUGUGAUAGCAGUAUUUUGUUUGAAGGGUCAAAUAAUGUCAUUGUCAGAAAAUUCAAUCCCAAAGUUUUUUGUGAAACAUCUGAGAUUUUUAGACAAAAAGUCAUAUGUCAACAGAUAAUUUUAAAAGAUAUUUAAAAAAAUUUCGAGGAAAUUAUCUUUUUCUUCACCCUUAAUUAAUGUAUGUUUGCCAUGACAAUAAAUUUGAUCGAUAUAAGUAAUGGUCAUGCUUGAUCUAUUAGUUAAGACGUACUCAAUGUAAGUGAAUCAAAUUUUCUCUUUAAAUCAACAAUUUCAAACGUCUUUAAAUAUAAUUUAAAUUUGAAAGGAGUGUUAGAAUACUUAAAUGUUAAACCGCACUUCAAUAUAACAAUUUAGAUUUCUAAAAAGUUGACAGUAGUCUUACAAAAUCUUAUCUAAAGUUCAAAUGCUCAUUAUAUAUUUUAUCUCUAAUGUAGGUUAGAUGACAAAAUAGUAUUAUGCUUAAUAUUCGUAUCAUCAAGGAUAUCAAGUGACUCAAUAUUCAUAAAAUGCUUAAAUCUAGUCUAUAUCGGACAAUAAAUGCAUUAUAUAAUCAUAAGAUAGGCUCUAUAUUGGCCUUAUUAAGUGUUUGAGUAUAAUCCAUUUGUUCAAUUAUCCAUCAAUUAUCCAACGACAACUCACGACUUCAUCUUGCAGGUCAACAUUACAUAACAACCAAUGAACUCUCGAGAUUUUCCCUCUCAAGUGAUUUUUCAUAGAGAGAGAGAGAGAGAGAGAGAGAGAGAGAGAGCCUAAGUAAUGAAUGGGCCAUGUGCAUUUAAAGGCAUAUGUUAGACUUCAAUUGCCAGAACAAUCAAAUCUUCCGCUCAUUCCAAGUUAUCACGCGUCCUAGGGCCUCAACAUUUGGAACUUCUUCUAUUGGCAAAGAAAAAGGCUUGACAUGUUCUUGUUCGCAAUUGUUAAUAAAAAAUUAAUUUUAAAACAAAUAUAAAAAUUGUCCACUAAAUUUGUAUUGUAAGAAAGCGUUUUGAUAAUAUAAUUUUUUUUAAAUAUAAGAAACAAGUUAUCCCAAAUUAGAUUAAAUAAGGAUGUGUUGUAACAAUAUAGAUUGAAUUAGGUAUGGGUCAAGAAAUUUGUAUUAUAGAUAAAUGGAUCAUAAAUAGAUUAGUGAGUCAAUUUGGAUCGGACUGUUCAUGACCAGACCAAACCCACCUGUUUGACAGGUCUAAGUGCCACAUAUAAUUUAUUGCAGCCAAAUCUUUUCUAGGAUUAAAAGUUGUACCAUGAACAAUUUUUUUAAAAAGCAUUUGGAAUUGAGAAAAUAAAAAAGAAAUAUGUAAUGUAUGUUAUGUUUUUAUCAUUUUUGUUCAAUUGUUUUGCGCCAAUCUAUAAUUAAAACUUCUUUCUAGUCUAUAUUGGCGAGAUGACUGGAUAUGCAUUAAGAAUUAUCUCUAAACAAAAAUUUCCUAAUAAUUGGGAUAUCAUUAAAAAGUUCAAAAAACUACUUAUUUAAAGUAAUAAAUUACCUAUUGGAUGAACUAUCCUGACUUAAAUAUUGAAUAAGAUUGGACGAACAUAGAUGACUCAAAAUGUGUCAAAUUAAGAUAGCAUUAGCAGACAAGAUUUUGAUAUCAAUGCUGAUGGUUUUAUGUGAUGGGCUUAAGGCCUGUCCGCCCAUGUUGGGCCUAAAAAGCCCAGCCCACAGGAUUAUGGCUCAUGGAUGAAGGGGUACGAUUCUUUGUUUUUUGGAGGGACGUAUAUAAUGGAGGAGAGAAAAGGAGAACGUACCUUUUGACAUUACGUACGUUCCUUCCUCCCUCUCUCCCUCCAAAAAAAGAACAGUAAGCAAAAGAGGCUACGUAGUCUUCCCUUCAAGGCGAAUUAGCGUCAUCGGAUCGAACAGGGCCAAUUUCUCUUCCUCAAUCUUCAGCAUUGGUGUUUAAUCUGUGGCUAACAAGGUACGCUCGAAUCCGUGGUGUGCUUUAGGAUCGGUGAUACGUGAUUUUCCUAGGCUUGUCUUCUGCAUUCGUUUUAGGGGUUUGAUUUAGUGUCGAAUCCGGUUUUUGGGGAUCCGUUAAUCCCAACAUUAGUAUCAGAGCCCUAGUUCAUGUUUUCCUGAUCCUUUUCAUGUUUUUUGAUUGAUUUUUCGCAAAGAAAUUCGGCUGACAUGGAUCGGGGCGAGAAAUCCCGACACCCGAGCACUGUUCGUCCGUUUUUUUUUUUUUUAGUUUCUGUAAGUAGAAAUCGAAUUUUGAUGGCAUAGGGUGAAAUGGCCCGUCGAGACGAGUCCGACGACAUGUUGUGCGCCGCUAGGCGACGCCGCACGCGCCCACAUGCGCGGCCAGAAGCCGCUGCUCGUGGGCGCCACGCGCCGGUCGGCGAACUGGCACGUGCGCGAUGCCAGCGGCGAACCGGCACGCGCCAGUCGGCGAACUGACUCGUGCUGACGUCACCCAACGGUCGGUAACUACUGGGAUGACGUCAGUGCCGACGACGGCUGGCCAGGCGGUCACCGGCCGACGACCCGACCGGCGACCCGACCUGACCCAACCCGCGGACGCCUGGCACGCGUGCGGCACAUGCAGUAGGUUCGUCCGACCCGGCUCGACCGGCCUGAUCGGUUCAACCGGUCCGACGACCUGCCGCCCAUUGACCCGUUGAUCGACCGUUGACCAUUGACCCGAAAAAAAAAAUUGUUUCUUUUUCAUUUAUGCCUAUGUGGGUUAUAUGUAAUCCAUUAUUUAUUCUGCAUUUGUUGCAUGAAUUUUUGAAAAUUAUGUAUUUUCCCUUAUGUAAAUUAUGGAUUAUGAGUAAUCCAUUUUUUGGUUCUGCAUUUGUUGCAGGAAUUAGGAUGCGUUAUGCACGAAUACCUGCAAUCCCGAGAACGGACGAGGGAAAUGCAAGACUUAAAAGGCUGAUGUCAAAUUUAGCUAAUUAUCGGUGGCAUGACGGUGAUUUAGUAUCACAUGUGGUCAUGGUCAAUCAGAUGAUACAGGAAAUCAUCUGGAAUGGUUAUCUUAUGCCGGAUUUUGAGAAGGUGUCGGCUUUGAUGAACACUCUUCUACCUGAAUGGCAAUCAGUGUUAGAUCGGCUAUGGGAGGUCAACGUGGUCCCGGGUUAUAGGAGGCUAGUGAAAGCUUUUGUAAGAGAGUACUAUAAGAUUGAGUUGGCCAAAACUUCAACCCUUAGAUUGAACGCCACAUGGUGCAGAGUGAAUGCGCCUUGGAGGCGACAUGAAAGCUCUCUAAAAGUUUUUCCAUGGUUGGCAAAUGUGCCUUCAAAUUUCUUGGAUAUUUUGAUUGAUAGAUUAGAAGGAACAUUCCCUAUUUAUUUCUUAGAUUAGUUUGAGAUGUUUUUGGGUGUGAAUAUCUCUUUCUAUGUUGAUAUUUCUUUGUAUAUAUUACUUAGUGUAAUAGAUAGUUGUAUUAUGUGAAAGCAUUGUUAUUCUAUUGGAUAUUAGAUAUUAUUUGCUUUCUGUUAUUGAUGACUGCUGUGGGUAGUUCAUAGAAGUUUUUGUAACUUCAUAAAAUUUAUUUUGCAUAAGACAAUUAUAUUAAUGAUAAUUUUAAGUUAGGAUUUUUAGAGAAUGAUUGGAAACAUAGUGACCUUUUGAUUCUGAAGCCUUACUUGAAAUUAUUCAUUAAUAUGAUGGGUCUGUGCAAAUAGGGAUGCAUAAAUGAUAGGCAUUAAUUAUUCGUGCAUGUAUGUCUGAUGUGUUCAGAUCGAUGUUUUCAGCAACUAAGAACGUAAUUGCUUAUAUGAACGGCAACAAUUGUGAAAUAUUGAAUAUGAAGAUUCAAUAUGUGCUGGAAAAGCAAGAAGCACUAGAAGCUCUUGACUAUGUUAUGGAAGAUCUUGAAGAUGCCAUGCGCCACCUCAAGCUAGCUGAGGACCGCCUAACGGCAUUUGAGCCGAAAAUAGAUAUUUGCUAUGUUGGUUCUAGCUCAGAAAGGGCUUUGAGCUCUAAGCGCAAGCGUAUUGAUUCGUUCAAUAUGUGGGAAUGCAAAGGAUCAAGUCCUUAUUGCAAGAAAUCAAGAGUUAAUCAACACAAGAGAGGAAAAUGUCCUCAAGUGAAGAAAAUGUCAAGGGUGAGGUGUUACAAUUGUGACAAGAAAGGUCACUAUGCUCGCGAUUGUCGUGAGCCAAAGAAGGUAAACACCUCUUGUACAUUUGAGAAUUUUGCUUAUGUGUCAAGUUCUGUAUUAUUGGCUGAAUCCAAUCAUUUGUGGACUGUAGAUUUAGGAGUAACAGACCAUGUAGCAAAGGAUAGAGGAUCCUUCGUGGAAUUCCGACGAGUACCAACUGGAACUAAGUGGAUCUAUGUAGGAAAUAACUCCAGAGAUGAAGUUAAAGGGAUUGGCACCUGCCAAUUGAACAUGCGUGGUGGACGCACCUUGUUCCUACAUGAUGUUCUAUAUGCUCCGAAGAUUCGUCGAAAUUUAAGUGUUUGUUUUUUGGUGUUGGUUAAGCUUGUUUUUAGUGAGAACUUCCGUAAUAGCGGUGUAGAUUUGUAUUUGGAUACAAACUACUAUGGUUGUGGUCAUUUUUUGGAUGGUUUUAUUGUACUAAAUGUUGACCGUAGUGAUGUCAAUAAUUGUUAUUCCCUUAUUUCUCGUCUUCUACUUCAUAUGAUAAUGAUGUGAUUAUGUGGCAUGCUAGACUUGGCCAUAUUAGCCAACAUCGUAUGAAUAGACUGGACAAAGAGGGUUUGUUGGGCAACAUUGAAAAAGUCAAUUUGCCCAUAAAUGAGUAUUGCCUAGUAGGGAAAACGACAAGGAAACCAUUUGGAAAAGGUAAAAGAGCUGAAUUUUCUCUGCAUUUAAUCCAUUCUAACGUCUGUGGUUCAAUAAAUGUGAGAAGAUGGCAAGGGGCUGUUUAUUUCAUCACUUUUAUAGAUGAUUAUACUCGAUUCGAAUAUGUCUAUUUGAUUUCUCAUAAAUCUAAAGCAUAAGUUAUUUCAUAAGGUUUAUGAACCUGGCAGAAAAUCAAUUAGUCGAGAAAAUAAAGGUAUUUAGAUCCGAUCGAGGUUGAGAAUAUUUAUCUGAUGAGUUCAGAAAAUUAUGUGGUGAAAAAGGAAUAGAAAGACAGUUGUCUAUUCCAAAUACUCCUCAACAAAAUGGUGUUGCAGAGAGAAGAAACAGAACCCUAUUGGAAAUGGUUAGGUCCAUGAUGGCGCAUGCUAACUUACAUAUCACUUUUUGGAGUGAUACGUUGUUAACUGCUGCCUAAAUACUUAACAAGGUGCCUUCCAAAUUAAUUAGUUCCACUCCAUAUGUGUUAUGGACAGGUAGAAAAUCGGACUUAAGUUUUCUUAAGCCAUGGGGUUGUGCUGUCUAUACUCAUGAGUCCUCUCACAAGUUUGGGAAGUUUGGUCCCAAAGGAAAGGAGUAUUUUCAUGAGAUACUCCGAACACUCGAAAGGGUAUAUGUUCAUAGGUGAGCAAGAAAGUGGGAGUAUAACUGAAUUUGAAUCACGGGAUGUCACAUUCUUAGAGGAUGAAUUUCCUAAGAAGGGCGAAAUAUGGGAAGAUUACUCACUAUUUGUAACUUUGGAUCAAGAUAAUGAUAUUAGUGGAGUUCGUCCAAGUGGGAGAAAUAUGAGAAGUGAUGAAUUCAAUUCAAUUCAUUCUCAAUUGCAACCACAUGAUGAGACAACGUUAUCAUUAUCUAAUCCAAGUGGGAGCAUAAUGGGGAAUGAUGUGCAAAGUGUACAAUCUCCCAUACGGCGAACAAGUCGCCAAAGUAUUCCCCGUCGACGUUUUGACAUUGAAGGGGAAACUUUUAUGAUUGCUCCGCAAGAUGAGGAUGAGCCAAGAAAUAUUAAUGAGGCUCUGAAUUGCCCUAGUAAGGAAAAAUGAAUUUAUGCAAUGAAAGAGGAGAUUAAGUCAAUGAAGUCAAACCAAGUUUGAAAUUGGUUGAUCUUCCAAUAGGACACAAAGCUAUUGGGAACAAGUGAGUUCUCAAAAUAAAGCGUAAAGCUGAUAGUUCGAUAUAAAGGCAUAAGGCUCGCCUUGUGGUGAAUGAGUAUAAUCAACAUGAAUGAAUUGAUUAUGAAGAAACAUUUUCUCCUGUAGUGAGAUUUACCUCGAUUCGCAUAAUUUUGGCAAUAGUGGUUAGUAUGGAUCUUGAGUUACAUCAAAUUGAUGUAAAAACUUCUUUCCUCAAUGGAGAAUUAGAGGAAGGAACAUAUAUGGAACAACAUGCUAGUUUCAUAGUGAAAGGCUAAGAAGAAAAUGUAUGUCGACUUUUGAGGUCGAUAUAUGGCCUUAAGUAGUCGUCAAGACAAUGGUAUAUACAAUUUCAUAAUGCCAUAAUAGAAUAUGAUUUUACAAUAAUAGAUGAGGAUCAUUGUAUAUGUAUAUAUUAAAAGAUCCAAGGAUCAAUUUGUGAUCAUAUCAUUAUAUGUUGAUGAUAUAUUAAUUGCCGGAAGCAAUAUGGAGCUUGUCAAUACUGUCAAAAGUUGGUUGUCUUCCAAUUUUGAGAUGAAUGAUAUGGUAUGAAUGGACUUAGACUUAGAACCGGAGAAGGAGAGUAAAUUUCCUGUAGGUAUGCAUCCCAUAGUGGGCGAACAUCCUCGUUCAAGCCCUUCAGGGACAGCCUUUUAGCAGAAAACCACUCAGCCCUUUAGUUCAGAGCCUAGAGACACUCAAAGAUGCCAGGAUGGAAACGUUUCUAACCUACCCAAGCUGCAUUUCUUGAAGGAUCCUACUAGGCUGGAGAAGAAGAGGAAUUUAGAAAGCCAUGGAGAGAUUUUGACAAAGCACACACUUUACUUCAAGGGACUCUGCCCAAAACAAUACACACUCCUUGCCUUAUAUAGGCAAUAAGAGGUAUGAGUACACACACAGGGACUUGGCUCACGGGUCCAGAUACAAACAAAGGCACCGAAAAUUUUCGGGAGGGAAUUAUUCGCACACUAUGAACAGUAACUGUACUGUGAAUAGUACCUUCCCUAGCCUAGUGCUACAGUAAAAGUGAAUAGUGAUUUGCUACAGUGAAAUUGUACGGACUCAACGGUCUCGUCCGUCACGAGCAUUGUAGCUACAAACUGAGUCAUUUGAGUUGUCUUCUAGGAGAUGUGCCUCGUAUUUCUGUUCAAGGGCUUCAAGGUCUUCAGGUGAGAGGAUUUGAUUCAGCCUUCGUGAUGAGGAUGCUUGUUCAUGAGCCCAAUGUGAUACUUCUUCUUCAGCCUAGUUUGUAUUUUCAUCUUCUUGAGGGUCAGGAAUUCUUGGCUGAGGCCAGUUGGAUGGCUGUGCAUAGAAAGAUGUGUCCAUGCUUUGGAAUUAUUCAUAGGGAUCCUGGGACAGAGGUCCUCCAAAGCGUGCAUAGGGGUUCUGGGUAGAUUGGACAAUGUCAUUUUCGCUUGUCAUUUCAGGCUCUUGGGACGAUGUGGCUUGUCUGUAUUGUCUGAGUGCUUCCUUAGCUUCUGGUGCUAGGUGAUAAUGAUCCCACGUAGUGGGUACAUUAUUCCAAACAUCUUCGAGAAUGGUCUUGUUUUCUUAGCAUAGGAUUCUUUGGAGUUCUCGAUAUUCAUGUUCACAAAGUCGAACAAAUCUAGGAUAUGAUUUGUAAAUCCGGGCUUCUCGGCUGUUCAAGUUAGGUUUAUAGGAUGUGGUUCCUAUUUCUAGUGGUGCAUCGAGAAUACUACCAUUAUUUCUGCAAAAAUUCCAUGGACGUCGGAAAAACAAGAUGGUGUGGACCUCAGGAUUAGGCGUCAUGGAUCUCAAUUCUUUUUCCAAGUCUUGUUUCCAACAUGUAGGAUGAUAGAACCGGUUUAGAAAAUCUAAAAGAUUUCUAUCACAUUCCUUUUCGAUAUUUCUUCCAAGUAGGAUUAUCCUUGUGAGGUUGACAAUGAAUCUUCUGGUUGGAAUUUCAAAAGCUAUUAGGUACUUAUUGGUUAAGUACCACAAUAACGUUUUGAGCUGUUUAAGGAAAUCAUAUUCCUUCCAGAUUAGAGGAUGAAUGAAUGGAUAAUUCAUAUUUAACCCAAAAGGAUAAAGAAUCGAACCUCCGUUGAAUCUGAAUAGGUCUAUGUGGCUUUGCCACAUGAGGUUCUCCAGGUUUUCAACAAGACUGUCGUUCUGGAUUUGCUGAAUAAUCUCCUGAGGGUAUUUCCAGCUUUGUGAAUCUUUGAUGUUCUCAAUUUUGUAUUUUACUCCAUGAUUGAGCAUAUGGAAAUCAGGCCUCUUGAUGUACAUGUUGAUCUCGGCUGGUGCUUUUGGCCUUGAUAAGAAGUCAGCAAGUACAUUCUUCUUUCCAGGAAUAUGCUUAGUUUCAAAGGAGUAUUUUGAGAACCAUUCAGCCCAUCGAAGCAGUUGGGAAUUUGGAAUCUAUUUCUGUUUAAACUUGGUCAUCUGAGGGAAAUAUGCCAUGUCCAAUUCCGUGGUGGCCGAUGAGAUGAAACUCAAACUUUUUUAUUCCAUUUUUUACUGCUAAGAUUUCUUUAAAAGUGGAAUGGUAAUGCAUUUCGGCUUGGGAAAACUUUCCACUUUUAUGAGCACAGAGGAGUCUCUUACGAUCAAUUUCUUCAAAAAGAAUAGCUGCCCAGUAUUCGUCACUGGCGUCAGUUUGGAGAAUCCUUUUGCCUGUUGAUGGUAUUUGUAAUGGUGGGAGAUUCUGCAUAAUCUCCUUUAGUUUAGCGACUGCUUUGGUCUAAGCUUUUCCCCAAGGUGGGGAAUUCUUCUUUAGCAUGGAUUGCAAAGGAAUUAGAAGCUUUGUAAUGUUUGGGAUAAAAACCCUGAGAUAAUUAAUUAUCCCAAGAAAUUGCUGAACUUGCUUUGUUGUGAAGUUGUCUUGAGGAAACUUUAAUAAUUCUUGAGCGAUAUGUGGCCCUGGGUAGUAUGUACCUUUGUUAAGGUGCAUACCAAGAAAUUCGAUUUCUGUCUAGGCAAUAUUCAUCUUCCUUUGAGAAAGCAUAAUACCAUGCUUUUUCAUGAUUUCUGCAAAUUGCUUAAGGAGUUGACAGUGUGACUGCUCAUCAGGACUGUAGAGUAGAAUAUCGUCAAUGUAUACGGCUACACUUGAUAAGAUCGGUUGGAAGAUACGACACAUGGCCUUUUGGAAAAGGGAUGGUGCUACCUUUAAGCCAAAAGGAAGAACUUUCCAUUGGAAGUGCUGGUUCGGGAUACAGAAUCCUGUUUUGGCUCUGUCUUCAGGAUGGAUGCCCAAUUGCCAAAAUCCGGCUUUGAGGUCGAAUUUGGAGUAGAUGUGGGCCUUGGUUAGACCACUAAAGAGAGAAUCUCUAGAUGGUAAAGGGAACUUAUCAUCUUGAAGGAAAAGAUUGAGAGGUUGAUAGUUGAUCACCAAUCUCAUUUUUCUUCUGUUUUGCUCGGCGUGCUUAUUGACGUAAAAGGCUUCACAAGCCCAUUGUGAAUCGGAGAUUUCAAUAAGGCCUUGUUGCAAUAGUUCCUAGCAUUCCCUUUGAGCUAAAACCAGAUGUUCUGGCUUCAUUCCCAUGUGGCUUGCCCUGGUUGGGUUUAUGUCUUCUUCUUUUUUUAAAGGAAGGCGAACAAAGAACUCUGGAUUUUCCCAUAAAGGAUGGGAACACUUUUGAGCGAAUUCUGCAUGGGAUUCUGAACAAGAUUCUAACAACUUUUGAAUAAUUGGAUCUAGUAGACUCAUCUGAAUGGAAAAAAGUCUCUGAAUAUUGAUGAAUUCAGAAAAUUGAUCUUUAUAUCUAAGACCUUUUCCAAGAAUAAUGCGAAGCUGAGAGAUUUGAGUCAUGAUGUCCCACCCAAUUAUCAGAUCUUUAUUGGGAAGGUUUGAUCCAAAGAUUUUUGCAGUUAUAGAACACUGAGGGAAGAACUGGACAAUUAUAGGAGUGGUUCUGACAUUUGUGGAGAAAGUGUCUCCCGAAGCAGAAUUGAAAUAUCGGGUGUAAGGAGUCUAGAAUUCUUCAGGAAGAACUUUGGUGUCUAAUAUUGAAUAACUUGCUCCUUUAUCAAUGAGAGCACUAACAGUGAUGGGUUUGGCAAACUUUGAAGUGAGAAUUUUUACAAGGAAAUGGGGACAGUGAGUUUGACUUGAAAAUAUGUCAAGGUUUGGUUCUGGGGAUGAUGAUGAUAUUUGGAAUAUAUCUUCAGACUCUGAGUCUGACUCAGUCUCACUGGAAGUUUGGUACAAGGGAAUGACACAAAGAGUUUGUUUAGAUGGCUCUUUAUCAGCAGAGAAUAAGGAUUAAAUAUCAUCAUUUUCAAGAGAAAUACCUGUUUCAUUCUCAAUAUGAUGAAUUAGAUGAUUCUGACCUUUUCUAGUUUGAGGACAGUUUUUGGCAAAAUGUCCUUUCUGAUUGCAAAUGUAGCAACGGUUUGAUUUUUUGUGGCUUGUGCGAUCCUUCCUUUUGCGUAGGUAUCGCCAUUUCUUCUUUUUCCGGAAAUGCUUGGAGCCAUGUUUGGAUUUUUUUAUCCAAAACUUCUUGUAGUGUUUCUUCUUCCGGGAAUACUUGCCACAAGUACUUCGAUGGUGAUGGACAUCAUGUUCAUUACUAUAAAGAUGACCAUGGUCAUUGUUUUUGGGAUCCCUUUUGUCAAUGUUCUCAUUGUACAAAUUCUCCUGACGAGGUAGAUCCUUUUGCAAGAUCUCCACCUCGACGGAAAAGGCCAAAGGAUAAGAUGUACCAAAGGUACUUAGACGGAGAUUCCUCCGUUGAUACUCUCGGUGAAUGUGACAAAUACCAAUUCAUGGUUUCUUAUACACCACCUCCACCACCAGAGUCUAGUACUACAUCCCAAGCCUUAUCAGAUCCACAAAAAACACCACCAUCUCCUCCCCAGAAGAAGUAAGCCCUCUCUCCAUUUUAUAAGCCAAUACUCAAAUGGGCUAAGAAGCACUCUUACCCCCUCGAAGUCCCGGAAGAAGCACCACCCACUUCUUCUAUCGCUAUGUUCUAGGAUACCGACUUUCCUCCUCUUGUCAAGGAAAGUUCUAAACUCUCGUCCCCUGCUGCAGAAGAGUUUAUUGAUCCCCAUGGCAGAUAUCGCCAUGUUCCUAAAAUCCCUACUCCCACUGAUGUGGAUGAACAUGGGAGGCAGAAAAAACCUCUGCCGCUGAAGCUGUUCUAAAUUGGCAAUCAGAGAUUCUGUUGGCACAAAACAAUGUCUUCAAGGCAAUUGACUCCAAAAUUGGAAACGUGCAGCAAGAUCUCCGAAGAUAUGAUGAAAGUACCAAAAAGAUACUUUCUGAAUUCCAGAAAAGGCUUCACGCCUUGGAAUCAGGACAACAUCUUGGGUACCAUUAUCUUGAAAGCCCAAAGCCAGAAAUAGAGAAGCUCAAGAGGCAAAUCUAGCUUCUUGAAGAAGGAAGGUUCAGACCGUUUGACCCUUUGGCACCUCCUGUUAAAACCGGGUACUUACCCCCACCGCCACAAACAUCCAUUUUUUCCACUAUUCCAACAAAUCCUUACAGAAGAGAACCGGACAUGGCAGAUAUACAGAAUCAUCUCAAAGCCCUGCUGAAGGAAAAGGGGAAAGAAAAAAUACCACCCACAGAAUCAAGUUCCAUUGUUAUAAGAGAAAGGCCAGAUCAGAUGAUGCUAUCAAAUCCAUUAGAAUCUUUUCUAAAAGAUUUAAGCACUCAGGAACCUGACCCUGUUAUCCAACAGCCUGAACAGCCUAAUCCAGUCAUUCCAGAAAGCAGAUUUUGCUCCCUGUAGAACAAACUUCUCGUGAUACUGAAUCAGAUUCUUCAGUAUCCCUCUCCUCUUCUUCAUCCUUUUCAAUUCCUACAGUUGACUCCCUCCCCAUUGCACCAGUAACUUCAUCAAUAUUCAUGGCUGACCCCCCAGAUGAUGAAAUGGAAUCAAACUAUUAUGAACCAGAAAUUGGUCAGACAAGCAAUUCUGCUCAACAUGUAUCCAUAGCAUCAAAACAAUUCUUCACCAUUGAUGAUAUUCCUUAUCACAAAUGGCCAAUAAGGCUUGAAGAAUUUCAUACUUGGUUGAAUACCCAGUCUAUCACUAACCAUGAUAUGGAUGACGUUCUAUAUAACUUUGUUACAAGGUUCAUAGGAAGCUUAAAACUCUGGUGGCAAUCAAUUUCAGAACAAGACCAGAUCCAUUUUCUGAUGUCACCAAAUUUCAGCCAUGCCAUCACUCUCUUAUAUCAUGUCUUUGUGGGAAAACCCGCUGAUCUCAUAGAGAUAAAAAGAAGAGAGUUUUUUGAGAGAAGAUGCUACUCCCUCCAAGAAAAACAUCUUGAUAAGCAUUAUCGAAUAAUGCUUCAGCUUUUUUAUCAAGUCGGAGCAGAUCCAAAUCUGAAGCAUGUUUUCCUUACUUCCAUCCCUAAAGAACUAUCCCAGAUGGUUGAAAGAUCUUUCUUCGGAAAACAAAGGAGAAUACAAGAUGUUCCCUUAGGCGAAAUACAGCAAGAAGUUCAUUUAUGUCUUGAAGAAUUGUGCCUAAAGCGCCAGAUGGUCCGUACUUACAUUACAGACGAUAAGCGCCUUGAAUCAGCUUGUUCUCGCCAGAAGUUAAAAAUCAAAUGUUCCAAGAAAGACUGUGAUGGUACUUGUGGCAAGUAUUCCCGAAAGAAGAAAUACUACAAGAAGUUUUGGAUAUAGAGUGACAAAGAUUGUUCCUGCAUUCAAAGUAGUUUGAACAGUACCAAUGCAAGCAUGCUGGUAUUGUAAAAAUCUGGUAUCUAACAACGCAAUUCUUGCCACGACUGGCAAACCUUUAUGACCAUGGAAAGUCAGGGCAAGACGAACAGCUCCAUAAUGGACAUGAGUAUAUCCCUGUUGAGCCCAUUGUCUGGGAAAUUCAGGAUGGAUCUGGAGAGUGACAAAGUACUCCUUUUCAGUAGCAGGAAUAAGAUGCUGGUCGAAUUUUGAGGACUGAACGUACUCCUUUACUUGCUUUGGGGUUUGGUGAAUAAGCUGGCGGAUGGAGCGGAUGGGUGAAAAUGACGAGUUUGGUUUGGCAAAAGCAGAAUAAGGGUUCAUAAGAGGGAGCUGGGUUUCAAAAAUUUUGGUUUCAUCGCUAAGAGAGACUUCAUAAAGAUAAUCUAUCUUAGAAGCAUUAGAAACACGAAAUUUUGGAGAUGUUGAAGUUGAAGAUGAGGGAGCAAGAGAAACUGGUGCUUCGAGAAUUUCUGGUUCUGUAGACAUGAUGAGAAGAGAUCUUCUCAGCUCUGGAUUCACUUGUCAAGCGCAUGGAAUGGAUAAUAUCAAAAACGAAGCCAUGGCUCUGAUACCAUGAAUGGACCUAGACUUAGAACCAGGGAAUGAGAGUAAAUUUCCUGUAGGUAUGCAUCCCACAGUGGGCGAACAUCCCCGUUCAAGCCCUUCAGGGACAGCCUUUUAGUAGAAAACCACUCAGCCCUUCACUCCUAUUGCAAAGGUGAGGGAUUGAGCCAUAGAUUGUGUCCAAGGACUCCACAAGAGAAGGAACAAAUGAAACAUGUUCCUUAUGCUAGUGCUGUUAGGAGCUUGAUGUACGCUAUGAUGUGUACAAGACCUGACAUAUGUUUUGCAGUUGGAAUGGUGAGUAGAUACCAAUCCAAUCUAGGUCAAGCGCAUUGGAAGGCCGUUAAGAUAAUACUGAGGUAUCUAAAGGGGACUGCUGAUUAUACGCUGAGUUAUUAGAGAAAGGAUCUGCGACUCUAAGGCUAUUUUGAUGCUGAUUGGAGAGGAGAUUUAGAUGAAAGAAAAUCUACCUCUGGGUUUGUUUUCUUACCGAAUAAUGGCACCAUAUGUUGGAGCAGUAAGAAACAAAAGUGUAUAGCCUUGUCCACGAUGGAAACUGAGUUCGUGGCAUUAUCAGCAGCAAUAUAAGAAGAUGUUUGGCUUAAGAGAUUAUUGGAUCAUUUAGGUGUUAUUAGAAGUGCUGCAGAUUCAUUGUUGGUUAACUGUGAUAGCCAAGCAGCAAAAGCAUACACCAAAGAUCCAAAAUAUCAUGGCAAGACCAAACAUAUAGAUACCAAGUAUAAUUUUGUCAAAGAUAUGGUUGCACGAAAUGAUGCAAACUUACAGUACAAAUCUACGCAUAGAAUGGUGGCAGAUCCUAUGACAAAGCCAAUACCUAGAGAUGUGUUUUGUGGCCAUAUGAAAUCUCUAGGAUUGCGUAGAGUCUGAUGUACUGGAUUGUAAUUUCCCUGAAGUGUUCACAUUUGAUGAAUUUGUGUUUUUCAUCAUUAAUGCCUAUGAAUCUUUAUUUGAUCUUUAUGCAUCUUAAUGCUUAGUGUAUUAUUUUAAGUUGAGAAAGUAUGUUUGACAGAUAUAAGAUUAGCCCACUCACAUGGGUAAUCGCCUCUAUUUACUGUGUGAUAAAUAGAGAUGAGACUGUUUUUAAGCUUAUUAUCUAGGUGAUAAUCGAGAGCUAAAGCUUAAAAUACUUAUGUUGCCUUAACUAAGUGUUAAGAUGAGGACAUAAUACUUACUAUGUCCGAAAGUAAAAUACCCCACAUAUUUUACUUUAUCUGUCUAUGAUGCCAGAUGUGAGUUCUAAUGAAUUUUGUGAAUGAGUAGAUACGUGAACUCAAGUUAGACAUUGGAUAUGUCUGAACUAUCAUCUGUACGGUAUUGAAGGUGUAGACAUACGCUCCAUGGGAAAUGAGUUAUUACCGUAAUACGUAUUUUAUACUACGUAUGCAUGAGACAACCAAUAAGAGUGGCAAAAGUUUGAUCUCAACUUUUAUGUCGUGUGAGACUCUUGAGGAAAAGAGUUCCUUAAUUUUUUAGUCCCCUCAUGACUCUUACUUAUUCUCAAUAUUUCUAUUUAGUGUUUGCUAUUUUAGGAUGUUGCCAAUGGUCAUGAGUUGAUUCAAUCUAAUGGGACAUUUCUAGAAAAGCAAGCUGAACCGAAAUUGAGAGUUUGAAGGAAAGAGGAAAAUCGAAUUUGGAGAAUCAUAUUGUAGUUUUGUAUUCACUAGUUAACCAAUUAUGACUGUCUUUGGGAUAAUCAUAAUUGUGAAUACUAUAUAUAUAUAAUAUCAUUGUUUAAAAGAGAUCAAGAGAGAUAUAAAUGUGAUCGAUCGAUCUAGGGUACUGCAUACUAAAUCUACUCAGAGUGUGAUGCCCAUUAUGAGCUGUUAUAUAUUCCUAACAGAUGUAUGGCAACGAGCUCUCAAAGUAUGCUGGUCGCAUGGAUUAUUCACUGGUAUGAAUGUUGAAGAGAGGUAAAGAGAAUUAUGUUCGGCCCACCAUGUGCGAGUGGGAGAUGAUGGUUUUAUGUGAUGGACUUAAGGCCCGUCCGCCCAUGUUAGGCCUAAAAGCCCGGCCCACAGGAUUAGGGCCCAUGGGUGAAGGGGUACGAUUCUUUGUUUUUUGGAGGGACGUAUAUAAGGGAGGAGAGAAAAGGAGAACGUACCUUUUGACAUUACGUAAGUUCCUUCCUCCCUCUCUCCCUCCAAAAAAAAGAACAGUAUGCAAAAGAGGCUACGUAGUCUUCCCUUCAAGGCGAAUUAGCGUCAUCGGAUCGAACAUGGCCAAUUUCUCUUCCUCAAUCUUCAGCAUUAGUGUUUAAUCUGUGGCUAACAAAAUACGCUCGAAUCCGUGGUGUGCUUUAGGAUCGGUGAUACGUGAUUUUCCCGGGCUUGUCUUUCGCAUUCGUUUUAGGGGUUCGAUUUAGUGUCGAAUCCAGUUUUUGGGGAUCCGUUAAUCCCAACAAAUGCAAUUGCUAGGAAACAUGCUUUGUCAAAUUUAUGUCAAGAAUUAAUAAUUAAUUGUGCAUUGAAUUUUAGGAUUUAGGUUUUAGAUAUAUGAAAAACAUAUUUAAUAUAUUUACGAAUCAAAUUGCGUUUGUCUUGUGUUAAAAAAAAAAUGCAAUCUCAUAUUGUGCAUUGUAAUAUAUCAUGUUUGUCGUUUCAACCGUUGCUUGUCAAGUACGUAAAUUUUCUCAACCAAAACAAGUAUGUGAAUUUUACUUUUGGGCAAUUGCUUAAAAGUAAGAAAAAUAUCAUUGAAAGGUAAAGAGAAAAAAAGCUUGAAAGUGGGAAUAGAAAGUGGGAGUAAGAUUCUCUCCCUCAUACAUGGUCAACAACAAAUAAUCAACCCACGCAUUUUAAUGCCUUCGAUGUUGCCAUUAUUGGUAAAUAAACUUCUUUAUCCCUGCGACGAUAAACGUACGAUGAACAUCUUAGAGGUAGAAGAGAGUUGGACUCAUGCUUUAGGAAGCAAGAAGCCAUUAACGGUAAACCCUCCAUCGACACAAAUGGUUUGCCCCGUAAUGUAAGAGGCCGCCGGCAAGCACAAGAAGGCCACCAACGACGAAACCUCCUUCGGCUCUCCGAUGUGACCGAGCGGUGUCCUUGCUAUCGCCUCCUCGUGGAAUUUCUCAUUGCCGAGUAGCUGCUAUGACGGAUGAGUAAUGUUAGAUAACGAUGGCAAAGGUGAUGAAGAUUUAUGGGGUGAACUAUUUUCGAAGAGGAUAGGGAAUUUUAAGUCUUGGUAAAUUAAAUUACAUGGUCGGUGAGUGGGCUGCCUAUGAAAUAAGGUGCAAUAGAGUUGCUUCUUAUGUUGUCUUUAGCCCAUUCGCAAGCCAGAUUCUUGGUCAACUGGUUCAUUGCUCCAGUCAAUGAGUUGAGAAAAUAAGAAUAUAACUUGGCUAAGCUUGAACCAACCCCAAAGUGAUGCUCGAAAGUCCACUUUAGGGUCACUCAUUACUGUGUUUUGCAGCCAAGGGAUUUGACUACGUAAGGCCCAGAUAUAUAGCCCACAGGCCUGAUUGGUUUGGUAAACCGAUCACUUGAGAAAAUUAGCAGUGAUUAGAGUCAUAAGUCCAUAAUUUGGAUGCCUUCUCCAUGACGGACGGUGAAGUGUUCGUCUUCAUCGAUAUCUCAGACAAUCUUUCUCAUCUCUUGCCUGCCCCUUGAUCUUGAGAAUCCAAGUGAAACUAUCCAUAGUGUUCAAUUUAUCACUAGAUUGAGAGAUCAACGUAAGUGUUAUUCUAUUGGUUGCUCGAGAAUUCACUUGCUCAUCUUGAAAAAUAGUACUUGAUAUUAUGGGAAAAUGCUACGUGAGAAAUUAAAUAUGAAAAAGAUAUCAUACAAAGAUAUAACAUCAUUGCCAUGCCAUAAUUUCGCAAUACAUUGACACUGUUCUAAUGAUAAAAUCAAUUGUCCCUACGACAAAAAUUCACGAAGUAACGUCUUACAGGCAAAAGAAAGUUGGGCUCAUGCUCCAAGAAACAAGAAGCCAUUCACGGUAAACCCUCCAUCGACACAAAUGGUCUGUCCCGUUACGUAAGAGGCUGUCGGCAUGCACAAGAAGGCCACCAAUGAUGACACCUCCUUGGCUCUCCAAUGUGGCCGAGCGGCGUCCUUGCUAUCACCUCGUCAUGGGACUUUUCGUUGCUAACUGACUACGAUAACAUGAGUUCAUGUCAUAUGAUGAUGACGAACCUGAUCAAUAUCUAUGUAGUGAUAUGUUCUCAAGCACGAGAGAAACUUUUCAGCCUUAAGAGAUAAUCUUACAGGCUCGGCUUGUGGGGUCAUUAUGUGCCAAGGUGCAAUAGAGUUGCCUCUUAUAUUGUCCUUAGCCCAUUCACAUGCCAAAUUCUUGGUUAAUUGGUUCAUUGCUCCUAACAAUCAACUUGGAGAAAAAAAGAGAUGAAUUUUUUUAGCUCCAUAUGAAAAAAGUUCAGAUAGUUAGUUAUGAUAAUAUUAACUUACCUUUGGUUGUCGAGUAAAUUGGUCCAACAUUCAUCGAAACAAUGCCGAUAAAUGAAAAAUUUUCCGCUGAACAUUCCAUGGUCAGCUUUACUCUGUUGGUUUGUUGAUCUACCACACAAACUGCUCCCAUUAAAAUGAAAACCAAGUACCAAAUCCAUCGAAAGAAAUGCACAAAUUACGACCUGUUAUUGAUGUUGUAAUCGGAUCCACAGGAUCAGACUUACUAGGAAGUUGAGCCUCCCGUCGAAGAGGGAGGACACAGUAAGCAUCGGCUUCUCUCGCUCCGAUCUUAAGGAAAAAUCACAAGUCGAACCCGUGACCUGGACACCCUUUCUCUUCCAAUCUUUCACCGGCUGCAUUUCUGGAACAGGUAUACACGGUGGCCCCAAGCCUUGCUGUCUUCUCGACAAUGGCAUGCCUAAUCAUGGUACAACAAUAUGACUAUUAAGCCUUAGUACAUGUCAUACCUAGGAUUGUUAUGAACAGGCCAUUUUAGCGACGCAAUCCUCGAAGUAAUUGACCUCUCUGUUAUGUCCCUCGUCAUUUUCAUCGAUCGAGUUUUAGAUGGCGAUUAUAUAGAUUUUCUAGCUUAUUAUUUAUAGAAUCCGACAUUACUGAAUUUAGAAGAACCUACUAUCUCUUGGGGCAAGCCUAGCUGAAAACGAUUUUUUCAAGCCCAGACAGGCUUGAGCCGGGCUACUAAACCCAUUUGUGCUGUUACUAGUUAAACAUUAUAUGAGGGAUGUAAUGGCUGAAAAUAGCAUCAAAGGCAUUUUAACCUGUGGCUCCAUGGUGGUGCUUUGCAGAAGCUUUAUGAUGUAUAUGAUACAGCCUGCACAUUCUCAGAAGUUAUGUACGCAAAAUUUCGGGCCUAAACCAGAAUAGCCCGGAUUGGACUUGAUCGAAGUUAUUUAGCCGGGCUAGUAUAUAAAGGACUGAUCACCCGGCCAAGAAAUUCUAGGCCAUAUUUGUUCUCAUAGGACCAAAAAAGGUACCUCGGCGUUCGGACUGCCUAAUCCGUACACAAUUCUACCGUCACACACAUUAUUAUGAAGAAAUAAGAUGCCAUAAUUGACGGUUUUCAGAUGCCUAAUUCAUCAUGUUUGUUCCUCCAACCUAAACCAAAAUAGUCAAUUGAUUAUCAAAAUCAACAAUGCAAAAGAAUGAGGUGUUUGAGUGAGAGAGAGAUCCGAUUCCAUUAGUUCCACCGGUGACGAGAGCGCUCAUUCCGUGAAGCGACCACCUGUUGUCGUUGUUGCGGCUGCCCCAUCUCCUUGCCGUUCCACUCCCAUCAGGAGCCAUUCUCUUUCUUUCUAAUAUCUGAUUUCUUUCCCUCAUCUCACUUGUUUUCUUUUUGGGUCUAUGCGACUUUCUAACUAUCCACUGUGUCAUGUAUAAGUACGGGGGAAUUGGGUUCGGCGGCGAUUCCGUGUGGCCUGAUAUUAGGGUCCAGGUGGAUGAAGUCGUACUGCCAUUUGCAGCGUGAGAUCGACAGAAGAUAAAGCAUAAAAUUACCACGUGACCGACGAUGGCCAAAAAGUGACGGAAGCUCGCCGUGUGUAUCCGGCGCUCUCACAUGGAUCGAAUGCAUGCGUGCAAUGCUGGCUCAGACAUUGGGCUUGAGAACGAAUGCAUGCGUGCAAUGCUGGCUCAGACAUUGGGCUUGAGAACACUUGGGCUAGGGAGAAUGGCGAAGCCUGCAGGACGCCACAGUCCCACUGCACAGCACGGCCCACACGCCCGACUGGUUUGGUGAACUGAUCGCUUUGAGAAGACCAGAAGCAAUUGGAGUCCUUAGUCCAAUAUCGACUGAGAUCUUACAUAAUGCUACUCGAGAAAUUAAAAAUCAAAAGACAUCACGCGAGAGAGGACACAAUUAUAAUACCAUCACCUCACAAUGCAUUGAAAUCGUUCUAACCCUUUGUGUAACUGAUAAAUAGUGACCAUAUAAAUCUACCAAUCAAACUUAUUAUUAUUAUUUUUUUUUGGCAUUAUCAUGUUAACUAAAGAUGAACCGGUGUCUAUGGCACGAUUAUAAUAGUACCACAUACAAUUAUUUCAGCCAAAUCUUUUCUAAGUUUGAAAGCGGUAUUGUGAACAGUCUUUCAGAAAACAUUCUGAGAUAAGAAAAUAAAAACUCUGUAUUUCACUAAUAUAUUGUUUUUUUUUGGUUGAAAAUCUUUGAUGUUUUGCAAAGAUCUAUCAUUAAAACGUAUUUCUGAUAUACGUUAGCGAGAUGAGUGGAUAAUGUUUUCCUUUAAUUUCCUAAUAAUUGGAACGUCAUUAAAAAGUUCAAGAAAAUGCUUAUUUAAAUGGAUAAAUUCUGUUGAAGCUACCUAGAAAAAAAAACAUAGCUUUUUAUAUGAUAAAUUUAUUGGACCGUGUUUGUCAUGUCAAUCAUUGCUUGUCAAGUACAUAUAUUUUUAAAAAAACAAAACACAUACAUAUUUAAAUUUAGGCAAUGGCAUAAACAUAAGAAAAANNNNNNNNNNNNNNNNNNNNNNNNNNNNNNNNNNNNNNNNNNNNNNNNNNNNNNNNNNNNNNNNNNNNNNNNNNNNNNNNNNNNNNNNNNNNNNNNNNNNNNNNNNNNNNNNNNNNNNNNNNNNNNNNNNNNNNNNNNNNNNNNNNNNNNNNNNNNNNNNNNNNNNNNNNNNNNNNNNNNNNNNNNNNNNNNNNNNNNNNNNNNNNNNNNNNNNNNNNNNNNNNNNNNNNNNNNNNNNNNNNNNNNNNNNNNNNUUCUGUUCAUUUUGUUCCAGGUCUUUCUUCUUCAAGCACAUGGUCGCGCAAAUCAGCACCAAGUUCAUCCACCCUCUCUCGGAAUGAACCCGUCAUGUUGCAGAACACGAACCCUCCGUAGCUCAUCCCCACCACAUUCAUCUUUUCACCGCCAAUUGCCUCCAGCUGCACCCAAUACUUUCUCCUCCAUUAGAACAAUUGCACACUAGGCUUGGAAUUGCUCCGUCCACUCAGGCCUCAUCGUGCAAGAGUCUACAAAGAAGACAAAGUCAGGGACGUACACGUUUAAGUAGGCAGCCAGCGGGGAGACGAAGUCAUUACACUCGGCACUAUCACAUUCCGUUGGCGCCAAUGCCGGGGAGGAGGUGGAGGAGGAGGUUGGGCCUUAUUUGUGAUAUUGGCGAGAUUUGCACUCCUAUUCAAAGAAAGGAGAGAUUGUAAGCAAAUCUGUAUAUUGACAGUUUUCUUAUUUUUUGGAGUUUCCUAUUUUUUGGUUUACUUGUUUCCUUUGUUGUAGCAACCCUUGUGUACAAAUUGCAAAAGAACGUUAUGACAAAAAAAUAAGAGAAUUGAGAGUUUUGUCCAAGGCCAUAGGCACAUUGCUAAACCUCAUAAUUCUUGUGUUCUCUUUUGUGAUUGCUUUAUUAAAACUCAACAUGGUAUCAAAGCAUGUUUGAUUCAAUCUGUGAUUUUUUGGGUUUGGUUUUUUUGCACAUCUAAUUGUCUUGAUCUACUUAUGUUCGGGUCCGUUCCUAUUCUCCGACGAUCUGUGUUCUUUGGUUAGUGCUUGUUCCUCUCUUUGUUGCUGUCAUAUCCUUGUUAUUACUACCAACAUGCCAUGGAGGGGUCAACGAAGUCCGAAGAUGCAUCCAACACAACAAAGGUGCAUGAUACAAACAACCAAUGAUUGACUAUGUUGUUGCUAAACGAAAGAAACUACCUUCCUUUGUCAUGAGCUAUAACAAUUGCUCUUAGGGGGUAGAUUGAAGCUUGGUCACAUCAAUGAGAAGAUUAGAGCACCUCCCACAACAAAUCUCAGCUUUGAUGAAUGGCAAGCGAAUGACCAUAAUGUAAUGUCUUGGAUAUUCAAUUCCAUGGGACCGGUGAUCUACAAGAUAUUUGCAUACUAGCCAAGGCAUUGUGAGAUUCGAUAUAUGAGAUGUAUGGUCAAGCCAAAAAUGCACCUUGGAUCUUUGAGACGUAGCAAGGAGUCGUUUGUUCUAAGCAAGGCGCAACACAAUCUUUCACUGAAAACCUGGGAAAAANNNNNNNNNNNNNNNNNNNNNNNNNNNNNNNNNNNNNNNNNNNNNNNNNNNNNNNNNNNNNNNNNNNNNNNNNNNNNNNNNNNNNNNNNNNNNNNNNNNNCAAUUGGAUGAGCUUCAUCAAUAUAAAUCUGCAACUAGAAUGUGAUGGAUUAUGUCAUCUAGAAGAGCAAGAUAAAAUCUUCAACUGUUAGCAAGCAUUAAGCCUGAAUUUGAGGAUGUCAAACGUCAAAUUCUUAGGAGUCCUCAAUUGCCCACUUUCAAUGAAGUUUAUGCCAUAACGCAAUGUGAGGAAACAAGGAGACAUGUCAUGCCUUCAGCUCCAAUUGCAUCAGGAGCGCUUGGUGAACAAUUGACCCACUAUGCUACCAACACAACAUGAAGCAAGGAGACUUCACUGCUCGAUAUGUCAAAGGAAAAUUUAAGAAACCAGCACGGUUCCAUUGUGACUAUUGCAAUCACAAUGGCCAUUCCAAAAAGAGGUGCUGGUUCUUCAUCCACAUUUGUGUAUUUUCAAAGACAGGGGUUCAAAAACUAAGGUGGCAGUCCAGAACAAUUAAUGAUUUUUAAUCCAAGUUGGAGGAUUUGUCACAACAAGUUUUGCAAUUAUUUCAGAUACAUGGCAAUGGAACGAACGCUUCUAGCACUAAAACUGGAAAUUGGGCUAUUGAUAUUGCUAGUAUGAGUACCUAGAGGGGGGUGAAUAGGUAUAUAAAAGAUUUUUCUUCAGUAAUUGCACAAUACUAGACAGUUGAUGGAUUUAAGAUAAACGAUAAUCAAAGUAAGACUGAGAGAAGAAAAAAUUGAACACGUGGUUUAUAGUGGUUCAGCUUAUAUCAAGCCUACGUCCACUCUUCUUCACUGACAGCCUAUUGGCUGGAUUCCACUAUGAACAAAAGAGAAGUUACAGCACAGCUUUGCCUUGAUUCUACAGUGUAGAUGUUCUAUCACACCUCUUCAAGAUUUCUCACAAAUAUAGACUCUCUUUUGUAUACAAGUAUUCGCUCAAAGGAAUUGUCUAAACAAAAAGGAGCUUUAGACUUUGGAAUUCUUCUAUCGCGCACACCUUGAACAACUAAGACCGUCUUCCUUAUAUACUCCUUUAUGCCAUCAUACCCGUUGGCACUUACCAAAGGAAUUCCUCCAAUCUACCCGUUGGACGGAAUCAAUUAGGAAGAUUGUUCGAGCUAUUAAAGGAAUGUGUCGAUAGCCCAUCAAUCAUGUUCGCCCAUACAAUCAGGAUCUCGGUUUCCAUAAGUAGAACCUUCCAAUAAUAUUUUGUUAUAUUUAUUGAUGACAAAUCCUGAGCUACAUGGCUUUGUUUGCUUAAAUCCAAAAGUGAAGUGAUGACCGUGUCUCAAGAUUUUUGCAAUUUGGUGAAAAAUCACUUUUAACACUAUAGUGAAAAUUCUUCGUAUAGACAACAUAACUAAAUAUACCAAUCAAUCUUUUCAAGUGUUCCUACGUGGCCUGAGAGUCAUCCAUUAGACCUCCUGCAUGGGAACUUCAUAGCAGAAUGGAGUUGUAGAAAGGAAAUACAGGCACCUGCUUGAGGUUACCCGAACAUUGUUAUUCUUAGGAAAUUUACCCAAGACAUAUUGGGCAGAUGUAGUCCUUACUAGCUGCUACUUAAUCAAUCGUUUGCCUAGUAAGGUGUUGGGUAUGAAGUUUCAAUUGAAAGUUAGUAUGGCCCAAAAUUUGGUAUCUCUCACCUAAGAAUUUUCGGAUGUGUGUGUCAUGUGCAUUCUCGAUAUGGUGACAAGCCGGAUCCACGAGCUUGAAAGUGUGUGUUUGUAGGAUACUCGAAUGUCAAGAAGGGAUACAAAUGCUAUGAACCAAGUACUGGACGUGUUUAUAUAUCUCGUGAUGUUUACUUCAAAGAUGCUUACAUGUUUUUUUUUUUUUUUUUUUUUCGGGAAUCAAAUUCAUGGGAGCAAGGUGACUAUUCUAAAUUUUUGCUUCCUGUCCUACCUAUCGAGAAUUCAAUGUUGGAUCAAGAGGAAGUUCCAAUAGUGGCUAUUCAAGGGAGUCAGCCAAUCCCCAAUGUCAUUGCCAUUCUUGAUACAUUUGCCAUUACACAAUGCAGCUGAUUUGGAAGUUAGGGCUGAAUAUGCAGAGAGAUAGCUCCAGUAGAUGUNNNNNNNNNNNNNNNNNNNNNNNNNNNNNNNNNNNNNNNNNNNNNNNNNNNNNNNNNNNNNNNNNNNNNNNNNNNNNNNNNNNNNNNNNNNNNNNNNNNNNNNNNNNNNNNNNNNNNNNNNNNNNNNNNNNNNNNNNNNNNNNNNNNNNNNNNNNNNNNNNNNNNNNNNNNNNNNNNNNNNNNNNNNNNNNNNNNNNNNNNNNNNNNNNNNNNNNNNNNNNNNNNNNNNNNNNNNNNNNNNNNNNNNNNNNNNNNNNNNNNNNNNNNNNNNNNNNNNGUUGCCAAAUGGGAAAAAAGACAAGUUGGAUGCUGGUGGAAUUACAAGAUCAAAUACAAUACUAAUGGUUUGGUUGAGAGUACAAAGCUCGCUUGUCGCAAAAGGGUAUACUCAAACCUAUAGGAUAGACUACAAGGAAACAUUUGCUCUUGUAGUGAAAAAGAACAUUGUUCGUGUCCUUCUAUCUAUGGCAAUUAACUGUAGGUGGCCAUUGUUUCAGAUGGAUGUGAAGAAUGCCUUCCUCCAAGGAGGAAGAUGUUUAUAUGGAUAUCCCUCUAGACAUCCCUUAGAGAAUAAUAAGGGAAUGGUUUUCAAAUUGAAGAAGGCAAUAUAUGGUCCCAAGCAGUGGCCUAGAGCAUGGUAUGGCAAAUUGAGUUCCGCACUUGAUAGGUUUGGUUUCAAAAGGAGCAUGGCUAAUUCUUCAAUGUUUACUAAAGCAAUUGGUGAAGGUAUUGUUGUUAUUCUAAUUUAUGUUGAUGAUCUUAUUAUUACUAGUAGUAACUUAAUAGGUAUUGUAGAACUUAACAGUUGUUGAGCAAGGAGUUUGACAUUAAAGAUCUUGGAAAAUUGAGGUAUUUUUUGGGCAUAAAGGUAGCAAAUUCUAACAAAUGUAUGUUCUUGACUCAAAGGAAAUGUAUCCUAAAUCUAUUGAAGGAGAUUGGUAAGUCGGGUGUUUAACCUGCUAGCACUCCUAUGGAUUACAACAAUAAGAUUGUGUCUAAGGAAACACCAUUACAUGAUAUUGGGCAAUUUUAGCGUUUGAUAGGGAGAUUGAUUUACCUAACUAUUACUAAACCUGACAUUACUUAUUUUGUCAGCUAUGUGAGCCAUUUAUGCAAAAACCUACACAAGGACAUAUGGAGUUGUUAAACUAGCUCCUUAUAUCUAAAAGCUUCUCUAGCAAGACGAACUUUGUUGAAGAAUAAUGGUAUUGUGGGAUUUACUAAUGCUGAUUGGGCUAGGAACCUCAUGGAUAGAAAAUCUACCACGGGUUUUUGUACCUUUGUUGGUGGAAAUAUUGUUACUUGGAAGAGUAAGAAGCAAACAGUUGUGGUUAGAUCUAACAUAAAGGCUGAGUACCAAGCCAUGGCUACCGCCACUAGUGAGUUUGUAUGGCUUCAUCUAUUACUUUAAAAAUUGGGUCGUGAUGCCAUGUCUAAGCCUAUGAAGCUAUCCUAUGAAAAUUAGGCAACAAUACACAUUGCUUCAAAUCCAGUCUUCAUGAUAGGACCAAACACAUAGAUGUCGAUUGUCACUUUAUAAGGGAAAAGGUUCAAGACAAGAUGGUACAUACACCAUAUAUUCGUAGUAAGGAUCAACUUGCUGAUGUGUUCACCAAAGCUUUUAUCCAAUGGAGUAUUUCAAGAUAUGAUGAACAAGUUGAUCUCUAAUGAUGUAUUCGCUCCAACUUGAAGAGAAGUAUUGGUGAUAUUGGGGGGAUUUGCGCUCCUAUUCAAGGAAAAGAGAGAUUGUAGGCAAAUUUGUAUAUUGAUAGUUUUCCUAUUUUUUGGGUUUGCUUGUUUCCUUUGUUGUAGCAACUUUGUGUACAAAUUGCAGAAGAAUGUCAUGACAAAAAAAUAAGAGAGUUGAGAGUUUGUCCAAGGACAUAGGCACAUUGCUAAACCUCGUAAUCCUUGUGUUCUUUAUUGUGAUUGACUUACUAAAAUUCAACAGGCCUCACCGGCUUGGGACUCUUGGGGACACAACAUCGCAUCACCAUGCCGUCAUUGAGGUCGCCAGGUUAGUGACGGUGGACUUGACACCAGACAGCGAGAAGGAGAAGUGGAGGCACUAGUCCCUCGUUGCCGUGAAGCUAUGACACUUGGUCAUUGGACUGAACCUUAAAGCUCAAUGCUCUUUUUGCGACCGCUUCCCUCCUCCUCUAGAAGCAGAGCAAUGGUGGUGAUGCGAGAGGCGGGUGGUGAUGCCGAUUUACAAAGACAUUCAUAAAGCGAGGACGACGACGAUGUUUCAAAGGUUCGAAUUGGUUAAGGUUGUGGUGAGGGUCGCUUUGAGAGUGCUGAGUGCUGGAUAAGAGAUAAGAGGUGUAUGUUUUUGAAAAAAGACGAACAGUACAAAAUAAGAAAAAAGAAGAAAGUUUAGAAAACUAUAUUAAAAAAAAAAAGGAAACGACAUAAUUUUGCCUACAUCAAAUUACCAAUUGUCAAAUAUUUGAGAAAUAAGGUAAAUCGGCGAUGAAUAACCGUCAUCCUUCAUGUUACUAUUUUCUAAAAAACUUGACUGGAGUAUUAUAUUAAAAUUUUAUUAAAUAUUCAAGAUUACAUUGGUAAAAUUUAAAAAUUUAAUAUUAAAAUGACAUCCAUAGCUUUAUGACUCAGAAGGUGAGAGUAAAUGAACAUAAGAGUAGCUUCUACUCUCCCUUAUGUACGAACAAGAAAUUGUCUACCUGCACACGUGAAUGCACAGAGAUGUUGCCAUUAUUGAUUAAUAAACCUCUUAAGAAAGUUGGACUCAUGCUCUAGGAAAUAAGAAGCCAUUCACGGUGAACCCUCCAUCAACACAAAUGGUCUGCCCUGUUAUGUAAGAGGCCGCUGGCAAGCACAAGAAGGCCACUAAAGACGACACCUCCUCCGGCUCUCCGGUGCGGCCGAGUGGCGUCCUUGCUAUCACCUCCUCGUGGAACUUCUCGUCACUAAGUACCUGCAACGAAAUAUGAGUUAACAUCAGAUCAUGAUGGCGAACAUGGUCAAUACUGAUGUGGUGAACUAUUUUCCAGCAUGAGAGAAAAUUUAAAGCCUUGGUAGAUCAAAUUACAGGCUCGGCUAGUGGAGUCAAUAUGAACCAAGGUGCAACAGAGUUGCUUCUUAUGUUGUCCUUAGCCCAUUCGCAUGCCAAAUUCUUGGUCAACUGGUUCAUUGCUCCUGCCAAUCAAUGCGGAUAGAAAACAAAAAACAAACGCAAUUUGUUUAGCUCCAUAUUAAUAGUGUUUAGAUAGUUACUAACGAUAAUGUUAUUACCUUUGGUGGCUGAGUAAAUUGAUCCGACGUUUAUUGAGACAACGCCGCAAACGGAUGACAAGAACACAAUACUUCCAGCACCCGAGGCCUUGAGAAGGGGAUGUGCGAGCUGGCUCAGAUGGUAAGUCGAUUCGAAGUUAGUUGUCAUGAUGAAGGAAAAAUCUUCUGCUGUGUAAUCCAUGGUCGACUUUAAGGUGUUGGUCCCGACGUUGUUUAUCUACCACAAAUAAAAACCGAGAGCAAAAUCUAUUGAAAGACAAGCACAAAUUGCGGCAUUGUUAUAAAUAUCAUUAUUGGACCCAUAGGAUCAAAGUCGCCUUAGACUCACUAGGAUGUUGAGCUUGCCGUCGAAGACCGAGGACACGGUGAGCAUCAGCUUCUCUCGCUCUGAUCUUGAGGAAACGUCACAAGUUGAACCCGAGACUCGGAAACCUUUGCUCUUCCAAUCUUUCAAGCAUUCAUUAAUUUCGGCUUCAUUCCGGGAGCAGGUAUGCACGGUCGCCCCAAGCCUCGCUAGUUCCUUCACAAUGGCAUGUCUAAUCAUGGGACAAACAAUAUGAUCAUUCACCAACUUUGUGAUUGCAAUUUGCGAAGAAGAACAGAUUAAGCCCUUUUUCAUCUCCACUAGGAAAAAUUCUACGUGACAAGACAUCAGUACUUGUGAUACCCAAGAAUGUACGGAAGAUUUGGCUGCGGCAUUUGCAAUGGAAGUUAAACCAAUAAUUAAAGCCUUUGAAUGCACUGGUUUUUUAUUUGGGAAAUUACAAAAGGAGAAAAAAAAUUCUAUUGGCUAAUGAUAUCACAAAGAUGCAAAUGAUUUACCAACGUCUAAAGGCCACAUAAUUUCAAAAAGGUUGUGCAUGAAUCAGUCACCUAGGAACAUCAUUCUCAAAGUAAUUGAGCUCUCCAAUCAAGUCUCUCGUCAUAUAGACUUUUAAGUGGCAACAAUAUCAAUUAUCUAGCUUUUUAUCCGAGGGAUCGAAGCUUAUUGGAUUCAAAAGCAUCCGCUAUCACUUGAGCGGUUCAAAAAUUUUGUUGGUCGGGAGCCAAUUUGACAUAUGGGGCCCAUUUUGUUCGGCUUUGGAGAAAUACCUUUGGCUAAAUACAAAUACCUUUGAAGUAAAUGAGUUUUCAGGAAUACUUGGACGUUUGGCAAAUUAUAAUUUAAAGGGCUUGGAAAGUGACUUUUAGUGUAAAUACCAUUUGGUAAACUCAACAUUUGCAAAGGAUUUUUAUUAUUAUUAUUUUUAAAAUAAAAAUCAAAUCCAAUGAAACUCCAUCGCCAAUUAAUGACGGGCCAACCACCGGCGACUAGAUCUAGCCACCGGCGAGGUUGGCCAAGGUUGCAUGAACCAAGAUCUCGUCGCCUGGGUUGCACGACCUUAGGCGAUGCCUGCCUAGGUUGUGCAAGCCUAGAUCUGGCUGUCGGCGAGGCCCAGGCAGCGGUGCCUGAGGUUGCGUGACCACAGGCAGCCUAGCCGACAACCAGAUCUAAGUUCCCUAGACCUCGGGCAACCUUGCCGGCGGCUAGAUCUGGCCACCGGCGGUUGGGGGUAUGGAGAAGAUGCUCGGUAAAAAAAAAAAAAAAAAGUGAAGUUAAUGGAUGAAUAGUAAAAGAUAGACUCACAUUUCCAAAAUAUUGAAAACCCAAACAUUUCAAAGGUAAGUAUUUGGCUAAGGCUUCCAAAUGCUGAACCAAAUACCUAAUAUUUUUUUUCCAAGGGGCUUUGAGCCCUCAAAACCCCUUGGAAAUACUAAACCAAACGGAUGCUUGCUUCGGUUGGAACAAGUUUUUCUAGGCUAGAUAUGACGGAAAAGUCCACUUAAAGUGCUUAAAUCCUCGCUCAAUUUGUUUUGAGUAGGACUGGGCUUCGCCUAGAAAUUGUAGGCCCUGUAUGUUCUGGCCAGGACAAGAAGUAUCUUGAUCCUAGAGUGCCCCAACCAGUGCAUAAUCGUACUAUCAUUCAAAUUAUUACAAAGGAACGAGAUUCCAAGGUUGACGGUUUUCAAAUACCUAAUUCACGAUGUUUUCUUUCCCAACCUAAAUCAUAACAGAUAAUCAAUCAUCGAAAUCAUCGAUAGAAAACAACGAGGUGUUUGGUAAGGGUGAGAGAGAGAGAGAGAGAGACCCGAUUCCUUUGGUUCUGCCAGUGACAAGAGCAGUCAUUCCAUGGAGCAACCACUUGUUUUUGUUGUCAUUGCUGCUGCUACAUCUUCUACUUGCAGUCCCAUCUCCCUCUGUAGCCAUUCUCACUCUCUCUUUCUCUAUCCUAGUGUGAUUUUUCCCCGGAACUCUUGUUUUUCCUUUUCGUGUGUAAUGCGUCUCUCUAACUUUCCACCCCGCUUUAUGCUAAGUCCUUCGCUGGCUGGAGAGAGAGAGAUGGCGACUGGAAGAGGCUUCCUGACCAUGCAACUAUGGGAGAAAAUAUUGGGUGGGCCAGGCACGCCACUAUCACCGUGCGCCCGCCCAAUCAGGAUGCGAGACGUGUUGCCACAUGGAGGCGAGGCCACCAUUAUUUUUCAGUCAAAUUUUUGCUACUUCUCCCUCUCAUUAAAUGCUCCGUCCUUCUCUGCACCAUUUCUCCAAAUUGCACACAAGCAUGCGUCCCUUCCCCCUCCCAUUCUCUAACUGCAGUGAUUGACUAGUACAAGUAGAUAGAAAUGCAAGCCAAAAUCGGAACGGUAUAGGACAACUUUGGGGAAAUGGCUUUGCAUUUCCCCAAGUAUCUUCAUAAGAAUGGGCAUUUAGUGAAUGCUGAAGUGUUUGGGAACUCUUAUUUUGAUGUAGCAUUUUGCAAAAUAGCUUUGAGGUGAAAAGAAAAGGGAAAAACAGAAAAGGAAAAAGAAGGAGGAGAUGUUGACGCAGAGGAGGGGAGCGAGUGGGAGGCAAUCGGAGCUAGUGGGGGAGGCGGCCGGUGGCUGUGGUGGGGGAGGCGGCUGGUGGCUGUGGUGGUGGGGAGGCGGCGGGUCGCGCGGCCUCAGGGCGAUCGGAUCUGGCCGGUUGAGCACCGCUCAGCCUGUCUCGUGGGUCGCGCGACGCCGCCUGAGGCCGCGACCCACGUGACGGCGGUGCCGGAUCUGGUCGGCGAGCAUCGCUCAGCCCGUCGCGUGGGUCACGCGACCCAGGCGACGCCGCUGAGGUUGCGACCCACGCGAUGCUAGUGCAUAGCCACGGCGGUGUGUGGCGACGGUGGUGCGUGGCCACGGCGGUGUGUGGCGACGGCCGUGCGUGGGCGACCAGCUCCGGCCGGUUGAGCUCUGCCGGCUAAGCUUUGGUCUUGAAGAAACAAGGAAGACGAGGAAGAUGAUGAACAGUUAUUUUUUAGGGUAAAACAAGAAAACUCAAUUAUCAGUGAGGGCAAUAUUGGAAGAAAAAAAAUUCAUUAAACCCCCCCUCAGCAUUCCAAAGCAUUCCAAAUGCUAGCAUUCUCCCAAGUAUGGCUCCAAAUGCUGAACCAAACGGUUGAAAUUUUUCCCAAGGGGCUUUCGGGGCUGAAAGCCCCUUGGGAAUGCUGAACCAAACAGCCCCAAUGAUGGUAAUAUAUGAAUCACCCCAAUCCAAGGUUCUGCAUUAUUGCUAGGAGAAUGCGAGGGGGAGGGACGCACGCUUGCGUGUAAAGGAGAGAAAUGGUAAUAUAUGAAUCACCCCAAUCCGUCCUUCUCUGCACCAUUUCUCUCAUUUACACGCAUUCUCUCUCUCAUUAAAUGCUCCGUCCUUCUCUGCACCAUUUCUCUCCGUCCUUCUCUGCACCAUUUCUCUCAUUUACACGCAUUCUCUCUCUCAUUAAAUGCUCUGUCCUUCUCUGCACCAUUUCUCUCAUUUACACGCAAGCGUGCGUCCCUCGUGUGUCCCUUCCCCUCCCAUUCUCUAACUGCAGUGAUUGACUAGUAUAAGCAAAUAGAAAUGCAAGCCGAAAUCGGAAAGGUAUAGGAUAAUGAUGGUAAUAUACGAAUAUCACCCCAAUCCAAGGUUCCGCACUCUUGCUAGGAGAAUGGGAGGGGAAGGGACGCACGCUUGCAUGCAAAUGGGAGAAAUGGUGCAGAGAAGGAUGAAGCCAUUCUCUAACUGCAAUGAUUGACUAGUACAAGCAGAUAGAAAUGCAAGUCGAAAUUGGAAAGGUAUAGGACAGUGAUGGUAAUAUACGAAUACCACCCCAAUCCAAGGUUCCACACUCUUGCUGGGAGAAUGGGAGGGGAAGGGACGCACGCUUGCGUGCAAAUGGGAGGAGCGGUAGAGAGAAUGACGGAGCAUUUAAUGAGAGAGAGAAGCAGCAAAAAAUUAACUGAAAAAUGAUGGUGGGCCCCACCUCACUUGGAGCCACAUGGUGACACGUGUCGCAUCCAACUACGGUGGAGUGAUAAGACCCGUUCCCAGCACGAUACGGAACCGCUACUUACGUACGGUCGUAGAAGUCUCCAACCAAGACUAAUCCACCUAUCAUAUCAUGACCGGUGACAUGAAUUCAUUUCAUGAACUGUUACGUGGGCUCCGCAUCUAGUACUUCCAAAGAUUGAUAAUCGUCAUGCAUUGCUACUUCUGGACUCGAAUUACACAAAAAAAAUUUAUGAUGUGAAUUACAUUAAUUAAAAUUGAAAUUUAUUGUGUUUAAUGAGAUUGGUUUAAUAAGAUAAGAUAUAAAAAUUAUUAAUUAGUCUAAUAUAGAAUUGAUCAAAGUGCGGUUGAGUUUAUGAUUGAAAACUCUAUAAAUAAUAUUGAGUUAUUGUCAUUUCGUGUUUAGAACGAUGAAUUCCAAAUCAUGUGCGCAAAUCUUUUUUUUUCCAUUGCCGUGUUCUAAAAUCUAAUUAUGAAGAUCUUGAUGUGUUGUUUUCGUAGCUAACAAUACCUUUCCCACUCUCGUUGAGGGGCGACACUUUCAUUCAUUUAGGUCAUGUUUGGUAACCAUCACAAUAGUAACAGAUUCUGUUUUUUGUUCCUGGGAACAGUUUAGGAACAAAAUCGCAUUUGGUAAAAUUUUUGUUCCUGGAAACAAAUUUAGAGUAGAAUCAAGAAUAAAAAAAAAAAACUGGCCACUUGAAGAAGAAUAAUAAUAAUAGGAGAGAAAGGAAAAAAAGAAAAGGAAAAAAAAGGAAAAAAAAGGAAAAAAAAGUAAAAAAAAAUUAUUUAAAAAUUAAUUUGGAACAUAAUCGAUGAGCACGGUACCAAACACAAUUCUAUUCCAGAAUCAGAAAUUUUGAAUAGUUACCAAAUGGCUUAAAAUAUUUAGAAUAUGUUUUCGGGAACAGAAUAAAAAAUAAUAAUUUCUUAUCAGAAUCGUUAUCAAAUACGCUCUUAAAAUUAUUUAAGUAUUCUGGCAUACGUUUUCUUGUCGGUGUCCUUUAGUGUACUUUACUGUGUAACGGGGGCUCCAUGUAUAUUAUUUGCAAACUUGUAAUUGCAAUACCGUUUCACCCCUUGUGUUCAAAUUGAUUUUCACUUACUCUAAAUUUGAACAUUUUGUUUUUUUUUUCUUCCUUUCUCUUUUGACCUUGAUGUUUUAGAUUUGACUUAUGGAUUUACUAACGAACAACCUGAUAAUGUAAAAGUAAAAAGGUAAAUAUUAACAUCUAAGGUCUUGUUAAACCUUUUGAUUAAAUUUUUUUAAGGAAUUUGUGAUUGCUAAUUCAAGAGAGCUAGAAUUAGUAAUCACUGGACCUGGAAGAUUGUUAAAAAAAAUAAAAAAAAGGAAAAUAAUAGAAUAAGAAAGAAAAAAAAGAAAUCAAAAUGAUUUUCUUUGACGUUCAAAAAGAAUUCAAUCGACUAAAAAAUAAAACUAUGGACAAUAUAUAAAAUUGCUUUGAUGAAUUAAAUAUUUAGAAUUGAUGGAAUCACCAUUAUAUUUUAAGAAAUUGAACUAUGUCAUUAGAUAGUGAAGUUGUUGCCCUUUGGCUUAUGUAGUGUAAAUGCAUAAAAUUCUAAUAUUGAUCAUGGCAAAGGAGUAAGUCAAAGUCGACCUUGCUCUGUACUUUCAUGAUUAUGACUUUGGUUCCGAAACAAUAAAAGUAUAUUGAUUUUUCUCUGAUAACCGAAUAAUCUUAAAAGUCACAACAACACGGUUUAAUAUACACCAUACAACACUCCUAUAUGGCAUUAUAAGAAAAUUUCUUCUAUUUCUUUUCAAAUUAUUGAGAGACGCCUAGAUGCAUUACCUUUGUAUGUGUCUAAAGAUUUAAAGACUUAUAAAUCGAUACAAUGAUGGCAUAAAAGAUAAAACAUUUUUUUAAUGCCAAUUGUUUUUCAAAUGACAAUUUCAAUUUGUGGGUUUAAUAGGAGAAAGAAAUGUAAAGUCGUCAUUCAAAGACUUUUAAAUUGAUACGAUGCUGGCAUAAAAGAUAAAACAUUUUUUUUAGUGCCAAUUGUUUUUCAAAUGACAAUUUAAAUUGUGGGUUUAAUAAGAGAAAGAAACGUAAAGUCGUCAUUCAAUUUAGUAAUAAAGUAGACGAUCAAUUUUUGCUGAGGUAGUGUCUAGGUGGCAGCUACUUUCGUGGAAAAAUCACCAAAAAGGUUUUCUUGCAAUGAGGAGAGGCUAAUUUCAGCGAUCUACAAUGUUAUAGAUUUUUUUAUUAUUCACUUUGAGGUUAUUUUUAUUUAAUUGAUUCUUGAAAUUGAUAUAAAUAGAUAUUAUAUAACUAAACUGAAGUGAGGCAUUAGCAAAGCAUGCUUAAAAGUGUAUACGGUACCAUAGUUUUUCCAAUCAUAUGGUGCAACGCACUCAAAUUAUCUCAUCCACAUGUAUUUUGUAAGUUUUUCUAAUCAUACGGCAUUAUAGUACUAUGAGUUAAAAACUAUAAUCACAUAUAAAAAUAGGAUAUUUUGAUUAGCACGUAAAAUCUGCAGCAUCCAAAUCGAACGGUUUGUCUUAUACGCUUGCUACUUUGUCAUCUAUGAUUGAUCAAGAUUGUAUAAAUUGAGAAUUCGGAUGCAUAAAAAAAUAUAUAAUCACCGAAAGUAAUUUAUAUGACCAUAUCAAGACGUGGGCUACCACUAGUUAAUCAGGAUACUGGUGAUUACAUGAGUAAUGUGAUGGUAGGGUUGAAAUUCAAGAAAGGGGUCGAGAAAGUCGUUGCAAGUCUUUUUGUGGAUAGAAAUAGCAUCAAAACAGUUGUUUCACUUGUGGCUCGAUGGUGUGGAGCUUCCAAGGAGCUUUUCGCUGAGUAAUACAAGUUGCCUAACUCUAUCUUGAUCAAAAGUCAUGGUCAGUUACAAUUGAGGAGUGCAAAAUUUCAAGCCUAAGUCGGAAAAGCCCUGAUUGGACUCAACCGAGUUAUGUAGUGCCAGCUAAUUUACAAAGGACCGGUGGUUUGGCCUAAAAAUUCUAGGCUGUAUUUAAUCUAGUUUGGUAAAGAUAUAUCUUGACACCACCAUCACUUGAAUUAUUAAAGAGGAACGAAAUUUCAAGAGCAACAGUUUUCAAAUACCUAAAUUAUAGUAAUUUUUACCUUAACCUAAUCCACAACAGUUGGUCAAUAAUCGAAAUCGAUGACAUAAAAAAAUGAAGUGUUCGAGAUAGGGACCGAUUCCUUUGAUUCCACCGGUGAGUGAUCCACCUGUUUAUCGUUGUCGUUGUUGCGGCUGCUACAUCUCCUUGCUGUCCUACUCCCCUCUAGAGCCAUUCUCUCUCUAUCUAAAAGAUGAUUUUUCUUUUCCCUUCAACUCUGUUGUUUUCGUCUUUCUUCUUGGGCCCAAUGCGUCUGAUUUUCCAUUGUCUUAUGCACAAGUAAGUUGGAGUAGGGUUCCACGGCGAUUCAGGGAACUGCCAUCCGUAGCCUGAGGUUGACAGAAGACGAAGCUUUAAAUUACCACGGAACCGACCAUGGCUGAAAGCCAACAGCAUUCGACCGCGUUUAAUUAUCGACAUCUCUUCGUUCUUCUGCUCUUUUGGGUCCGCGCCCCGUCUGUCCUCCUCCUUUUCCGCGUUUUAGAGAGAGAGAGAGAGAGAUCGGACGCUUUUGAAACUCUGGUUAAACUUUCUUUUAUUGAGCCCCGCAGCUAGGAAUUGUAAUGUCGUUUCGACACUUGAGUUCGAAUUGAUAUUCAGUUACUUUGAGUUUGAACAUUUUUAUUUUUAUGUUUUGCCUUCGACGUUCUGGACUUGACUUACAUAUUUAUGAGCGAAUGACCCAAUAGUGUAACAUCUAAGAUCAUGUUAAAUCGUUAUGUCUGUAUUUUGAGAAAGCCCAAAAAAAUAAAUAAUAAAAAGUCAUUCUAAAUAGGUUCUAAAUAUUUUUAUUGAUAUUACCAAAAAAGAGUAACCUGCUACCCACGUUAUGGCCGGCAGAAGUUGUGGAAGCUUGUUUACAAAGACAACAGUAGAGUAGGCGACUCCAUCACUCAAGGCCACAAAAUGCCGGGAGUCGAAUCAAACGAUGGGUCGGAGUCUAAGGUAGCUCCAAACGUUUGAACUCAAUUGAUUUUACAGCAUCGCGUUGCUAUGUCCACGUUCAUACUCAGAGACUUCCCAAGUUAUGACUUUUGAUUGAUACUGUCGGCCAUGCAUUAAAUGCAACACACGAUGAGAUUCAAGACAACAUUGUUCAAUUAUGUAGGACCUUCUUAGGAAAACUUUUUAUUGAGCUUAAAAAGUUUCUUAUAGUCAUUUAAGAGAGAGUCUCGUUGCAUGUGAGCUGAUCGUUUGGUGAUUGAGGUACUUAUGGAAACAACCAUACGAGGAUUUGGAAAAUUUUAGGAAGACUAUGCAGAAAUGUUCGAAUAAGCAAUCUAUAUAAGGUCGAUUAUUUAAACCAGAGGAAUUUUGAGAUCACAGGAGAACAUUUACUACCUCCGAGAAUCAUUUUGUGCUUAUUGUUGGAAAUUUCCUAUAAUAUGGGUUUACAUUAAUUAAUUGAUUUUCUAUUUUAAAUAAUCGGGUUAAUAGAUAUUUCAAUAUUUGUUGAACCCUAAAGUGAUCUGAUUAAAUUAUGUAUUAGUAUCUAUUGAUAAUAGGCUUGGUUGACUAGCAAAGUGUAGGCAAUUGUGUUUGACUGAAGCCCGUAAUGGGAAGGAUCCAGUUGACACGUUGUAGAUUAGGGUUUGCUAGGUCCCAUCUCUAGCCUAUAAAAGGGUAGGUUAUACCUAUCAGUUCAUUUAAUCCUAUUGAAAGCUGCUAUAUUGAAAUAGGUCAUAGAGAUGAAGAUCUCCGAUAGAUCACUGAUUAUCAAAUUGAUAUAUUUUUUUUUCAAGUGAAACAAUGGCUCAAACAUGUACGCUUUACAUUUACGGAAGUUCUUCCUUCUCCGAGGAACAGAAGACUGCAAAGGGGGUGGGGAUUCGACCCCAUGAUCUUUUCCUCUGUAGCUGAUUCUCCUUAGCUUGCUGUUGUUUCAGUUUGCUCUUGUUCUUGUAGUUGCGGGUUCCUUCCAUCUCCGUUCUUCGCCUUCAGCUUUGAGGGCUAGAGGGUUGGGGAGGGUAGGGGUUCCUGUUGUUACGUUUUGUUUGUUGGCUUCCUAGCUUUUGUGUUUCUUGCUGGCGCCCUCGGGCUUUUUUAUCGGAUCCCCGUCACUCUUGCUCCUUUGUUAAGAGUGCUUGUUUGGAUCCGAUCUUUUGUACUUUUGUCCAUUCUCAUUAAUAUUAUUACCUUCACAAAAAAAAAAAAAAAACAUGUACGCUUUAAUUCCACUGUGUUUAUUGUUCUCGGUGUUUUACAGUCAUAUAUGGAUCCGAUUCUUCUUAAUUAAUUAAUUAUUCAUGCGAAUAAUUUUCUACAUGUGGUAUUAGAGCUAAUCAUAUAUGAUUGUAGAACUCAAUUUUUUUUUUUUAUGGACAAAUUCGAAAUCCUCCUCUUUGAGCCGAAUAUGGGCAUUAUUUUUUUGUAUAGAUUUUUUGCUUGAUUGAUUUUGAAACGAUAGGGCUUUUGUUCUACAUGUCGAGAUCUUUCCAACCAUAUAUAAUUUGCAUAAUUUCGUUGAGAAUUGAGAGAGAAUUUUUAGAUUUGAAAUUCUAGGGUUUAUACAUGAAAAAGUUCUAGAAUUUGCAAAUUACUUGCAAUUGAUUGAUGUUUGUUGUAAAUUGGUGCAUGGAUAUUGUCAUAUAUAUGUUUUAGCAUCCUAUUGUUGAAUAAAAGUAACAUUUUAGGCUUAAACUUAAGAAAUUCGAAAUUCGGCCAUGGGAGGUUAAGAUCUUCAUUUAAUUCAAUAUAGUUAAUUAUAUUGAUAUCAUAUGCAAAAUCCAUCAAUAAAUUUCAUCAAAAAUCAUGUUAAUUUGUGUUGUUGGAGCUUCGGGUUGAAACCGGGUCGUGUGACCCGGUUUUCUACAACUUCGGGACCCAGCUAGAGGUUGAAGAAGACCCUCCAGCCGGGCCGGGCCAGCCCAUCCAUUUUUUCUUUUUCGUGUAUUAGGAUCUGGGCGCAGCCCAGAACCUUUAUGUUUUGAAUGGGCUCUGGGCACACGCCCAUUAGCCAACUUGAAAAGAGGUUCUGGGCUGCCCAGAACCAAAAUAUAAAGGGCUUAGCCCAUAUAUAUUUUUUAAUUUAAUUUCGUGGGCUAUUUAAACAGUCCAUUACAUGGGCCAUUCUCAAUUUAAAAGGAGUGGGCUAGUGGUCCGCGUGAGGGUUAAGGAUUCGCGGGUUUGGCCCGCGGUCUGAUUAGGGCUGCUUGCAGGUCCUGGGCCCGGGGGAGUCCGAAAUAUUAAAAUAAUAAUAAUAUAAUAAUAUAAUUAAAAAUUAAAAAAAAUGUGGCAAAAAUUGUUGUUUGAAAAAGUGCAAUAUGAUCAUUGGAAGCACAUGUUGUAAAGUAUUUCAUAUUGUUUGAUGAAUUUUGGGCAUAAAUUUUUGGAGUUCCUUAUUGAUAAAAAUUAGUAUAUACAAUUACUUGCCCAAAAGGGGUUAUUGUGUAUAUUAAUUUGAAAAUUGCAUAAAGAUAAAUUCCAAAAAUAAAAGAUGGGGAUGUAUGACUCAAAAAGAUUUAUCUGCCCAAAGGGGAUAAAUUUUUUAAAGUUAUAUGUAAUUACCCUCUAUAUUGAUAUAUUAAAGAUGAAUGAUGAGGAUGUGUGACUCAAAAGGUUUAUCUGCCUAAAUGGGAUAAAUUUUUUGAGAGUUAUGUGUAAUUCCCUUCUAUGUUGAGAUAAUGGAGAUAUAUAAUUUAAAUGAUUUGUCUACCCAAAGUGGAUUGAUCCUUGAAGAUUAUAUGUAAUUCUUCUUUAUCAUCUCUAUAUAUUGAUAUCAUAGAGAUGUAUAAUUUAAAUGAUUUCUCUGCCCAAAGGGGAUGGAUCAUUAACAAUUAUAUAUAAUUCUCCUUGUUGUUGCUUUAUAAACUUCAUGCUGUGAAAAAUAAUGGUUCAUUAGACACUCUACCCAAAUGGAAGUUUAUAAUGUACUAAUUAUUUUUGUUGAAUUACUUAUUGCCCAUAAUUGAUCUUAUUACAUUAUGUGUGACAAACAGUUACAUUUGCUGUAAAUAAUAAUAAUGUCAUAGUUGAAAUAUUAACUUGAUCAAAUAUUAUACUGUUAAGGACUUGGUCAAAAUAGAGAUAUUGUGAUCGAGGAUGUCAUAACUGAGUCCAUGUUAUUUGAUCCUCUAACAAAAGGCUUACGACCCAUUUUAUUUAAAGAACAUGUAAAAAAUAUGGGUGUUUUAGAUUCUUUUGAUUUCUUUUGUUAGUGGGAGUUAUGUAAUUUGUACUUCUGGAUAUUAUAGUUAUAUGUAGUGUGAUAAUGCUUUUAUGAUGUUUAUUAAAGCAUUUAUUUUAAUAAUUGUUAUUAUUGAUUCUAUUGUUAUCCUUUCUCCUGUUGACUGAGAAAUAGAAGUAUAAAACAGUAUCUUUAAACAAAUUUUAGUUUAAAGAUGACUGGAUGUCACUGAUUAUGAGAUCUCAUGUUGGAUUGUGACAUAAUCGUGCAAUUUCAUGUUGUUUAGAAAUUGCGUUAAUGUAGUUCCAUGUCGUUAAGAAAUUGUAUUGAGAACCGAUAAGAAAUAGUGUAUAUUUUGAUCACAUGUUGGCAUUAUUUCUUACUACACUACUAGGCCCAUGAUCCAUGAAAAUAUAAUGCUUAUUAUAUGUGAUUAUGGAAGGUCUUGUGUUGUGGCAUUUUCUUAACACAUUGAUCUCCAUAGUCCUAUACUGAGGUUAUAUAGAAUUGGAUUGGUAUUGAGAUGCCAUUAUUGGAAUAUUAUUUUUUUUAAAAGUUGUGGCCACAUAAAAUAGAAAAUUUUAGUUAUUAACCCGAUAGUGUUGUUUUCAGUAUAAAAUCUUUUUCAAAAUAAAAUAAGUUAAUUAAUGUAGCCCAAGUGGGAGAAUGUUGGAAAUUUCCUAUAAUAUGGGCUUACAUUAAUUAAUUGAUUUUCUAUUUUAAAUAAUCGGGUUAAUGGAUAUUCCAAUAUUUGUUGAACCCUAAAGUGAUCUGAUUAAAUUGGAUAUUUGCAUCUAUUGAUAACGGGCUUGGUUGAGCAAGUGUAGGCAAUUGUGUUUGACUAAAGCUCAUAAUGGGAAGGGCCUAGUUGACACGCUGUUGAUUAGAGUUUGCUAGAUCUCCUCUCUAGCCUAUAAAAGGGUAGGUUAUAUUUAUUAGUUGCUUUUAUCCCAUUGGAAGCUACUAUAUUGAAAUAGGUCAUAGAAAGGAAGAUCUGACAUUCUGAUAGAUCACUAGUUAUCAGAUUGAUCUAUUUUUUUCAAGUGAAGUAAUGGUUCAAACAUGUACGCUUUAAUUCUGCUGUGUUAUUGUUCUCGGUGUUUUACAAUCAUAUAUGGAUCCAUUUCUUCUUGAUUGAUUAGAUAUUUAUGUGAAUAAAUUAUACACUUAUUUCAUUACUCUAGUGUUAGAACUCGUGAUUGUAUUGAGACUUACUCUGCAAUUUUAUCUCAAGGGAGAGUAUUUCUCUUGUGAAUACAAACAGGAGUGUGCAUUGGUUUUAUUCGGUUUUUAGUGUUGCAGUAUCUACCAUUGCGGUAGCAGAAAGCUUUUGUAACUUGCGAUCUACUUGAAUUGAUACCGCAAUGUCAAAAUGAAGCCUUUGAUGGCUUCUGUAAGUCAGAAUCUGGUCUCUUUCUCUCUCUCACUGGACACUUCAUUCUUUUAUGUCGAUGGUUAUGAUGAUCAAUCAUCUGUAUGAUAUAAGUUGAGGAAGAAAACAUCUUGAUUUAAGAAUUUGAAAAUCGUCGAUCUCGAAAUCUCUUUUCUCUAUGAUAAUUUGAGUGAUAGCAGUAGGAUUGCACAUUGACUAGGGCAAUCCAUGAUCAAAGUACUUCUUGUCCUAGCCAAAACAAAUUGAGCCUGUAAUUUCUAGGUCGCUAGAAUAAAUCUAGCAAAGAAAUGAAUUUAAGCACUUUAAUUGACUUAUUUCCAUUAUAUCCAUGCUCAAGAAAAUCUUUCUGAUCGAAGCGUGUUUGACCGAGCUUCCGACCAUCAAGAUUCUUUUAACUGCCCGAGUGACAGUGGAUGCUUCUGAAUCCAAUGAUGUUCGAUUCCAUGGAUAAAAAAAAAAACUAGGCAAUUGAUGCCAUCACCACUUAAAACUCUAUAUGAUGGAAACGACGAGAGACUUGAUCAGAGAGCUCAAUUAUUUUGCGGAUGUCGUCACUGGGUGAUUGAUUCAUAGGUAGCCUUCUUAAGUUCUGUAGCCUUUUGACCGUGAUAACUCAUUUGACAUUAUUAUUAGCUAAUAGAAUUUCUUUAUCCUUUUGUGAUUUCCCAAAAAGAAAUCCUGGUCCUUCAAAGGCUGUAAUUAAUGGUUUGACUUCUAUUGCGAGUGCGGCCACAUCUACUGCACGUUCUUGGAUAUCACACAGAAUUUCUACUUCCGGAAAAGAAGAGGGAUUAAUCUGUUCCUGUUUGCAAUCACGAGUUGGUAAAAUGAUCAUGUCGUUGUGCCAUGAUUAGGCAUGUCGUUGUGGAGGAACUAGCGAGGCUUAGGGCCACCGGGUAUACCUGCUCCAGAAAUGAAGCCGAAAUCAAUGAAUGCUUGUAAGAUUGGAAGAGCAAGGGUGUUCAGGUCGCAGGAUCGGCUUGCAACAAGUGGAUCCUUGUAAGUCUAAGUCGUCUUUGAUCGAGUGGAUCCAAUAACAAUAUUUAUAAUAAGGUUGCACCUUGUGCAUGUCUUUUAAUGAAUUUUGUUUUUGGUUUUCAUUUGUGGCAGAUAAAUGACAUUAGGACCAACACUCUGAAGUCGACCAUGGAUUACACAACAGAAAAUUUUCCCUUCCUCGUGACAACUAAUUUCGAACUGGCUUACCAUCUAAGCCAGCUCGGACAUCCCCUUCUCAAGGCCUCAGGAGCUGGAAGUAUUGUGAAAUUGUCAUCCAUUUGCGGCGCUGUUUCAAUGAACACCGCAUCAAUCAACUCAGCCGCCAAAUGUACAUUAACAUUAUCAUAAAUAACUAUCUUGACAAUGUUAUAUGGAGCUAAACAAAUUGCGGCUGUUUUCUGUUUAUUGUAUUCAAAUUGAUUGAUAGGAGCAAUGAACCGGUUGACCAAGAAUUUGGCAUGUGAAUGGGCUAAGGAAAACAUAAGAAGCAACUAUUUUGUGUUGGAGAAAUCUUCGUGAAGUGUUUUGAAGUUGACAAAACGUUUCCAUCAGUCUAGUCUGAAGGUCUGCAGACUCUGUUAGUUAAAGUCUGAAGACUUCCGGACAGCCAGACUCAAGACUCAAAGUCUAUCCUCAUUGACAGUCUCUAAUCCGUUGAAGAAAGGUUAUCCAAAACUGGAUGUUUUGUUCAGGAUUUAACCUUAUCAUCUGGAGAAGAUCUCGUGGUUGGAGAAGACGUAUAAGAAUCCUUUGAUUGAUCAAGAUUGAUUCAAUGACUGAAGAUUCGAUGAUUGUCUAAAUAUUAUUGGAAGGUUCUACUUAUGGAAACCGAGAUCCUGAUUGUAUGGGCGAACAGGAUUGAUGGGCUAUCAACACGUUCCUUUAAUAGCUCGAACAAUCUUCCUAAUUGAUUCCGUCCAACGGGUAGAUUGGAGGAAUUCCUUUGGUAAGUGCCAACGGGUAUGAUGGCAUAAAGGAGUAUAUAAGGAAGACGUUCUUAGUUGUUCGAGGUGUGCGCGAUAGAAGAAUUCCAAAGUCUGAAGCUCCUAUUUGUUUAGAUAAAUCCUUUGAGCGAAUACUUGUAUACAAAAGAGAGUCUAUAUUUGUGAGAGACCUUGAGGAGGUGUGAUAAAACAUCUACACUGUGGAAUCAAGGCAAAGCUGUGCUGUAACUUCUCUUUUGAUCAUAGUGAAAUCCAGCCGGUGGGCUGUCAGUGCGGAAGAGUGGACGUAGGCUUGGAAUAAGCCGAACCACUAUAAAUCAUGUGUUCAAUUUUCUCUUCCUCACUCUCUCUACCUUAAUCGUAUUUCUUUUUGUUAAUUAGGAGAGAAUUUACUUUCUAUCAUACGUUAAGAAUCGCUUCUGUAUAUCGAUAAAUUGUUUAGGCACCUAUUCACCCCCUCUAGGUACUCAUACUAGCAAUAUCAAUUGGUAUCAGAGCUCGUGUACUCACUUUGUUUGAAGUGUUUUACUUUAGAGUUAAAGAUCCAUGGCUAGUAUGCUAGCACCAGGGCUGAUGGAAGGGCAAAGUAAUACCAGACCACCCUACUUUGAUGGAAAGGAUUACAACAUCUGGAAGAACAAGAUGAAAGCUUUCCUACGAUCAAAGGAUCCUCUGGAAUGGGAUGUUGUAGAAAAAGGAAUUACUCCUACCACUGCAUCAGUCUCUGAAAGAGGAAAAGAAACUGAAGAAACCAGCGGAAUGUCUCAGGAAGAAAUAAUCAAGAGACAAACACUCGAUGCAAAAGCAAUUUACUCCUUAUAUUGUGCUUUAUCACCAACUGAAUAUAAUAGAAUAUCUUCUUGUGGUACAGCAAAAGAAGUUUGGGACAGAUUGCAUAUCACCUAUGAAGGAACAGAUCGAGUGAAGGAAACAAGAAUCAACAUUCUUCUCGGUCAAUAUGAAGCCUUCAUAAUGAAACCAGGAGAAUCAAUAUCUGACAUGUUUAGUCGUUUUACAGAUAUUGUGAAUGGUCUUGAAAAUCAAGGUCAACCAACUUCUGAUCCCAUGAAGGUAAACAAGCUACUGCGUGGACUCUCCAGGGAUUGGAAUCACAUAAAGACUUCGAUAAGAGAGACGCAGAGAAUUAUGCCACUAUCUGUUGACGAGCUGAUUGGAACUCUUCAGUCCUAUGAAGUGGAAAGGAUCAAUGAAGAUGAAGAUCCAAAAGGUAAGAAAUCCAUUACAUUAAAAUCAAAUGAUGAUUCUGAUGAUACAGAUUUUGAAGAUGAUAUGGACGAUGAGGAGCUUGCUCUCAUGAUAAGAAGAUUCAGAAAACUAAAUAGAAAAGGAAGAAGGUUCAACUCAAAGAAACAAAGCUUUCAAAGACAGCAGACCAAGUCUGUUGAUGAUGAGGAACUAAAUAAAGAUGUAGUCUGCUUUGAAUGCAAGAAAAAGGGACACAUCAGACCCAACUGUCCUCUUCUGAAGAAGAAGAGAGGAAAAGCUGAAAAAUUUCGAAAAGCUCUCAAAGCCGAAACCUGGAGUGAUACUGAGUGUGAAGAAAGUGAUAAUGAAUAUGCCAAUCUAUGUCUAAUGGCACAAUCAGACUCAGACUCUGUAUCAGACUCAGGAUCAGACUCAGAUAGUGAAUUUGAGGCAAGUGAUUUUAAAAUUCCUGUCAAAGUUUCUAAAUAUAUUAAUGAACUAUGCUUUAGUCUUAAGACUUCUCUCAAAAGAAUUUCCGAACUGAAAAAAGAAAACUCAGCUCUAAAACAAAAGGAAAAUGUUUUAGCAGAAAGAGUUAAAAGUCUAGACUUAUCUGUCUCCAAUCUUAAAGAAAAUGAAGAUAAUCUUUUAAAAGAAAAUGCUUUUUUAAAAACAGACUUAUCUAAUAUAUCAAAGAAAUUUUCUAUAGGGUCUGAAAAACUUGAGAAAAUUCUUUCAGCACAAAGACCUUACUUCAAUAAGUCUGGUCUAGGUAUGACAGAAGAAACAAUCCCCUUGAUUGAUUUUCCUAAAGUAAAAGAAAGAAUUAAGAAAAGACUCUCGAGUGAGGUUUACAAAAAUCACUUCAAGAAAGUUUUUGUAAAACCUGUAGGUAGAAAUGCUCUCAGAUGUUCUAAGUGCAACAGUCCGGAUCACUUUGAAAAAGAGUGUCCUAUGGUAUGGAAACCUGUUAAGAAAGUAUGGGCUAAUACUGUUUAUCUUACUAACACCAAAGGACCCAAGAAAAUUUGGGUACCAAAGAAAGCUUGAGACUUUAUUUUAAAUGCAGGUCUCCGUCAAGAAACAGGUAAAGUGGUAUCUUGACAGUGGAUGCUCAAGACACAUGACAGGAGACUCAAAUUGCUUUAUAAAUAUUGCUCAAGUAAAUGGUGGAAAAGUUUCAUUUGGAGGAAACAGCAAAGGAAGUAUUGUGGGAUUUGGAACCGUGAAAAUUGGAACUCUCACAAUAAGUAAUGUUUCCUUAGUGGAAGGACUCAAUUACAAUCUUCUCAGCAUUAGUCAAUUGUGUGAUACUGGUUUCAAGAUCUUCUUUCAAGAAGGAACAUGUUCUGGAAUCAGUAAAGACUCUACUCAGUCUUUCAUGGGUCGAAGACAUGGAAAUAUCUAUCUUCUGGAUGUGAAACCAAAUGAAUCGCAAUGCCUUAUCUCAAUUCAAGACGAAGCAAGCUUAUGGCACAAAAAGCUUGGUCAUGUCAACAUGAAGCAAUUAGCCAAAAUUUCUUCAAAACAGCUUGUUCGAGGACUACCCAGAUUGUCAUACCAAAAGACUGAUUCAUGCACUCCAUGUAUUCUGGGAAAGCAGUUGCUGCAUAUGGAUCUCUUCGGACCAACCAGAACUCAAAGUAUUGGGGGUAAGAAGUAUUGCCUAGUAAUUGUUGAUGAUUACUCCCGUUUUACUUGGGUAUAUUUCCUUGCAAGUAAGUCCGAAACCUUUUCGUAUUUUGAAAAAUUUGCUAAAUUGGUUCAAAAUGAAAAAGGAUGUGUUAUCUCUAGUAUAAGAACAGAUCAUGGAGGUGAAUUUGAAAAUCAAGAUUUUACAAAAUUCUGUGAUGAAUCUGGCUGUAAGCAUGUGUUUCCCUCUCCAUAUACUCCUCAGCAAAAUGGAGUUGUGGAAAGAAAGAACAGAUCUCUUCAAGAAAUGGCUAGAACUCUUUUAAUUGAAAGUAAAAUUUCUUCUCGAUUUUGGGCUGAAGCUGUUUCAACAGCUUGCUAUAUCAUCAAUAGAGUCUUCUUAAGAUCUAUUCUUCAGAAAACCCCUUAUGAGUUAUUCAAAGAAAAGAAGCCUAUUGUUUCAUACUUUCAUGUAUUUGGUUGCAAAUGUUUUAUACUGAAAAAUGCAAAAGAUCGAGUUGGUAAGUUUGAAGAAAGAUCAGAUGAAGGUAUCUUCCUUGGAUAUUCUACAUCGAGCAAAGCCUUCAAAGUCUAUAACAAGAAGAGCCAGUCUGUGGAGGAGUCAAUGAAUGUCAAAUUUCAAGACUCAACACAAGAUGAAUCAAGUCAGACUCAUCAAGAAGAGUCUGAACCUGCUCCAGAUCUUCCAAAGCUUACAACUCAAGAAGCAUCUCAGACUCUGGAAAACCAGAAUAAGGAUGUUCGUGAAGAUUCAGUCAAAGAGAGAGAUCAUCAAUUAGACAAAUCAACAAGUAACUGGAAGCAUAAGUCCAGUCAUCCCAAAGAUCUUAUAAUCGGCGAAAUAAAUGAAGGAAUUCGCACCAGAUCCAAAAGGCGAGAAGAGUCUAGUGCUGUGGCACUCGUUUCUGAAAUUGAACCAAAGAGCAUAGAAGAAGCUUUAUCUGAUGAAAGCUGGAUUGAAGCUAUGCAAGAAGAGCUCAGACAGUUCAGCAUAAAUGAUGUCUGGGAAUUGACAUCCAAACCAAAAGGUAAAACUGUUAUUGGAGCUAAAUGGGUUUUCAGAAACAAGAUGAACAAGAAAGGAAAAGUCGUACGAAAUAAAGCAAUACUCGUGGCCAAGGGAUAUACACAAGAAGAAGGAAUAGACUAUGAUGAGACUUACGCUCCAGUGGCAAGGUUAGAAGCUAUUCGACUAUUACUUGCGUUUGCUUGUUAUAAGAAUUUCAGGUUAUUCCAAAUGGACGUCAAAAGCGCCUUCCUAAAUGGAUUUAUCCAUGAGGAAGUUUAUGUGGAACAACCACUAGGGUUUGAAGACCCAAAGAAGCCAGACUCAGUCUUCAGACUGAAAAAGGCUUUGUAUGGUUUAAAGCAAGCACCUCGGGCUUGGUACGACAGAUUAAUCUUUGCAAGAAAUUUUCAAAGUCUAUGCAGGAUGAGUUUGAAAUGAGUAUGAUGGGAGAGUUAACAUUCUUUCUUGGUCUUCAAGUAAAACAAUUGAAGGAAUGAACCUUUAUUUAUCAAGAAAAAUAUGUUAAUGAUCUUGUCAAAAGGUUUGGAUUGGAAAAGUGCAAAAAGGUCGACAUACCAAUGUCAAGUUCUUUAAAGAUAGACAAAGAUGAAGAAGGGAAGAAAGUUGAUCAAAAGCUGUACAGGAGCAUUAUUGGAUCACUUCUUUAUCUUACUGCCUCUAGACCUGAUAUUUUGUUGAGUGUUUGCAUCUGUGCUAGGUUUCAAUCAGAUCCUAGAGAAUCUCAUCUCAGUACUGCGAAACGCAUCAUUAAAUACGUUGCUUCAUCAUCAAGCAUCGGUCUUUGGUAUCCUAAGAAGGGAGACUUUAAUCUUCUGGGAUAUUCAGACGCAGAUCUGGCCGGUUGCAGAGUUGAUAGAAAGAGCACUUCAGGAACUUGCCAGUUGCUUGGAAGCAGGACAGUGUCUUGGUUUUCAAGGAAACAAAGCACUGUGUCUCUUUCAACAACAGAAGCAGAGUAUGUAGCUCUUGGAAGCUACUGUUCGCAAAUUCUAUGGAUAAAACAACAGCUAAGAGAUUUUGAAAUUGAAGACUCAUGCACGGAGAUUAAUUGCGACAACACCAGCGCUAUCAACCUCACCAAAAAUCCUAUUCUCCACUCAAGAGCAAAGCAUAUAGAGAUUCGACAUCACUUUAUUAGAGAUCAUGUUCAAAAUGGAGAUGUUUCAAUUCAAUUUGUUGACUCAAAGAAUCAACUGGCUGAUAUACUCACAAAGCCUUUGGAGAAAAAUCAAUUUGAGUCUAUACGGUCCAGACUCAACAUUUUGAGGUAUGAGGAUAUCAAAGUCUAAAGACUGUCAGACUCAGGCUUACAAGACUUUAUCUACUGUCUUGGCUCGACCUUCAGACUGUAAGUCUUUCUCUCUCCAAUCUUAUCUUGAAAAGGUACGAUCAUCAGGCUAUGUUUAAAUUGUUGCUAUAUUUAAUUAACGUAAAUAUUGCAUCGAUUCAUUUUCAAAAGGGAAGUUAUUUUUGAAAUAACUAUUUUUGUGGAUAAAGACAGUUAUUUUGAAAAGGCAUAUUUUUAUUUCCUUUGUGACGGUUCGUUUACUCUUCUUUUUAACCGAUUGUGCACUGUCGAUUUCUCUUCACUUUUCUAUUCACUUUUCUCUCAAAAACUCUAGAAAGCAUCGAUCCUCAAUUCCCGUUUGUCUUCUUCGCUCAAUCUUCAAAAAGUUGUCAUCUUUUCUAGGAAAGUCAAGCAAGGAAUCUUCCAAACACUGAGAAAGAUGUCAUCUUCACGAAAGUCCUCAAGAAUCGCAAGCAGGGGACCACGGAGAAUGAGUGAGGGGCCUACGCACUUCGAUCUUACUGAAGAUGAAGUUACUCCAGAUCAGCAACCGAGCCCACAACAUUCUCAGCAGCGUCAGUCUCCUCCAUCUAGUCCUCAAGGCGGUGUUCAUCAGCAUCAAGAAGAAAUCAUCGAGGAUGCAGACCCAGUAAGAGUUCAAAAGCCCGCUUUUAUUUACAAGCUAUAUCGUGCCUUAAAAGGAAUUCGUACUCUUUUGAACUAUGUUGAUGAGUUUCUAAGAGACAAAGGAUAUAGGAACGAAUAUAUCUUUCUGCGAAAAAUGGAAAGUUUGGGAAUCGCUCGUAAAGGGGUGGCUGAGGAAACCCUUGCGAAUAUCCCAAGUGAUCCUCGUGACUGGGGACCGAAUCCUGUAGAUGGGAAUGACGAUGACAAUCUGUUCAGUUUAUUUCAACCGAAAAUGGGUAUUGCGGCUGAAAUUCAAGGAAAAAGGGGAGAUUUGUUCAGAUCAAAGGAACAAAAGGAUCUGUACUCGAAAUUACUGAAGCGUGGGGUAAUAAACCCUAGGAGUGUGGACUUUGAUUUUCUGGAUGCUGUGAAAGUGAACUUGAGGGAAAAGUUCAGUUAUCUUCAACUUGAAAAGUUUUGCUCUGACUCAACUGAGGCUUAUGCUGAAUUGACUGCAUAUUUCUAUUCAAAUCUUAGCUUUUUGGAUGCGAAUAGAUUCUCCUUCAGUGUUAAAGAACAAGACUAUGUUGUGGAUAUGAAUAUGCUGGCAGAUGUGUUAGAAGUUGAGAGAGGCAGAUAUCAACCAAUUAAAGUUUCCAUUGCUCGGGCCACACUUGAACUGGUGAAGGACAGGAGAACAGAUGAGAAGAUAACCUACUCACGGAUGAAUGCAUUCAACAUCUUGCUUCACAAGAUUGUGAUCAAUUGCCUUCGGCCGAAAUCAACUUCCAAAACUGAUGUUUCAAGCUCUGAGGCAAAGUUGAUGUAUGUCAUCCUCUGUGGAAAGCAGUUCUCUCUCCCUCAUACUGUUAUGUGCCACAUGUAUAGAGUAGUGAUGAAGGACAGAGGUCAACUCCCUUACCCAAGCCUUGUUACGAAGUUAUUCAGACAUCUGAAUAUUCAGCCUCCGCAAAUCUUUUGUGUUCGAUCAUGCGAUCAUAUGGUGGUAGGACUGAAAAUGGUGACCAAAAUGCGUCUGAAGGAACUGAGCAAGGAAUUGGAGAAAUUCAAGGAGAAGACUCCUGCCAAAUCUCAUCAACUCUCUUCUGCUGCUAAGAGAAAAGGGAAGGAGCCCAUGGCUGCGUCAUCAAAGAGAAGAAGAGCUCUCCUCGUUGAGGAUGAAGAUGAUGACGAAGACAUCACCAUCUCUGCAAUGGCUUUGAAGAAUUUAAGUCGUCCUGUUCCACAGAAAGAAUCGGAACAAAAGACGAAAGAAGCAGAGGAGAAGGAAGAAGAAGAAAGAGAAGCAAAGGAGAAGGAAGAAGAAGAAAGAGAAGCAGAGCAAGAAGCAGAGAAAGAAAGACCUGAAGAAGAAAGAAGAGAAGAAGGAGAACCUGAGGAAAUCUCUUCUCCACCUGUAGGCAUGGAAAUAGGGGGAGAUCAGGAGAAAAGAGUGACGUCUUCAUAUCCUGAUGCAAGUGAAGGAGUCAGUCGCUCGCCUGCAGACCCAGAAGAUGUUUAUGCAUCCCUGCAGACCCAGAAGAUGUUUAUGCAUCUCAGUUUCUAGAGGAAGGUCAUGAAGCUUCAUCGCCAAAUCUGCAAGAUUAUGCUGAUCUACCAUCUUCUGUAGAUCGAGCCGAAGCAAGUACUCAGACUGAUAAUGGAGCAGAUUUUUGCAGAAUCAUGGAUAUUCUCUUGGAGAUGAAAGGUCAGAUUUAUGCCUUGGGAUGCGAAGUUCAAAGUUUAAAGAAUGAAAGUCAAGCUUCUUCCUGUUCAUUGAAUGAUAAGAUGCAAGCCCUCUCUAUUCAGAAUCAGGCCAAUGCCAAGAGUGAGGAGGUUGUACAGCUGAAGGAAGACUUUAAAAGGCUGGAAGGCAUCGUUCAGUCUAUGGAAGAUUUCCAGCUUGUCCGCAUUCCCAAGACUUCAUCUCAUCCUUUUUAAUGAUGACAAAAAGGGGGAGAGAUGCAUGAUUUGAUAAAAAAAACUUUCAAUCAUUUUUUAACUGUUUGUUGGAUUGUGUUGUUGUUUAACUGUUUUUGACAAGACUUUGACUUUGUUUUGUGUCUGGAUGAGAUCUGAACUAGACUUGGACUUGACUGCUUCUAUUAACAAGUAUUGAUAUCUUAUGGAUGGUUUUAUUAUAUACUAGACUAACCUAUUUUCUGUGGUUGCAGAUUCUAGUGUUAAUCUUUUAGCCAUUCAUCUCUAUAAGAUAUGCAUAUGUGUUUGAGAAAUGUUUUGCAGGUCAAAGUUAUCCAAAUCUGCAGGAAGGUUUUGUCACCAUCAAAAAGGGGGAGAUUGUUGGAGAAAUCUUCGUGAAGUGUUUUGAAGUUGACAAAACGUUUCCAUCAGUCUAGUCUGAAGGUCUGCAGACUCUGUUAGUUAAAGUCUGAAGACUUCCAGACAGCCAGACUCAAGACUCAAAGUCUAUCCUCAUUGACAGUCUCUAAUCCGUUGAAGAAAGGUUAUCCAAAACUGGAUGUUUUGUUCAGGAUUUAACCUUAUCAUCUGGAGAAGAUCUCGUGGUUGGAGAAGACGUAUAAGAAUCCUUUGAUUGAUCAAGAUUGAUUCAAUGACUGAAGAUUUGAUGAUUGUCUAAAUAUUAUUGGAAGGUUCUACUUAUGGAAACCGAGAUCCUGAUUGUAUGGGCGAACAGGAUUGAUGGGCUAUCAACACGUUCCUUUAAUAGCUCGAACAAUCUUCCUAAUUGAUUCCGUCCAACGGGUAGAUUGGAGGAAUUCCUUUGGUAAGUGCCAACGGGUAUGAUGGCAUAAAGGAGUAUAUAAGGAAGACGUUCUUAGUUGUUCGAGGUGUGCGCGAUAGAAGAAUUCCAAAGUCUGAAGCUCCUAUUUGUUUAGAUAAAUCCUUUGAGCGAAUACUUGUAUACAAAAGAGAGUCUAUAUUUGUGAGAGACCUUGAGGAGGUGUGGUAAAACAUCUACACUGUGGAAUCAAGGCAAAGCUGUGCUGUAACUUCUCUUUUGAUCAUAGUGAAAUCCAGCCGGUGGGCUGUCAGUGCGGAAGAGUGGACGUAGGCUUGGAAUAAGCCGAACCACUAUAAAUCAUGUGUUCAAUUUUCUCUUCCUCACUCUCUCUACCUUAAUCGUAUUUCUUUUUGUUAAUUAGGAGAGAAUUUACUUUCUAUCAUACGUUAAGAAUCGCUUCCGUAUAUCGAUAAAUUGUUUAGGCACCUAUUCACCCCCCUUUAGGUACUCAUACUAGCAAUAUCAUUUUGCACUACGAACCGAGCCAGUAAUUUGAUCUCACAAGGCUUUAAUUUUCUCUCCUGCUCAAGAAUGUUUCAUUACAUAGAUCUUGAUCAUGUUUGUCCAUUUUGCUUUUGAUGUUUAAUUCAUCUGUCGUUGCAGCUAUUUAAUAACGAGAAGUUCCACAAGGAAGUGAUAGCAAGGACACCGAUCGGUCGCACCGGAGAACCGAUGAAAGUGCCGUCGUUGGUGGGAUUCUUGUCCAUGCCGGUAGCCUCUUAUAUAAUGGGGCAAACCAUUUGUGUUGAUGAGGAUUCGCCGUGAAUGGUUUCUUAUUUCCUAUGUAACGUGAGUCCAACUUUCUUCUUCCCAUAAGAAGUUCAGCAUUCUUAGUCAUCGCAAGGACAAAGAACCUAUAAUGGCGAAAUCUCUGAACAUUGAUGUAUCCAUUUCGCCAGUGGCCGGCGAGGCGACCUCCUCAACGGGAGGAUCUACGGGUGGCUAUCCCUCUCUCUCUCUCUCUCUCUCUCUCGUUUGAAGUUGUGAGCGCUCGCUUGGAACCGUUCUCUCUCUCCGCCUCAAUCCAUGCCUUGCGAUUGCGCCUCCGAAGUGCGAGCAAGCUCGUAGCUUCUGAUCGCCGCCGCAUUGUGGACGGCGAGCGAGGAGCCUCGCUGACCACUGGUGAGGUCAACCCCUCGCCUUGGCUGGGCGAGGCCUUGCCGGAUCUGGCGAGGCCUCGCCCUCGCCAUUGGCCGGCGAGGCUGACCUCGCCAGAUCUAGUAGGGCCUCGCCCUCACCGGCCCUUGCCUCCGCCCAGUGGGGGUGAGCCUCGCCAUUGGCCGGCGAGGCUGACCAUGCCAGCCCUCGCCUCUGGCCGGCCAGGAGGCGAAGAAGAUGAUGGAAAAAAAAAGAAUUAAAAAAUUCCAAAAAAGUAUUAAAAAUUCGAAAAAAAAAUUAAAAAAAAUUAAAAAAUGUCACGUUAGCGUUCACUGGUCCAUGUCAGCGUCAGCCGGCCAAUUUUUGCCAGAUGGACUGAAUUGACACAAUUAUAAAAGGUUUAGGACUAAAUUGGCAAAAAAAAAGUUUAGGACUGAAUCUUACAAAAGCUUUGACUGAGAUAAUUGUAUACGGUACCAUUAUUAUCGUGCCACAGGCACAGGUUCAUCGCUAGUUAGCAGAUAUAAAAUUAGUUUGAUUGGCAAAUUUUUACGGCCUCUUUAUACCAGUUACACAAAGUUUUGCCGCUAGUUAGCAUAUAUAAAAUUGGUUUGUGAAAAGCUCAAGUGUCUUAUUUUUAUGAGCAGUGUUUUGUUUCAGAUCAUAUGGAUUUUAGGUCAAGUGCAUAUCAAAGAGAGCACAUAUCUCUUAUAGUUCAAGUUGGGUCAAGUAAUGAGGAAAUCCGAUUAGGUCCAUUAACACUUCUAGUUGGUAUGAGUUAGGAAGAGUCCACGUUAAGUUUUUGAAAAUAAUGCUUCAGCUUUUCUUUUGAUGGUUUAUCUUUGGGAAAGUCACAGCACUAUCAUAUUACUCACGUUGCACUACGGUCACGAACAUUGGCAUUAUAUGACAUCUGUAUGAAUAAUAACUAUCAUUUAAAAAAUUACCAGAUUGUUCGAUGUGUAACUUGAAAAACAUGAGUCGACGUGGUGCUUUCGGCGAAAGGCAGGCGUGGGGACAUGCGUGCUUCCAUGAUUGAAUGCAAAUCCGUCAAGGGGCCCUGAAUCUUGUCAUCGCCUUUGUUCUCCCACUAGGUAGACUUCAAGGACCUUAUGCAAGGAGUGGCUCCCAGUUCCCACUAUUAUAGAUGAAGUCAAAUAUUUGUUUUUAGGGGCUUUUUUUGUCUUUUCUAUUAGAUUUCCUUUUAGCGAUGGCAAAACCCUAGCUGUCAAGACGCUGAAAAAGAAAAUAGAGAGACAAGAAAAAGAGAGAAGAAAAAAGUGAGUUUUUUUCUUGAUGAGGGUUCUCAAUCUCUUUAUGCCCUGAUCUUGAGAGAAGAUCGUCGUUGUAUUCCAACUUUUUCGAAGUCUAAUGGAUUUGCAGAGUGCCUCUGUGCAGAGACGUAACCUAGGUUUGGGUGAACUUCGAUAACAAAUUUUCUGGCGUGUUCAUCUAAUUCUGCUCUUUUAUUACUAUAUUAUGUCUGGUGAAUUGUUUGCGAGCGUUAUUUUUCUAGAAUCGACGUGUGAUUUCGUAACAACUUGUAUCAGAGCUUGGGUUGCCUAAUCGAGAACAUCGAGGGUUUUUCAGUGACGUUCGAUUGAAAGCAAACAGAAUGGCAGAAGAUAAAAUCAGAAUCGAUAAGUUCAAUGGGGAGGACUUCGGAUGGUGGAAACUAAAAAUAGAGAAUUAUCUUUAUCAAAAAGAUCUCUAUGCACCACUUGAGGGUUGGAAACCCGAGAUGGCAGAAGUGGAUCCGAUAGCAGAAGCCGGAUGGAAAAUUCUUGAUCGAAAAGCAUUAGGUGCGAUUCAUCUAGGGUUGACAAAAAAGACAGGGUACCACAUCACGAAAGCAAAAACUGCAAAAGAAGCCAUGGAUAUUCUAACGAAUAUUUAUGAGAAGCCGUCCACAUCAAAUCAGGUAUUUUUGCUGAAGAAAAUGGUUAAUAUGAAAUUAUCUGAUAGAGGUUUUGUGGCAGAGCAUAUUAAUAGUUUCACGCAGGUCAUGGGUCAAUUGGAAUCUGCAAGCAUAAAUUUAGAUAUGAAGCUUCAAGCUUUAUUAUUUUUAUGUUCUCUUCCAGAAAGCUACAAUACUGCAAUGCAGGGAAUUUCGAGCACCAUGAAGGAUGAUUUAACUCUUGAUGAUACUGUGAGUAGUAUAAUUUUUCUGUGGAUAUAAUUUUUCUGCAUCUACAUCUUCAACGGCACUCGCAGUGGAGAACCAUGGAAGAAGUAAAAGUAGAGAAAAUUUCAGCGGUCAUGGCAGAUCACAAUCAAAGGGUAAGAGACAGGUUGCAAAAGAUGAGUGUUGGUUUUGUCACAAAACCGGAUACCGGAGGUUUUAGCGUGGAGCCUACAAAAAGAAGCAGCAAGAUGAGAAUUAAGGUGCUAAUGUAGUUAGCGAUGAAUCUUUGCUAGAUAACUUGUGUUUGUCUGUAGGGUUUGACUUGACAAUAGAUAAAUGGUUUAUUGAUUCUGGCGCUUCUUUUCAUUGCACCUCGCAAAGAGACAUAUUUGAUGAUUAUGCCAGUGGAGAUUUUGGACAAGUGGUUGUGGGAAACGGCCACAUGUGUCCAAUUGUUGGGAAAUGAACCGUGACUAUGAACAUCUCAGGUGGAGAACGUCUAGUUUUGCGUGAAACUAGGCAUAUUCCGGAAUUAAAGAAAAAUCUAAUUUCAACCAGUAAACUUGACCAAGAAGGUUUGGUAAUAACCUCUGGCUGCGAAGAGUGGAAGAUAACCUCAGGGGUAAGAGUAGUAGCAAAGGGAAAGCGUACAGGUACAGUUUACCUUCUCCAAGGAGACAAUAUCAGUGAUAUGGUUGCAACUACAAUGGCUACAGGUAAUUUAUCUACUCAUUGGCAUUAUCGUUUGGGACAUCUUGGUGAAAAAUGUGUAAAGCAGUUACACUCGAGAAAAUUACUCCCAUGUUUGCAAAAAGUUGAGUUAGAUUUUUGUGAGAGUUGCAUUUAUAGAAAACAGAAGGCUGUUAGUUUUCAAUUGAAUAGGCGACAAAAUAAAGGCCAGAAGCUAGAGUUGGUUCAUACUGAUAUAUGGGGACCUACUCAGGAACUCUCUUAUGGUGGUAAGAGAUAUUUUGUUACAUUCAUUGAUGAUGCAACAAGGAAGACUUGGGUCUAUGCUCUUAGAGAAAAGUCAAAAGUAUUUGGGAUGUUCAGAAUGUGGAAGACCAUAGUAGAAAAAGAAACAGGUUAUCAUAUUAAAGCUCUGAAGUCUGAUAAUGGUGGUGAAUACACAAAUAAAGAAUUUGCAGAAUAUUUGAGUCGAGAAGGCAUACACGCGCUAAAGACUGUUCCUAAAACUCCUCAAGAGAACGGUAUAGCUGAAAGAAUGAACAGAACUAUUCUAGAACGUGCGAGAUGCAUGAGAUUACACGCUGGUCUCCCGCUACACUUAUGGGUUGCCACAGUUGAUACAGCUGUUUAUCUUAUCAACAGAAGUCCAUCUAGUGUGUUAGAUGGAGAAAUACCACAAGAGCGGUGGUCAGGUAAAAAGAUUAAUUAUUCACAUCUAAAGGUGUUUGGUUGUAUUGCAUAUGCUUUGUUUGAUAAGGAGUAUAGGAAAAAACUUGAUGCUAAGUCCCAGAAGUGCGUCUUUAUUGGAUACGGUGGCGACGAGUAUGGUUAUAGGCUUUGGGAUUAUGAGAAUAACAAAGUCAUCCGCAGUCGCAAUGUGGUAUUCCAUGAAGAAAAGAUGUACAAGGAUCGUCAGACAGAGACAGAGCAUGAGAAGGUAGUACAACCAGAAUAUGUUGAAUUAGACACGAUGUCCGUGAAGAUGUUUCCAGUAGAUCAAAGCUCACCUAAAAGAGAGGUUGAAGAUGAGCCUAUUAUUAGUGAAGAGGUAAUUCAAGAAGAACGCAAUGAUUCGGAGCAAACGAAUGACCCUGAAGUACCUGUCUUGAGAAGGUCUACACGUGUGAGAAAGCUAAAGGUAAUUUUUGAUCCAUCAACUAAUACUGUUCUGAGCCAUGUCUUAUCUACAGAUUCGGGAGAACCGGAAACUUACGAUGAGGAGAAGGCAGACACGUCUCACUUGCAGUGGGAGUGUGCUAUGAAAGACGAGAUGAGCUCAUUAUUUCAAAACAAAACUUGGGAGUUGACCAAGUUGCCCACGGGUAAAAAAGCUUUAUUAAACAAAUGGGUGUACAGGGUUAAGAAUGAAGUAGAUGGUAGUAUUAGAUACAAGGCGAGACUUGUAGUCAAGGGCUUUUCUCAAAAAGAAGGGAUCGACUACUUCGAGAUAUUUUCACCUAUAGUGAAAAUGACAUCAAUUAGAGUUCUGCUGAGUAUAGUUGCAGUGGAGGAUCUUCAUAUUGAGCAAUUAGAUGUAAAAAUAGCGUUUUUACACGGUGACUUAGAUGAAGAACUAUACAUGGCACGGCCUAAAGGUUUUGAAGUCAAAGGUAAGGAGCACAUGGUAUGUCGCUUGAAGAAAAGCUUGUAUGGCUUGAAACAAGCUCCGUGGCAAUGGUACCUAAAAUUUAAUGGUUUCAUGCCAAAAAAAAAAAGGAUUUGCACACUGUGAGUCUGAUCACUGUGUUUAUUUUCGCAAAUAUGAUGUUGGUGACAUUGUGUAUCUCUCUUUAUAUGUGGAUGACAUGCUGGUGGCUAGUUCUAAUAUGAAGAGAAUCGUAGAAGUGAAAAAGAUGUUAUCAUUACAGUUUACUAUGAAAGACUUGGGAGAAGCCAGGAAUAUUUUAGGCAUGAAAAUCAUCAGGGACAGGAAAAAUAAGAAAUUAUGGUUGUCGCAGGAAGACUAUGUGAACAAGGUGUUAAAGAGAUUUAACAUGGACAAGGCAAAACCGGUUGCAACUCCUCUAGCGAGUCACUUCAAACUUUAUAAGGAUAUGUGUCUAAGCACUCAGGCUUUGAAAGAUGAGAUGGCGGUAGUUCCAUAUGCAUCAGCAGUUGGGAGUUUGAUGUAUGCCAUGGUGAGCACGAGACCAGACAUUGCACAUGCAGUGGGAGUUGUGAGUCGAUAUAUGCAAAACCCAGGUAGAGAGCAUUGGAAUGCAGUUAAAUGGAUAUUGAGAUAUCUAGCAGGUACUUCUAAUUACUCACUUUGUUAUGGUGGUACAUCUCUAGAGUUGUAGGGUUAUGUAGAUGCAAAUCAUUCGGGUGAUCGAGAUAGUGGUAAGAGUACCACUGGAUAUGUUGUAGGUACAAUAGUGAGUUGGGUAUCUCAACUACAAAAAGUAGUGGCUUUAUCGACAACAGAGGUAGAAUACAUGGCUAUCACAGAAGCCUCCAAGAAAAUCACGUGGUUACAAGAUUAUAUGGAGUUACAUCGAAAACAGCAAGUUAGUACACUUUGGAGUGAUAGUCAAAGUGCGGUGCACUUAGCAAAGAAUGCAGCUUAUCACUCACGGACUAGACAUAUCAAGAAGCCUUAUCACUUUAUCAGGUCAGCAUUGAAAGAUAAUGAGUUAAAGUUACAGAAGAUUGAUGGCUCGAAGAAUCCAACUGACAUGAUGACCAAGGUAGUAGACAAAGAGAAGCAUAUUUUCUGUACUACUACCAUUGGUAUUACUCCAUGCUGAUUGAUGAGGAGUAUCGCAGAGGCACAAGUUUUUCAACUACUAUUUCUUGAAGAAGAUGGAUGCAAAGUUGCUUGACGCUUGGGUAUAUUUGUCUUCGAGCGGGAGAUUGUUAUAGAUGAAGUCAAAUAUUUGUUUUUAGGGGCUUUUUUGUCUUUUCUAUUAGAUUUCAUUUUAGGUUAAAAGUGGUAUCUUUAUAUUAGCAAUGGCAAAACCCUAGCUGUCAAGACGCUGAAAAUGGAAAUAGAGAGAUAAAAAAAAGAGAGAAGAAAAAAGUGAGUUUUUUUCUUGAUGAGGGUUCUCAAUCUCUUUGUGCCCUGAUUUUGAGAGAAGAUCGUUGUUGUAUUACAACUUUUUCGAAGUCUAGUGGAUUCGUAGAGUGCCUCUGUGUGGAGACGUAGCUCAAGUUUUGGUGAACUUCGAUAACAAAUUUUAUGGUGUGUUCAUCUGAUUAUGCUUUUUUAUUACUAUAUUAUGUCUGGUGAAUUGUUUGCGAGCGUUAUUUUUCUGGAAUCGACGUGCGAUUUCGUAACACCCACGUGGCGUGAGGAUCUCGAUCAGGAAUCCCCUCUGCCAAACGAUAACUCUUGAUCAGGCAUUGGACAGAAGGGCUUAUAUAAUACAGGGGGAAGUCAGGGAGAAAAGCACAAAGAAAGAGUUGGGAGUAAAAAUCAAAUUUUAGAGAAAGAGAGAGGGAGAAUGGCUUCCGAGGGGAAGAGGACUGCAAGUACAUGUCGCACUCGCAACGGCGACAACGACAAUAGGUGGUCGCUUCAGGGAAUGACUGCUCUCGUCACCGGCGGUAGUAAAGGAAUUGGGUCUCUCUCUCUCUCUCUCUCUCUCUCUCUCUCUCUCUCUCUCUCUCUCUCUCUCUCUUUCUCUCUCAGACUCACCGAACACUUCCUUUUUUAUGUUGUUCAUUUAGAUGAUCGAUCAACUGUCAUGGUUUAGGUUAAGAAAAAAAAAACAUCAUAAUUUAGGCAUUUGAAGACAGUCAAUCCUGUGCCUAUGGCAAUCACACUAAUUUUAUAUGUUAACUAAAGACCAACUUGCAGCAAAUCUCAACCGUCCACGUAAAAUUAGUGAAUUGAUCUCGUAAUGACCAAUGGAUGAAGUUGGGAGGAAGGUAAGGUUGCAUUUGUGUUUUAGAGUAUGUACUUAAACUUAUAUGACUACUGAUUAGGGUGCUUAAAAUAAAUUAUUUGUUUUUACAAUUUCCAUUUUGUGUGUGUGUGUUUUUUAAAUUUUGGAAUAUCUAUUAUAGCAAAAUGGGUAUAGUUGCCAACUUAGGACUAUCCGGGUCCGAAAAAUUCAAGUCAGGCAUGUCAGAUAGGGCUUUCAACUAUAGCAGGUGCUUUUGAAUCUGAUUAUAUUCGAUUUCAUAGAUAAAAUGCUAGACAACUAAUUUCAUGAUCAUUCAAAACUUUAUAUGACGAAGAUGAUGAGAGAUCAAUUACUUCGAGGAUUUGUAGCUGGAUAGGCUUGGUUUAUGCAUUUUUUUAUUUAAAGUUUUGUUGUCUUUAGAUGUUAAUAGCUCACAGACAUGUCGCUAGCUAGUAGAAUUUGCAUUCUCCGAUUGUCAUGAUCCAGUGCAUUUAAAGGCUUUAAUCAUCUGUUAGACUUCAAUUGCCUGUGCAAUCAAAUCUUCCGCACAUUCCAAUGUAUNNNNNNNNNNNNNNNNNNNNNNNNNNNNNNNNNNNNNNNNNNNNNNNNNNNNNNNNNNNNNNNNNNNNNNNNNNNNNNNNNNNNNNNNNNNNNNNNNNNNNNNNNNNNNNNNNNNNNNNNNNNNNNNNNNNNNNNNNNNNNNNNNNNNNNNNNNNNNNNNNNNNNNNNNNNNNNNNNNNNNNNNNNNNNNNNNNNNNNNNNNNNNNNNNNNNNNNNNNNNNNNNNNNNNNNNNNNNNNNNNNNNNNNNNNNNNNNNNNNNNNNNNNNNNNNNNNNNNNNNNNNNNNNNNNNNNNNNNNNNNNNNNNNNNNNNNNNNNNNNNNNNNNNNNNNNNNNNNNNNNNNNNNNNNNNNNNNNNNNNNNCGAUUUGUGCUUUUAUUUCGAUAGAUUUUGUCCGCUUUUCAUUUCUGGGAUUGGUUUGUGUGUUAGAUAAACAACGUUGGGACUCUGGGGACAACUGGUGGAAUGCCGACCGUGGAUUACACGGCGGAAGAUUUCUCCUUCAUCAUGACUACUAACUUCGAAUCGGCUUAUCACUUGAGCCAGCUCGCGCAUCCUCUUCUCAAGGCUUCGGGAACCGGAAGCAUCGUGUUCUUGUCAUCCGUCUGCGGUAUUGUUUCACUCAGCGUCGGAUCAAUUUAUUCAGCCACAAAAGGUGAAUUGAUAGUAUCAUGAGCAACUAUUUAAACACUUUUAAUAUGGAGCUAAACAAAUUCCAUAUGUUUCUUACUUUCUCAACUCAUUGUUAGGAGCAAUGAACCAGUUGACCAAGAAUUUGGCGUGCGAAUGGGCUAAGGACAACAUAAGAAGCAACUCUGUUGCACCUUAUUUUAUUCUGACUCCAUUGACCGAGCCUGUAAUUUAAUGUCCCAAGGCUCUAACUUUUCAUCUUGAUCAUUUUUCCCAUCGUGAUCUAACGUUAACCCAUCCGUCGUCGCAGCUACUUUGUAGUGAGGAGUACCAUAAGGAGGCAAUAGCAAGGGCGCCGCUCGGUCGCACAGGAAAGCCGAAGGAGGUGUCGUCACUUGUGGCCUUCUUGUGCUUGCCGGCAGCCUCCUAUAUAACGGGGCAGACCAUUUGUGUCGAUGGAGGAUUCACUGUCAAUGGCUUCUCCUUUCCUAGAGCAUGAGUGUAACUUUCUUCUGUGUCUGAGAUGUUUGUCGUGCAUUGCCGUCGCAGGGAUAAAGAAGUUUAUUAACCAAUAAUGGCAACAUCGCAAUACGCUUCAAUGUGUACGUCGAUCAUUUGUUGACCGCAUAUACGGGAGAGUAUCGUACUCCCACUUUGUAUUCCCUUUCGAGCUCUUUUAUGCAAUUGCCUAUGAGUAAAAUUUACGUACUUGAGAAGCAAUGAUGGAAACAAUAAACAUGAUAUACUACAACAGCAUUAUCCGAGAAUAUAACAUUUUUUGUACACAAGACAAACGAAGUUUGAUUCCCAUAUAUGUUAUAUCUGUUUUCCAUAUACCUAAACGCUAAAUCAUAAAAUCCAAAGUGUAAUUUAUUAUUAAUUCUUAACACGAAAUUGACCAAGUAUGUUUCGUAGAAAUUGUAUUGUCAAAAUCGUCUUUGUAAUGCUAUGUUAAAAAAUGCCUCCUUUUAUAGCACUGCCUAGGUCAAAGAGAUGUUUUAAUUUGAACAUGAGAACCACAGCAUCAAGUGGUUGGCCAAGGUUGCUGGCUACAUUAUUAAUUAUGAUUGAUCGAGAAGGUAUGAAUCGAGAAACUAGAUGCAUUGGAAAUAUAGAACCACUGAAAUUAACAUAUAUAGCUUUAUAUAACCGUAGCAAGGUAGACGUUAUCACUAGCUUCGCCAUCAUAUGAGUGAGAGGUGUGAUGGUGGGAGUAAAAUUCAAUAACGUAGCCUGAAAACAUGCCGGAGAAUUCUUUUUAGUAAUCUAAAAAUAGCAUCAAAUGCCUUGACCCUAUAGGCUCACAGUGUUGAGCUAUGUAGGAGCUUUUGGACGGGCAAUACUGACCACAUAACUCUGGGUUGAUCAAGUCUUAUCUCUAGUUAAAGUAGAGGUGCACGAAAUUUCGGGCCUAAGCUAGAAAAGUCCGGAUCAGAGACGGCUAAUUCAUUUUGAUUCGGGCUAGUGUAAUUAAGGACUAGGCGCAACCUAUAAUCAUUACGAUCAAUUUGUUUUGGAUGGGCCAAGAAAUACACAAGUGCUUGGCCAAGCACAAUCUUACUAUCUCUGAAAUUAUUAUAAAGGAAUGAUAUAUCAAAAUUGACAAUUUUUAAAUGCCUAAAUCAUGAAGUUAUUUUUCUCAACCUAAACCAUAACAAUUAAUCGAUCAUCUAAAUCAACGAAAUAAGAAAAACGAAGUGUUCGGUGAGAGACGGAGAGGGAGAGAGAGAGAGAGAGACCCGAUUCCUUUGGUAUCACCAAUGACCAGAGCGGCCAUUCCCUGAAGCGAUCACCUGUUGUCGUCGUUGCCGUUGCGACUGCUGCAUCUACUUGCAGUCCCCUUCCCCUCACGCCGCAUGUGAAUUGCGAACCACUCCCAACGUAAGGUCAUAGGAGUCUGCCGAGGGUGAGAACUGUGGCAAUGACAAGAUUUAGGACGCCACAACGAUUUCGAACCGCAGAAUUUGCAUUCUAUCAUGGAAGUUGGCAAGUCCCACACCUAUCUUUUAUCAAAGCACCACGUUACUUGUGUUUUCAUGUUACUCGGGUUGAACAUAUUGAACAAUCUUGUAAUUGUUGCACCGAUAGUUAUUCAUACAUUUGUAAUUGGUGCAAUGUAAGUAACAUGAUAGUGUCGCAACUUUCCCAAAUGUGAAUCACCAAAAAGAAAAUUAAUGAAUUACUAAACCCAGAGACUUAGUGCAAACUUUUCCAAUCUCAUACUGAUUGUAUUCUUCGAGUUUUUAAACUUUAAUUAGCAUAACAUGUAAAUUAGUUUAUUUACGAGUCGCCACUCAUCAAUUAUCAGUAGCUCGAUUACACAUGCCAUAUUUUUCGGGUUUUUUAAUUUAAUUAGCAUAACAUGCAAAUUAGGUUAUUCAUGAGUCACCACUCAUCAAUUAUCAGUAGUCGAUUACACACGUAAGCAAAGUAUAGAAGAGUACUUUACUUUUAAGACUAAAAAAUUCAUGGAUAUAGGGACUUGAAUGACAAAUAAAUCUAACACACUUUUAGUAGAUUUUUUUUCUUUAUUUCAAAAAUGUUUUGGAUCAAUUUUAAUUUAAGUCACUAAUAUAGAGGUGAUUAUGCAGGUGCACAAAUAAAAAUUUAACAAUCAAUAAUCAAAGCAAUAAAUAAAUCUUUAGAGAUCGGGCAAAUAUAUGAAUACCUUAAGCAAGUAAAAGCCAAUUAAUUACUAUAGAUAGGAUGUUUUGCAACAUAUUAACUAUAAAAUGCAUGCAUGUCCAUUUCUACAUGUAAUGACAUCUAACGAGAUGUGGACACCGGGAGUGCUAGGACUUGACACUGGGGGACACUUAAGUGCUAAAAGUCCUAAAAGAUAUACUUAAGUGUCAAAAUCGAAGAAAAAUGAAACACUUAAAUGUCAACGGUGAGAAAAUCUGAUCAAAUUGCUGACAUGACCUUCUUUCGACAAGACGAGUGUAAAAUGAUGUUUUUGGCACUAACGUGGCUAGAUAAGUGCAAAACAACAUCUUAUGGUGUUGAUGUAGCUCCAAAAUUGAAUUUUAAUAUAACAUCAAUUAAAAUAAUUAUUUAAAAAAAAAGAUAUACAAUAGCAUUUUAUGAGUCACCCCAUCAUCGCUAAGAGAGGUUGGCGAGGUGGGGUGAGGGUCAACUGAAGUCAUCGGCCCCUGGGCAGUGGCCAACGACCCUAGCCGAUUUUCAACAAGGGCUUGCAGGCCCUCAUUUAGAUAUGAGGUGAGGGUCAUAGCCCUCCCCCAGAUUCGAUAAGGGUUGCCAGCCCUUGCCUAGAGGGGCCAAGGGCCACCAUUGGCCGCAACAACUCUCAUCCUAGAUUUGGGCAAGGGCUUGCCACUGCUUAGGGGCCGAUGACCCCAGCUAACCCUUGUCCUAUCGUUGCCUGCCCUUUCCAGCAAUGGUGGGUGGCGGUGACAAGGCCUUAACCCAAAACUAACCUAUUCCCUCCUCUUCUUCUUCUUCUUCUUCUUCUUUUAAUUUAAAUAAUUUACUUUUUAAUUAAUAUUGAAUUAAUAAAUUUAGGGGCAAAACGAUUGUUAAUAAAUUUAAAUAAUGUCGUUUUGCACCUUCAUUGUUUAAUUGGCUUGCGGCGAACCACAUAAAUCACAUAUAUUAUUAAAAAAAUGCCAAGUUGGAUUUUUGGCUACUUUCACCAAACUUGGCAUUGUGUUUCACUAUUAAAAAAAAGUGGGAUUUAAAUGCACCUUUUGGAAUUUUUAGCACUAAAAUGUUCACUUAUGCCAAGUUUUGGCGUUCUCAAUGUACUUUCUCCAACAUCUAACUAUAAAAAAAAUAUUGAAAAAGUUUACGUUGGUGCCUGACAUAUGUCACAUAGGACUGCCGACAUCCACAUCAAUUAUUUCCAUUCUAAAGUGGUUGAAUAAACUGAAGUGGUACCAAAGUAAAAAGGUUUACGACUAAAGUUUAUAAUUGAAUUUGUACCAAUACAAUAGGUUUAUAAUUUUUUUGGUACCAUUCCCAAUUAUCAAGGUCCCCUUGUUAUGUGGCCAUUGUAUUCGACAUGUUAAUUGCCAGCCUAAUCUUGGUUAAGCGGGCAAUGAUAGUGAUAGCCACCCUCCUAAAGGCAACAUGGAUUCCCCGAGGAAUGUUGACAGAUUGCUAAGCGAGUGUGAAUAGCUACUCUCGCAAGGUGAUACCUUUGCCUAACAUGAGCCCUCCCAAAUUUACCGAACACAACCUAAUUUUUCCAAUAAAUUAUUCAAGCAAUAUUAGACUAAGAAGUUACCACUAACCUAUUAAGUGUCGAGUAGUAACCCAGAUAGGGUGUAGCGGUCAAUCUUACUCCCAAGAACCAAAUUUAAUUAUGCUAUAUGAAUCUAACAUUGUUUUAGUACCCGUCUCUCUAUAAAAUCGUUUUGUCAUAUUAUUGCCUAAAAGUGAUCAUGAAUGGUUCUCAAGCAAUAAAAUAAGCAAUCAGGCAAUAAACAUCAAAUAAUGAAAUAAUAAAUAUCUAGCUAUUAAAUAAAUAACUUGAAUAGCCGAAUUGGGCAAUAAUUAACAAAGCUUUUUUAUAGGCUUCACGGUAAAACCCCAUGUGCUGUAGGUGGAAAGUCUAAAAGUACUCGUGCAAGCUUCCUAAAAUAGACAAUUAUAUCAAAGGAAAGUGAAUAUGCAAAUGUAACAUGCUAUGUAAAGUAAAUAUACCAAAUGAAGUGUUUUUUCGAAAAUGAGCCAUUAAACAUAAGGCUAUAUUUCGAAGCUAGUAUAAAAUUCAAAAUAGGAUAUUAUCAUAUCCUACAUUUGGUGUCGCUCAAGAUAGGAUAUAGUUAAAUAUAAAUGCUAUAGACUGAAUAAUAUUAUCCUAUAGCGAAAGCGGGAUAAAGGUGGAUGUGAUUUCUAACAUCUAUAAUAGGAAAGUUAUUUUUUUCGAAUGAAAAACUUCUUAAAUUAACAAAAUUAUAUUAUAUUUCAAUAUAAAUAAUAUUUGAAUUCUAAUAUAAGAAAUUCAAACUAACAAAAAAUAACAAUUUAUUUAUUUUAAUUUAAUAUUAUUUUAUUUAUAUAAUUUAAUUUAAUUAUAUUUUAUAAUAUAAAUUUCAAUAUAUAUUAUUACAUAUUUUAGGUACUUUAGUAUUUUAGGUAUAUUAGUACAGUUUACUAUUUAAUAACAUUUUAUUAGAGACACACUCGGGUUACUGUUCACUUUCCUCUCCAUUUGGGCGAUUCUGGCACUAUUCACUCCAGCUGGUUUUUUGUGGAUUCUGGUUGAUUCCGCUGGUAUCUGGAGCUGAUUUUUCGUGGGCUAGGUCAUCUGGGGACCGCCUACAAACCCCAGGUAAGCUUGGCUUGGUUGGUUUUCGUUUAUCAAGAUGGGAGCUCUCGAUCAGAAUUUCUGGUGCGCCUAGCUUUUCCCAAUUCUGGUCUCUGUCUUCGUGGGUGGCUUUGACUGAUUGGUGUGCUGAUUGCUGGUGGAUCUCCUUGUCCUUGAAGGCCCUUAAGCCCCUACAAACACCUGGUAUGGCCUGAUUGCUCUCCUUGAUUUAUUCUGGGGUUUGGGCCGGUGCUGUGUUGGGGUACUGUGCUGUUUCGUUAUGGCAUCCUCUUCAAAUCUCCUAAGUCAGUUGGGCCGUCCAAAUGAGGAGUCCCAAGCGGGCUCUAGGCGUGAUAGGAGCCGCCUUAGAUCUGCUUCUCGUGGCCCUAGAGUGGCACGUCCUGCUAGACAAAAAUGGAGUGAGCAGAAAGCUCCUCCAACCCGUUCAUGGGUUAAUGUUGCUAGGCUCUCGACAAAGGGAUAUGAACUUAGCUUCGUGCCUCCAACUUCUGUUGGAAAAAGAGGAGUGGUGCACCUCUCUGAGGAAGUGGUGCAUGCGGCAGAUCCAAAAUGGAAUCAUUGUUUGAUGGGGUAUUUCAUUGGCAAGAAUGUGCCGUUCAAAAUGACUGAGUCAGUCCUUAAGGAGAUGUGGGGCUCCCAUUUAACUGAAAUGCUUGCUGAUGAUGAAGGAUUUUAUUUCUUCUUUAUUCCUGACCCUGAUUACCGCAGGAAGAUUCUUGAGGAAGGUCCAUUGACAGUGAAUAGAGUGCCACUUAUUCUGAAACAAUGGGAUCCCACUCUUGAGCUGAGGAAGGACUUGCAAUCUUCUGUGCCAGUUUGGAUCCGUAUGAAAAACAUACUUUUUGCUUAUUGGUCUGCUCUUGGGAUAAGCCAGAUAGCAAGUGCGGUCGGUAGACCCUUAUAUGUGGACCCAUUGACUAAAAAAAUGAAACGUUUGUCUUUUGCAAGAGUAUGUGUCGAAGUGUCGGCUAAGUUAGAGAAAUGUGAAUCUGUGGAGGUAUUUCUGAAUGGGGAGUCCUUCAUUGUUCCUAUCUUGUACGAAUGGAUACCCAUUGCGUGUCCGAAAUGCCAGGUCUUUGGCCAUAACUGUGAGGAGAAAGAAGUUCCAGCACCCGUAGCAGAUAAGUCCCAUGAUGCUGUUGCUAAGGAAGCUCGAGAUGCUGCUGUGCCUACGGUGCCCCCCUCGAUUCCUCCCGCCCAGCCUCGUAAGGUGUCUUACGCUGACCAGUAGGAUGGCUGGAAGCAGGUAACUCGGAAGAAGAGGCAACCGUCGGGGUCUAAUGGGAAGGACUCUUCGACUCCUAUCUCUUCUUUGAAGUUUAUGGAUAAAUCAUAUUCUUCUCAAGCUUUAAGCAAGUCUGCCCAGAAAAAUAAAGGUGCUUUGAUUCCCAGCCCUACUGGACCUCCUUCCACGAUGGUUCCUGUUGAGCCGAUCCCAGAAUCUGCUUAUAUUGGGUCUGGCUCUACUGCUGAAGAAUCUGAGGAUGUGGCUAGUGCGGUAAGUAGCAGCUCAGAUGAGGAACCUGAUGGUCCUAGUGAAUUGGUUACAAAUGUUAAGCAUUCUGUUGUUUCUGAGGAAGCCCCUGCUAAAAGGAACUCGCCCAAGACUCCGUCUGUCCUAAAGUUGGCCGCCCCUCCUACCCUAGCGUUGGCUGCUCCUCCUGACCCUCCUCAAGGCACUAGCCGAAGGAGAUCACGUCGGUAACUUCUAUUCUCAUCGUAAUACAUUAUAUAGUUAUAUAUAGCUAUGUAUAUUGGAGUUUGGAAUAUUAGGGGACUUGGUACCCAUCUCAAACAAGCUGAAAUCAGAAACUUUGUUAGAUCUCAUAAUCUAUGUUGUGUUGGUAUUGUGGAAACAAAGAUUUCCCAGGGUGCCUUUAGUGCGAUCUCUGCUGUUUUGUUGCCGGGCUGGAAGUGGGAAAACAACUAUAAUCAUUCCUCGAAAGGAAGAAUUUGGGUGGGGUGGAACCCCCGUGAAGUCUUGUUUGUUACGAACUCUUCUUCAGAUCAAGCUAUUCAUGGAAAGUUAUCUUGCUUAAAUUCUGGUAAGGUUCUCUUCCUUACGGUGGUCUAUGCUGAGCAUAGUUUUGUGGCUAGACGUCCUCUUUGGGCUGACAUUAUUCAGACUAGCUCUCUCCUUUCGGGUUUCCCUUGGAUACUAGCAGGAGACUUUAAUGCAAUUCGUGACCCUUCGGAUAGAUUGGGUGGUUCUAAUGGUUGGAUCCCAGCUUUUGAUGAGCUGCGUGAGUGCCUCAUACAAGCUGGUCUUGACGAUCUCAGGUAUACCGGGAAUAGAUUUACUUGGGCUACUUCCAUGGGUGCCAACCGUAAGCAAAGAAAGAUUGAUCGUGUUCUCGUUAAUUCUUGUUGGACUGCUGAAUUUUCCUUUUCUGAGGCCUCUUUCUUGGCCUCUGGCAUUUCAGAUCAUUCUCCAAUGAUUAUUAAGAUUAUGCCUGCCCCUAAGUCUCGCAAGCCUUUCAAGUUCUUCAAUUUCUGGUUUUCUCAUCCGGAUUUUACUGAUGUGGUUUUGCAAGCUUGGAGUUCUCCCUUUGUGGGUUCUCCAAUGUUUAUUCUUUGCUUCAGGCUUCGGCUUCUCAAAUGUAAGUUGAAACAGAUCAACAAGGAGUCCUUCUCGGACUUGUCCUCUAGAACGGCUAAAGCAAGAUGUGCAUUGCUCCAAACCCAAGAUGCUCUUCAGAAUGACUAUUCGAAUAUUCAACUUGCUGAAUUGGAAAAACAACAGCUCCAAUCCUACUCGAAUUUGCUCCUUCAAGAGGAAUCAUUUUAUAGACAAAAGUCUCGGGUGCGGUGGUUGAAAGAAGGUGAUCUUAAUACUAAAUUUUUCCAUAACUCGGUAAACAAGAGACAACUUCACAAUAGAAUUAUCUCGCUCUCCGAUGGGAUUGUUUCUACCUCAAAUCCCUCUGAAGUUCAAAACCUGUUUGUUGACCACUUCCGAGAGUUAUUGGCCUUCUCUCCCCCUGCUACGAGGCCUUCGGUGGAGGAAAUGCGUGCGGUGUUGAAGCACACCCUUGAUGCGGAUCAGGUUCGCUUUAUUUCUAGCCCCAUCUCGGAGACUGAAAUUAAAGAUACUCUAUUCUCUCUUGCGGUGGGUAAGGCCCCUGGCCCUGAUGGAUACAAUGUGGAAUUUUUUAAACAUUCUUGGGAGAUUGUUGGACCUUCUGUUAUUCUGGCAGUGAAAGAUUUCUUUGAGACGGGCAUAUUGUUGCGGGAAAUUAACACAACUAUUUUGGCCCUGGUCCCCAAAGUCCCGAAUGCUUCCAAUGUGAAUGACUUUCGGCCAAUUGCUUGCUGUAACACAUUAUACAAGUGUAUUACCAAGCUUAUUGCUAAUCGGCUCUCUCAGGUGCUACCUUCUAUCAUUAGUCUGCCUCAAAAUGCCUUUGUAAAAGGUAGACACAUCAGUGACAAUAUUUUACUUGCUCAGGAGCUGUUUUGUGGUUUUCACAAUGAUCCUUACCGGCCUAAAUGUGUUAUUAAAGUUGAUUUUAGGAAGGCCUACGAUACGGUGGAUGGAGGUUAUUGAAUUGUGNNNNNNNNNNNNNNNNNNNNNNNNNNNNNNNNNNNNNNNNNNNNNNNNNNNNNNNNNNNNNNNNNNNNNNNNNNNNNNNNNNNNNNNNNNNNNNNNNNNNGAUUUGCAUUCGUACCCCUAAGUUCUCGGUUGCAAUUAAUGGGGAACUCCAUGGGUUCUUUUCAAGUGGGAGGGGUAUUCGUCAGGGUGAUCCCAUGUCGCCGUAUAUUUUUACUCUUGUGAUGGAAGUCUUUACAGGUAUUCUGGACAUUCAAACUUCACAUCCGGACUUUGGUUUUUUCUGGCGUUGCAAGCCCACCCGACUUUCUCAUCUUUUCUUUGUCGAUGAUGUACUACUCUUCGUUGAAGCUAACUUAUCGUCUAUUGAUCUUCUCAAGAAUGGUAUCGAGAAAUUUUCUAGCUAGAGUGGGCUGAUUCCGAAUCUUCGGAAGAGUGAAGUUUUCCUUUCUGGAGGCUCCUCUAACCUUCAUGAGGAUAUCCUCAAUAAGCUAGGCUAUCAGUUGGGCACCUUUCCUUUCCGCUAUCUAGGAGUACCGGUUAUUUCAGCUAGAUUAAGGAAAGCUGACUGUGUCUCCUUGGUUAAUUCAAUCACGGCUCGUGUUCAAUCUUGGACCAAUAGAUUCCUCUCCUUUGCGGGGCGUCUUCAACUUAUAAGGUCGGUGCUUCAUUCUAUACAAGUCUUUUGGGCUAAUGUGUUCUUUCUGCCAUGUUCAGUUCUAAAUCGAAUUGAGCAAAUUUUCCGCCAAUUCUUGUGGAGAGGCCCUGAGAUGGGUGCAAGUGGUGCUAAAGUCUCGUGGUGUAAUGUUUGCCUUCCCAAAAAUGAAGGGGGCUUAGGUAUUCGUACUCUAAGGGAGAACAACAUUGCGUCCAUGCUCAAACAUAUUUGGAUUCUUUUCUCGGAUAAAGAAUCCAUGUGGUGUAAGUGGAUUCAUUCCAAUUUCCUGAAGCGGAAAAAUUUUUGGGUGGGUCCUUGCCCUACUCAUUGCUCUUGGGCCUGGAGGAAGUUAUUAGAUCUUCGUGAUCAAUUUCAGCAAUAUUUCAGAUGGAACAUUGGAAAUGGGAGGUCGGUCUCCUUUUGGUUCGACCCUUGGCACCCAAAUGGUCCUUUAUACAGAUCUUUCUAUCAGAAUUUAUCGCUCGGGUAUAUCCCGCUCUGCUUCGGUUGCUGAUGGUUUUGCUACUCCUAUGGGCUGGUAUAUCAUUAACUUCAUGGCUAAUUGGUGGAAUCCACUUCCGGUAUUCAACCAAGAGGAGGAUCGGUUUCAGUGGCUUCCGCACCCAUCCGAUCACUUCUCCAUUGCUUCUGCCUGGGAUUUGAUCCGUCCGAAUCAUAAUGUCAUCUCGUGGGCUUCUUUUGUUUGGAAUACUGCCUUGCCUCCAAGAUAUCAAACGCAUCUUUGGCUUAUUUCGCGCAAUCGGCUGCCGACUCAGGUUUUGCUCAUCUCUUAUGGUAGGAUCCCCCCUACAAAUUGCCCCCUUUGUUCAUGCAGACCUGAUUCUAUAGAUCAUUUGUUCUUUGCGUGCCGUGCUUCGGAUAGUCUUAUUUCAUUUUGGGCGGCAAGAUUCAACCUAGUGUGGCGAAACAAGCGUUGGGUGGAUAAUUUGGCCUGGGCUUCCAAGCGGUUUAUGGGGAAGAGUUUUUAUCAGAUCCUAGCUCGGUUUAGUUUUGGUGCAAUGUGUUAUAUCAUUUGGAAAGAGCGGAACAAUGUGCUUUUUCGGAAUCAGACUCUCUUUCUUCCAGCGAUGAAAAUGCAUCUUCAGAAGGCUAUCAAAGAUAAGGCUAUGACCUUUAAGCAUGUUCCCAAUGUGCCCAUGAAUAGAAGACUUCAACGAAGCUGGAACAUCCAUCCUUCUAUUUUUGAUUGAUGGAGGUUUUCUAGUUUUUGUUGUCUUUUGUUUCCUUUUGUUGUUGUUGCUCCUUUUUUUCUGGGAACCAUGGCACCCUUACACUCGCUCUAGACUUUUGUCUUCUUGAGUGUCUGUUUUUGUUGGUGCCAGGCCUCCCUCUUGUCUUCUUUCUUGCAAAAUCAAUUUAUUACUUACCUUUACCAAAAAAAAAAAACAUUUUAUUAGAGAAUGAUGGAAGGGCAAGAAAGAAAUAAAAAAGAAAUUAAUUGAUAAAAGAGAGGAAAAUAAAAUAAAAUAAAGUGGGCAAGAGUGGUGCGAGAGUUUUUUACCAUCUCCAUUUGUAAAAUUUGUUUAUUCAUUUAUACUAAUACAAUGUUAAUAUCAAAUAAUGUACAUAAUAUAAUGUGAAUAGAUCCAAUUUGAUUACUGCAAUAACUAAACAGUGUAUAGGAUAUAACAAACUCUAUGGAUUUCAUAUCAUAUCAUAUUCAAUCAUAUCCUAGUUAAAAAAAUUCAAAUGACCAAACAUAAUCUAAAAGAAUGAAUCUACUUAUAUAAUAUGAAUAUGCCCCUGAAUGCACCCUUAUACAUUUUUUUUUUGUGAUUAUUCAAACGAAGAUGCAAUCUAAUUACUAGAAGAAAUUAUAUUUUUUUAUAUUUUUAUUCUAUAACUUGUGAUUAUGGUAACAAACAUAUGAAUAUGCCAAUAGAAUAAUACUUCAAUUUGACAAAUUUAGCCAUAAAUUUUUCAAUAUUUUAACAAUGUAAUCCAAGGCCGAUUAUCAUUGAAGUAGAUGUGAGGCAUUUUAUGUGGUAUGGUGAGUUUUGAUGUAGAUAAUUUUUUAAAAUUUUUUAAAAUUUUCUUCUUUCCUUCCUUUCAUUUUCUUUCUCUUUUCUUUUUGCCAGUGAUUGGUCACUAGCUUGGUGAGGGUCGCCCUCACUAGCUACAUGCGACUGUUGGCUAUGCCUAGGCAAGGCCUAGUGAGGCCGCCUUGGCUUGGGCGAGGGACCCUCACUUAGGCUAGGGUGGCCUCACCAACACUUGCCCUCCCCUAGAGAAGGCUGGCCCUUGCUAGCCAACAAAGUUCAAAAAAAUUGUAAAAAAUAUCUACAUCAAUGCUAACUAUAUCAUAUAGAAUGCCAAGCAUCUAGCUAGUGAUUUUCGGUCAAAAUUGGCCAAAUAGACUACAUUGACAAAUCGUCAAAAGGUUUAGGACUUGAUUAAUCAAAUUGAAAGGUUUAGCUUGGUCUCAACCAAGAGAAUACAUGCUGUCUCUGGCCGAGGGUGUUGCGGUAUUUGCUAAAAUCCCUUUCAUUGAAGGGUGCUGGCUGAGAUUUCAGUAGAGGGUGGCCGGGCUUAUGGGGGCUCGGGCUUGAAAAUUGAAGUGGGUUUUUCUCUUUUAAAUUUAAUUUAAUUUAGCCUGACGGGCCAGUUAAAUUGCAAUUCACAACCAAGCCGAUUUUAAUGGAAUUCAUUUGAUGUGGACAUGUUACUAGUGAACAAAAAAUGGUCAUACGCCUAAAUGCAAUGUGCAUGCAAAAUUGUGUGAUAUCAGUAUUUUGUUAGAAGGGUCAAAUAAUGUCAUUGUCAACAAAUUCAAUCCCAAAGUUUUUUGUGAAACGUCUGAGAUUUUUGACCAUGUACUCUCGAGAUUUUCCCUCUAGUUUUGCCUUCUCAAGUGAAUUUUUCACAGAGAGAGAGAGAGAGAGAGAGAGAGAGAGAGAGAGAGAGAGAGAGAGAGAGCCUAAGUAAUGAAUGGGCCAUGUGCAUUUAAAGGCAUAUGUUAGACUUCAAUUGCUAGAACAAUCAAAUCUUCCGCUCAUUCCAAGUUAUCACACGUCCUAGGGCCUCAACAUUUGGAACUUCUUCUAUUGGCAAAGAAAAAGGCUUGACAUGUUCUUGUUCGCAAUUGUUAAUAAAAAAUUAAUUUUUUUUUAAAAAAAUAUAAAAAUUGUCCACUAAAUUUGUAUUGUAAGAAAGCGUUUUGAUAAUAUAUAUAUAUAUAAGAAACAAGUUAUCCCAAAUUAGAUUAAAUAACGAUGUGUUGUAACAAUAUAGAUUGAAUUAGGUAUGGGUCAAGAAAUUUGUAUUAUAGAUAAAGGGAUCAUAAAUAGAUUAGUGAGUCAAUUUGGAUCGGACCAUUCAUGACCAGACCAAACCCACAUGUUAGACCAAACCCACCUGUUUGACAGGUCUAAGUGCCACAUAUAAUUUAUUGCAGCCAAAUCUUUUCUAGGAUUAAAAGUUGUACCAUGAACAAUUUUUUAAAAAAGCAUUUGGAAUUGAGAAAAUAAAAAAGAAAUAUGUAAUGUAUGUUAUGUUUUUAUCAUUUUUGUCCAAUUGUUUUGCACCAAUCUAUAAUUAAAACUUCUUUCUAGUCUAUAUUGGCGAGAUGACUGGAUAUGCAUUAAGAAUUAUCUCUGAACAAAAAUUUCCUAAUAAUUGGGAUAUCAUUAAAAAGUUCAAAAAACUACUUAUUUAAAUUAAUAAAUUAUCUAUUGGAUGAACUAUCCUGACUUAAAUAUUGAAUAAGAUUGGACGAACAUAGAUGACUCAAAAUGUGUCAAAUUAAGAUAGCAUUAGCAGACAAGAUCUUGAUACCAAUGCUAGGAAACAUGCUUUGUCAAAUUUAUGUCAAGAAUUAAUAAUUAAUUGUGCGUUGAAUUUUAGGAUUUAGGUUUUAGAUAUAUAAAAAACAUAUUUAAUAUAUUUACGAAUCAAAUUGCGUUUGUCUUGUGUUAAAAAAAAAUGAAUCUCGUAUUGUGCAUUGUAAUAUAUCAUGUUUGUCGUUUCAACUGUUGCUUAUCAAGUAUGUAAAUUUUCUCAACCAAAACAAGUAUGUGAAUUUUACUUUUGGGCAAUUGCUUAAAAGUAAGAAAAAUAUCAUUGAAAGGUAAAGAGAAAAAAAGCUUGAAAGUGGGAAUAGAAAGUGGGAGUAAGAUUCUCUCCCUCAUACAUGGUCAACAACAAAUAAUCAACCCACGCAUUUUAAUGCCUUCGAUGUUGCCAUUAUUGGUAAAUAAACUUCUUUAUCCCUGCGACGAUAAACGUACGAUGAACAUCUUAGAGGUAGAAGAGAGUUGGACUCAUGCUUUAGGAAGCAAGAAGCCAUUCACGGUAAACCCUCCAUGGACACAAAUGGUUUGCCCCGUAAUGUAAGAGGCCGCCGGCAACCACAAGAAGGCCACCAACGGCGAAACCUCCUUCGGCUCUCCGAUGCGACCGAGCGGUGUCCUUGCUAUCGCCUCCUCGUGGAAUUUCUCAUUGCCGAGUAGCUGCUAUGACGGAUGAGUUAAUGUUAGAUCACGAUGGCAAAGGUGAUGAAGAUUUAUGGGGUGAACUAUUUUCGAAGAGGAUAGGAAAUUUUAAGUCUUGGUAAAUUAAAUUACAUGGUCGGUGAGUGGGCUGCCUAUGAAAUAAGGUGCAAUAGAGUUGCUUCUUAUGUUGUCUUUAGCCCAUUCGCAAGCCAGAUUCUUGGUCAACUGGUUCAUUGCUCCAGUCAAUGAGUUGAGAAAAUAAGAAUAUAACUUGGCUAAGCUUGAACCAACCCCAAAGUGAUGCUCGAAAGUCCACUCUAGGGUCACUCAUUACUGUGUUUUGCAGCCAAGGGAUUUGACUAUGUAAGGCCCAGAUAUAUAGCCCACAGGCCUGAUUGGUUUGGUAAACCGAUCACUUGAGAAAAUUAGCAGUGAUUAGAGUCAUAAGUCCAUAAUUUGGAUGCCUUCUCCAUGACGGACGGUGAAGUGUUCGUCUUCAUCGAUAUCUCAGACAAUCUUUCUCAUCUCUUGCCUGCCCCUUGAUCUUGAGAAUCCAAGUGAAACUAUCCAUAGUGUUCACUUUAUCACUAGAUUGAGAGAUCAACGUAAGUGUUAUUCUAUUGGUUGCUCGAGAAUUCACUUGCUCAUCUUGAAAAAUAGUACUUAGAUAUUAUGGGAAAAUGCUACGUGAGAAAUUAAAUAUGAAAAAGAUAUCAUACAAAGAUAUAACAUCAUUGUCAUGCCAUAAUUUCGCAAUACAUUGACACUGUUCUAAUGAUAAAAUCAAUUGUCCCUGCGAUGAAAAUUCACGAAGUAGCGUCUUACAGGCAAAAGAAAGUUGGGCUCAUGCUCCAAGAAACAAGAAGCCAUUCACGGUAAACCCUCCAUCGACACAAAUGGUUUGUCCCGUUACGUAAGAGGCUGUCAGCAUGCACAAGAAGACCACCAAUGAUGACACCUCCUUGGCUCUCCAAUGUGGCCGAGCGGCGUCCUUGCUAUCACCUCGUCAUGGGACUUUUCGUUACUAACCGACUACGAUAACAUGAGUUCAUGAUGAUGGAUUUAUGAGAUGGGCUUAAGGCCCGUCCGCCCAUGCUGGGCCCAAAAGGCCCGGCCCACGGGAAUAGGGCCCGUGGAAGGGGAAGGUAUAAAAGGGAGGAGAGAGAGAGAGAAGACAUUGGUUGGAAAAACAGAUGUACGUACGCUUUUCUCCUGCGCGCGUUCUCUCUCUCCAAAAGACAAAAAGAACAGUAAGGCAAAUGGCACUGUUUUCCCUUCAAUUGACAUCAUCAGAUCAGAAUUUCUUCCUCUUCUUCAGCAUCGGUGUCUAAUCUGUGGCUAACAAGGUACGCUCGAAUCCGUGGUGUGCUUUACGAUCGGUGAUACGUGUUAUCCCGGGCUUCGUCUUCCGCAUUGAUUUAGGGGUUCGAUUUAGUGUCGAAUCCGGUUUUCGGGGAUCAGUAAUUCCCAACAUUGGUAUCAGAGCCAGGUUCACGUUUUUCCCGAUCAAUUUGAUGUUUUUUGCUUGAUUUUUCGCAAAAAAAAUUUCGGCCGUACGGAUCGGGGCGAGAAAUCCCGACACCCGAGCAUUGUUCGGCCAUUUUUCUGAGUUUCAGUAAGUCGGAAUCAAAUUUUGAAGGCACUGGGUGAAAGGCGACGUCGAGACGAGUCCGGUGACAUGUCGUGCGUCACCGGACGACGCCGCACGCGCCCACACGCGUGGCCACAAGCCGCUGCGCGUGUGCGCCACGCGCCCAAAGCGCUGGCCAUGGCCAGCGCGUGCGCCACAUGCGCCGGUGACGAACCGGCACGUGCGCGCCAGCGACUGGCGAAACGGCACGCGCCGGUCGGCGAACCGACGUGUGCUAACGUCACCCGAUGACGUCAUCGUGACGUCACCCAACGGUCGAUAACCGUCGGAAUGACGUCAUUGAUGACGUCAGCGCCGACGACGGUUGGCCGGCCGGCGACCCGACCCGACGGCGACCAACCCGACCCGAUCAGCCUAGCGCAUGCCGUGCACGUGCAGCUGACGUCUGCGUGACGUCAGCACGCUCAUGCGCGAGGCACGUGCCGGCUGACGUCUGCGUGACUCAGCCAACGCACGCGCGAGGCAUGUGCGGUCGGUUCGUCCGACCGGUCCUCCGACCCGCGCGCCCGUUGACCCGACCCGUUGACCGUUGACCGUCGACCGACCGUUGACCCGUUGACUUUGACCGUUGACCCGAAAAAAAGAAAAAAAAAGAAAAAAAAGAAAAAGGAAUUUGUUUCUUUUUUCAUUUAUGUCUGUGUGGGUUGUAGGUAAUCCAUUUUUAUUCUGCAUUUGUUGCAUGAAUCAUGGAAAUUUAUGUAUUUUCCAUUUUGUUAUUAUGGAUUAUAAGUGAUCCAUUUUAGUUCUGCAUUUGUUGCAGGAACUAUGAUGCGUUAUGCACGGAUACUUGCAAUCCCAAGAAUGGAUGAAGGAAGAGCUAGACUGAAAAGGCUGAUGAAAGAGUUAGUUGAUUAUCGGUGGCUUGAUGGUGAUUUAGUAUUACACAUGGUCAAGGUCAAUCAGAUGAUACAGGAAAUCAUCUGGAAUGGUUAUCUUAUGCCGGACUUUGAGAAGGUGCCGGCUUUGAUGAACACUCUUCCACCUGAAUGGCAAGCAGUGUUAGAUCGGCUAUGGGAGGUCAACGUGGUCCCGGGUUAUAGGAGGCUGGUGGAAGCUUUUGUAAGAGAGCACUAUAAGAUUGAGUUAACCAAAACUUCAACCCUUAGGUUGAGCGCCACAUGGCGCAGAGUGAAUGCGCCUUGGUGGCGACAUGAAUGCUCUCCAAAAGUUUUUCCAUGGUUGGCAAAUGUGCCUUUAGUUUUCUCAGAUGUUUUUGACUGAUAGAUUAGAAUGGACAUUCCCUAUUUAUUUCUUUGAUUAAUUAUGUAAUGCUUACUACCUGAUUGUUGUUGAUGUAGCAACCGAUAUGUUAGUUGUAUCAUGUGAAAGCAUUGUUAUUUUAUUGGAUGUUAGAUUUUAUCUGCUUUCUGUUAUUGCUGAUUGCUGUGGGUAAUUAGUUGUGGGUAGUUUAGAAGUUUUUGUAGCUUCAUAGAAUUGAUUUUGCAUAUGACAAUCAUAUUAAUGAUAGUUUUAAGUUAGGAUUUUUGGAGGAUGAUUGGAAACGUAGUGACCUUUUGAUUCUGAAACCUUACUUGAAAUUAUUCAUUGAUAUGAUGGGUCUGUGCAAAUAGGGAUGCAUAAAUGAUAGGCAUUAAUUAUUCGUGCAUGUAUGUCUGAUGUGUUCAGAUCGAUGUUUUCAGCAACUAAGAACGUAAUUGCUGAUGUAAACGGCAGCAAUUGUGAAAUAUUGAAUAUGAAGAUUCAAUAUGUGCUGAAAAAGCAAGAAGCACUAGAAGCUCUUGACCAUGUUAUGGAAGAUCUUGAGGAUGCUGUGCGCCACCUUGAGCUGGUAGAGGACCGCUUGACGGUAUGUGAGCCGAAAAUAGAUACUUUCAAUGUUGGUUCUAGCUCAGAAAGAGCUUUGUGCUAGAAGCGCAAACAUAUUGAUUCGUUCAAUAUGUGGGAAUGCAAAGGAUCAAGUCCUUAUUACAAGAAAUCAAGAGUUAACCAACACAAGAGAGGAAAACGUCCUCAAGUGAAGAAAAUGUCAAGGGUGAAAUGUUACAAUUGUGACAAGAGAGGUCACUAUGCUUGCAACUGUCGUGACCCAAAGAAGGCAUACACCUCUUGUACAUUUGAGAACUUUGCUUAUGUGUCAAGUUCUGCAUUAUAGGCUGAAUCCAAUCCUUUGUGGAAUGUAGAUUCAGGAGCGACAGACCAUGUAGCAAAGGAUAGAGGAUCCUUCAUGGAAUUCCGACGAUACCAAUUGGAACUAAGUGGAUCUAUAUUGGAAAUAACUCCAGAGCUGAAGUUAAAGGGAUUGGCACCUGCCAAUUGAACAUGCGUGGUGGACGCAACUUGUUCCUACAUGAUGCUCUAUAUGCUCCGGAGAUUCGUCGAAAUUUUAUGUCUGUUUUGGCGUUGGUUAAGCUUGGUUUUUAAUAUGAACUUCCAUAAUAGAUGUGUAGAUUUGUAUUUGGAUACAAACUACUAUGAUUUUGGUCACUUUCUGGAUGGUUUUAUUGUACUAAAUGUUGACUGUGGUGAUGUCAAUAUGUUAUUCCCUCGUUUCACGUCUUCUACUUUAUAUGAUAAUGAUGUGAAUAUGGUGGCAUGCUAGACUUGGUCAUAUGGGCCAACAACAUAUGAAAAGACUAGCCAAAGAGGGCUUGUUGGGCAAUAUUGAAAAAGUCGAUUUGCUUAUAUGUAAGCAUUGCCUGGAAGGGAAAACGACAAGGAAACCAUUUGGAAAAGGUAAAAGAGCUUAAUUUCCUCCGCAUUUAAUCCAUACUGAUAUCUGUGGUCUAAUGAAUGUGAAAGGAAGGCAUGGGGCUGUUUAUUUCAUCACUUUUAUAGAUGAUUACACUCGAUUUGGAUAUGUCUAUUUGAUUUCUCAUAAAUCUGAAGCAAUAAGUUGUUUCAAAAGGUUUAUGAACCUGGUAGAGAAUCAAUUAGACAAGAAAAUAAAAGCAUUGAGAUCCGAUCGAGGUCGAGAAUAUUUAUCUGAUGAGUUCAGAAAAUUAUGUGAUGAAAAAGGAAUAGAAAGACAGUUGUCUAUUACAUAUACUCCUCAACAAAAUGGUGUUGCGGAGAGAAGAAACAGAACCCUACUAGAAAUGGUUAGGUCCAUGAUGGCGCAUGCUAACUUGCCUAUCACCUUUUGGAGUGAUGCAUUGUUAACUGCUGCGUAUAUACUUAACCGGGUGCCUUCCAAAUCAAUUACUUCCACUCCAUAUGAGUUAUGGACGGGUAGAAAACCGGACUUAAGUUUUCUUAAGCCAUGGGGUUGUGCUACCUAUACACAUGAGUCCUCUCACAAGUUUGGGAAACUGGGUCCCAGAGGAAAGAAGAGUAUUUUUAUAAGGUACUCUGAACACUCGAAAGGAUAUAUGUUCAUAGGUGAGCAGGAAAGUGGGAGUAUAACUGAGUUUGAAUCACAAAAUGUCACAUUCCUAGAGGAUGAAUUUCCUAAGAAGGGUGAAAUAGGGGAAGAUUGUUCCCUAUUUGAAACCUUGGAUCAAGAUAAUGACCUUAGUGGACUUCAUCCAAGUGGGAGCAUAAUGGGGAAUGAUGUGCAAAGUGUACAAUCUCCCAUACGGCGAACAAGUCGCCAAAGUAUUCCUCGUUGACGUUUUGACAUUGAAGGGGAGACUUUUAUGGUUGCUCCACAAGAUGAGGAUGAGCCAAGAAAUAUUAAUGAGGCUCUGAAUUGCCCUAGUAAGGAAAAAUGGAUUAAUGCAAUGGAAGAGGAAAUGGAGUCAAUGAAAUCAAACCAAGUCUGGGAACUGGUUGAUCUACCAAAAGGACGCAGAGCUAUUGGGAACAAAUGGGUUCUCAAAAUAAAGCGAAAGGCUGAUGGCUCGAUUGAAAGGCAUAAGGCUCGCCUUGUGGCGAAGGGGUAUAAUCAACAGGAAGGAAUUGAUUAUGAAGAUACGUUUUCUCCUGUAGUGAGAUUUACCUCAAUUCGCAUUAUUCUGGCAAUAGUGGCUAGUCUGGAUCUUGAAUUACAUCAAAUGGAUGUAAAGACUGCUUUCCUCAAUGGAGAAUUAGAGGAAGAAAUAUAUAUGGAACAACCUGCUGGUUUCAUAGUGAAAGGCCAAGAAGAAAAAGUAUGUCGACUUUUGAGGUCGAUAUAUGGUCUUAAGCAGUCAUCAAGACAAUGGUAUAUACGUUUUCAUAAUGCCAUAAUGGCAUAUGAUUUUACAAUGAUUGAUGAGGAUCAUUGUGUAUAUAUCAAAAGAUCCAAGGAUCAAUUUGUGAUCAUAUCAUUAUAUGUUGAUGAUAUACUAAUUGCCGGAAGCAAUAUGGAGUUUGUUAAGACCGUCAAGAGUUGGUUGUCUUCCAACUUUGAGAUGAAGGAUAUGGGUGAGGCUGCAUACAUUCUUGGAGUUAAGAUUUCAAGAGAUCGCUUGAAGAGAUCGUUGUCUCUUUCGCAAGAAACUUAUAUAAACAAAGUUCUAGAACGGUUUCAUAUGCAAGAUUGUAAACCCAUAGACACUCCUAUUGCAAAAGGUGAAGGAUUGAGCCAUAGACUGUGUCCAAGGACUCCACAAGAGAAGGAACAAAUGAAACAUGUUCCUUAUGCAAGUGCUGUUGGGAGCUUGAUGUACGCUAUGAUGUGUACAAGACCCGACAUAUGUUUUGCAGUUGGAAUGGUGAGUAGAUACCAAUCCAAUCCAGGUCCAGCACAUUGGAAAGCCGUUAAGAGAAUACUGAGGUAUCUGAAGGGAACUGCUGAUUACAAGUUGAAUUACCAAGGAAAGGAUCUGCGACUUGAAGGCUAUUCAGAUGCUGAUUGGGGAGGAGAUUUAGAUAAAAGAAAAUCUACCUCAGGAUUUGCUUUCUUAUUGAGCAAUGGCGCCAUAUCAUGGAGUAGUAAGAAGCAAACAUGCAUAGCCUUAUCCACAAUGGAAGCUGAGUUCGUGGCAUUAUCAGCAGCAGUACAAGAAGGAGUUUGGCUUAAGAGAUUCUUGGAUCAUUUAGGUGUUAUUGAGAAAGCUGCAAAUCAAUUAUUGAUUAACUGUGAUAGCCAAGCAGCUAUAGCGUACACCAAAGAUCCAAAGUAUCAUGGCAAGACCAAACAUAUAGAUACCAAGUAUAACUUUGUAAAAGAUAUGGUUGCACGAAAGGAUGUGAACUUACAGUACAUAUUCACGCAUAGAAUGGUAGUAGAUCCUAUGACAAAGCCAAUACCUAGAGAUGUGUUUUGUGGUCAUGUAAAAUCUCUAGGAUUGCGUAGAGUCUGAUGUACUGAAUUGUAAUUUCCCUGAGUUGUUCACAUUUAUGAAAUUUUGUUUUUCAUUGAUUAAUGCCUAUGAAUCUUUGUAUGAUCUUUAUGCAUCUUAAUACUUAGUGUAUUAUUUUAAGUUGAGAAGUAUGUCGGACAGAUAAAAGAUUAGCCCACUCACACGGGUAAUCGCUUCUGUUUACUAUGUGAUAAAUAGAGAUGAGACUGAUUUUAAAUUUAUUAUCUAUGUGAUAAUCGAGAGCUCAAGCUUAAAAUACGUAUGUCGCCUUAACUAAGUGUUAAGAUGAGGACAUAAUACUUACGAUGUCCGAAAGUAAAAUACCCACAAUCUGUCUAUGAUGCCAAAUGUGAGUUCUGAUGAAUUUUGUGAUUGAGUAGAUAUGUGAACUCAAGUUAGACAUUAGGUAUGUCUAAACUAUCAUCUGUACGGUAUUGAAAAGUGCAGAUAUACGCUCCAUGGGAAAGGAGUUAAUACCGUAAUACAUAUUUCAUAAUACGUAUGCAUGAGACGACCAAUAAGAGUGGCAAAAAGUUUGAUCUCAACUUUUAUGACGUGUGAGACUCUUGAGGAAAAGAGUUCAUCAAUUUUUUAGUCCCCUCAGGACUCUUACUUAUUCUCAAGAUUUCUAUUUAGUGUUUGCUAUCUUAGGGUGUUGCCAAUGGUCAUCAAUGGUCAUGAGAUGAUUCGAUCUAAUGGGGCAUUUCUAGAAAAGCAAGCUGGACUGAAAUUGAGAGUUUGAAGGAAAGAGGAGAAUCACAUUGUAGUUUUUGUAUUCACCGGUUAACCAAUUAUGACUGUCUUUGUGAUAAUCAUAAUUGUGAAUACAAUAUAUAUAUAUAUAUAUAUAUAUAUAUAUAUAUAUCAUUGUUUAAAAGAGAUCAAAAGAGAUAUAAAUGUGAUCGAUCGAUCUAAGGUACUGCAUACUAAAUCUACUCAGAGUGAAAUGCCCAUUAUGAGCUGCUAUAUAUUCCUAACAGAUGUAUGGCAACGAGCUCUCAAAGUAUGCUGGUUGCACGGAUUAUUCACCGGUAUGAAUGUUGAAGAGAGGAAAAGAGGAUUCUGUUCGGCCCAUCAUGUUAAGUGAGAGUCUAUGAUGGAUUUUUCUCUGAUGAGGCUGAGUAGGGCCUGUCCGCCCAUGUUGGUUUUGGACCACCAUGUGCGAGUGGGAGAUGAUGGAUUUAUGAGAUGGGCUUAAGGCCCGUCCGCCCAUGCUGGGCCCAAAAGGCCCGGCCCACAGGAAUAAGGCCCGUGGAAGGGGAAGGUAUAAAAGGGAGGAGAGAGAGAGAGAAGACAUUGGUUGGAAAAACAGACGUACGUACGCUUUUCUCCCGUGCGCGUUCUCUCUCUCCAAAAGACAAAAAGAACAGUAAGGCAAACGGCACUGUUUUCCCUUCAAUUGACAUCAUCAGAUCAGAAUUUCUUCCUCUUCUUCAGCAUCGGUGUCUAAUCUGUGGCUAACAAGGUACGCUCGAAUCCGUGGUGUGCUUUACGAUCGGUGAUACGUGUUAUCCCGGGCUUCGUCUUCCGCAUUGAUUUAGGGGUUCGAUUUAGUGUCGAAUCCGGUUUUCGGGGAUCAGUAAUUCCCAACACAUGUCAUAUCAUGAUGACGAACCUGAUCAAGAUCUAUGUAGUGAUCUGUUUUCAAGCACGAGAGAAAAUUUACAGCCUUAAGAGAUAAUCUUACAGGCUCGGCUUGUGGGGCCAUUAUGUGCCAAGGUGCAAUAGAGUUGCCUCUGAUAUUGUCCUUAGCCCAUUCACAUGCCAAAUUCUUGGUUAAUUAAUUCAUUGCUCCUAACAAUCAACUUGGAGAAAAAAAGAGAGGAAUUUUUUAGCUCCAUAUGAAAAAAGUUCAGACAGUUAGUUAUGAUAAUAUUAACUUACCUUUGGUUGUCGAGCAAAUUUGUCCAACAUUCAUUGAAACAACGCCGCAAACAGAUGACAAUAACACAAUGCUUUCGGCUUUUGAGGCCUUGAGAAGGGGAUGCACGAGUUGACUUAGACAGUAAGCUGAUUCGAAGUUAGUUGUCAUGAUAAAUGAAAAAUUUUCCGUUGUUUAUUCCAUGGUCAGCUUUGCUCUGUUGGUUUGUUGAUCUACCACACAAACCACUCCCAAUAAAAUGAAAACCAAGUACCAAAUCUAUUGAAAGAAAUGCACAAAUUACGACCUUGUUAUUGAUGUUGUAAUCGGAUCCAUAGGAUCAGACUUACUAGGAUUUUGAGCUUCUUGUCAAAGAGGGAGGACACAGUAAGCAUCAGCUUCUCUUGCUCCGAUCAUAAGGAAAAAUCACAAGUCGAACCCGCCACCCGGAAACCCUUUCUCUUCCAAUCUUUCAAGCAUUCAUGAAUAUCCGGCUGCAUUUCUGGAACAGAUAUACACGGUGGCCCCAAGCCUCGCUGGCUUCUCGACAAUGGCAUGCCUAAUCAUGGUACAACAAUAUGACUAUUAAGCCUUAGUACAUGUCAUACCUAGGAUUGUUAUGAACAGGCCAUUUUAGCAACGCAAUCCUCGAAGUAAUUGACCUCUCUUUUAUGUCCCUCGUCAUUUUCAUCGAUCAAGUUUUAGAUGGCGAUUAUAUAGAUUUUCUAGCUUAUUAUUUAUAGAAUCCAACAUUACUGAAUUUAGAAGAACCUACUAUCUCUUGGGGCAAGCCUAGCUGAAAACGAUUUUAUCAAGCCUAGACAGGCUUGAGCCGGGCUACUAAACCCAUUUGUGCUAUUACUAGUUAAACAUUAUAUGAGGGAUGCAAUGGCCGAAAAUAGCAUCAAACGCCUUUUAACCUGUGGCUCCAUGGUGGUGAGCUUUGCAUAAGCUUUUUGAUGUAUAUGAUACAGCCUGCACAUUGUCAGAAGUUAUGUACGCAAAAUUUCGGGCCUAAGCCAUAAUAGCCCGGAUUAGACUUGGCCAGAGUUAUUUAGCCGGGCUAGUAUAUAAAGGACUGAUCACCCGGCCAAGAAAUUCUAGGCCAUAUUUGUUCUCAUAGGACCAAAAAGGUACCUCGACGUUCGGAUUGCCUAAUCCGUACACAAUUCUACUGUCACACACAUUAUUAUGAAGAAAUAAGAUGCCAUAAUUGACAGUUUUCAGAUGCCUAUUCAUCAUGUUUGUUCCUCCAACCUAAACCAAAAUAGUCAAUCGAUUAUCGAAAUCAACAUUGCAAAAGAAUGAGGUGUUUGAGUGAGAGAGAGAUUCGAUUCCAUUAGUUCCACCAGUGACGAGAGCGCUCAUUCCGGGAAGCGACCACCUGUUGUUGUUGUUGUUGCGCUGCCACAUCUCCUUGCCGUUUCACUCCCCUCAGGAGCCCUUCUCUUUCUUUCUUUCUUUCUUUCCAAUUGUUGAUGGCGCAAAGGAAGAUUGAUGACACUUCCCAAUUGUUGGCAUCUGGGUCAUUCCUCUGAUCGGGUAUUGCAUACUCUCGAUAUGACUUUAAGUUAUGAUUCCAAUUGCUGUGAUCCUUGUUAUUAUGCUAAGUAGCAUAGGUUACAUUUUCCACAUAGCACACAUAAAUCAGAAUAGUUAUUUUAUUUAGUUCAUUCGGAUAUUUGGGGGAUUUCUCCAAUUGACUCUAAGGAGGGGUUCAAGUAUUUUGUUAUAUUUAUUGACGACAAAUCUCGAGCUACAUGGCUUUAUUUGCUUAAAUCCAAAAGUGAAGUUAUGACCGUGUUUCAAGAUUUUUGCAAUUUGGUGAAAAAUCACUUUUAACACUGGUGAAAAUUCUUUGUCUAGACAAUGGAACUGAAUAUACCAAUCAAGCUUUUCAAGUGUUCCUACGUGGCUUGAGAGUCAAAACUCUUGCACGGGAAGUUCAUAGCAAAAUGGAGUUGCGAAAAGGAAAAACAGGCAUCUGCUUGAGCUUACCUGAACAUUGUUAUUCUUAGGAAAUUUACCCAAGACAUAUUAGGUGGAUCCAAUCCUUACUAGUUGCUACUUAAUCAAUUGUUUGCCUAGUAAGGUGUUGGGUAUAAAGUUUCAAUUGAAAGUCUGUAUGGUCCAAAAUUUGGUAUCUCUCACCUAAGAAUUUUCGGACGUGUGUGUGUUAUGUGCAUUCUUGAUCUAGUGACAAGCCGGAUCCAUGAGCUCGAAAGUAUGUGUUUGUAGGAUACUCGAAUUUCAAGAAGGGAUAUAAAUGCUAUGAACCAAGUACUGGACGUGUUUAUAUAUCUUGUGAUGUUUUCUUCAAAGAGGCUUACAUAUAUAUUAGGGAAUCAAAUUUAGGGGGAGCAAGGUGACUUUUCUGAAUUUUUGCUUCAUGUCCUACCUAUCAGGAAUUCAAUGUUGGAUCAAGAGGAAGUUCCAACAGUGGUUGUUCAAGGGAGUCAGCUAGUCCCCAAUGUCGUUGCCAUUCCUGAUGUAGUUGCCAUUACAACAUAUGCAACUGAUUUGGAAGUUAGGGCUAAAUAUGCAACAGAGAUAGCUCCAACGGAUGUUGCAUCCAUUAUCUUAGCCCCAACCCACAAGUCAUCAUGCAUUCCAAGGCCUUCAACGUCGCUAAGUGAUUUUUCAACAUAUCAUAUUACUCAGCAUCCCAUUUAGGAUUUUAUUAGGUAUGAUAGAUUUUCUCAUAAUUAUUUAAGUUUCUGAUUUGCCAUUAAAAAUCAAAAGGAACCCAAUACCUUCUUGGAAGCAUGUAAAAGAAGUGUGGGUGAAUGCCAUGAAAGAUGAGCUUUAGGCAUUGGAUCGUAACCAUACUUGGGAACUUGUUAAGUUGCCAAACAGGAAAAAGACAGUUGGAUGCUGGUGGAAUUACAAGAUCAAAUACAAUACUAAUGGUUUGGUUGAGAGGUACAAAGUUCGGCUUGUCGCAAAAGGGUAUACUCAAUCCUAUGGGAUAGACUACAAGGAAACAAUUGCUCUUGUGGUGAAAAUGAACAUUGUUCGUGUCCUUGUACCUGUAGCAAUUAACUGUAGGUGGCCAUUGUUUCAAAUGGAUGUGAAUAAUGCCUUCCUCCAAGGGGGACAAUGUUCAUAUGGAUAUCCCUCCAGGACAUCCCUUAGAGAAUAAUAAGGGAAUGGUUUUCAAAUUGAAGAAGGUAAUAUAUGGUCCCAAGCAGUGGCCUAGAGCAUGGUAUGGCAAAUUGAGUUCCGCACUCGAUAGAUUUGGUGUCAAAAGGAGCGUGACUUAUUUUUUCAAUGUUUACUAAAGCAAUUGGUGAAUGUAUUGUUGUUAUUCUAAUUUAUGUUGAUGAUCUUAUUAUUACUAGCAAUAACUUAAUGGGUAUUGCAGAACUUAAACAGUUGUUGAGCAAAGAGUUUGACAUUAAAGAUCUUGAAAAAUUGAGGUAUUUUUUGGGCAUAGAGGCAGCAAAUUCUGACAAAUGUAUGUUCUUGACUCAAAUGAAAUGUAUCCUAAAUCUACUGAAGGAGAUUGGUAAGUUGGGUGUUUAAAUUGCUAGCACUCCUAUGGAUUACAGCAAUAAGACUGUGUCUAAGGAAACACCAUUACAAGAUACUGGGCAAUUUCAGUGUUUGGUAAGGAGAUUGAUUUACCUAACUAUUACUAAACCAGACAUUACUUAUUCUGUCAGCUAUGGGCGUGUUUGUUUAAAAUUGUUUAUGUUCCUUGGAACACAAAUUUUUGUUCUAUUGUUCCGGGGAACAAAAAAACAUAUGUUCACACUUUUGCUCAUAGGAACAUAUUUGAAACAGAAAUAAGAAGUAAAAAAAAAACUUGUUUCUUGUUCUCGGGAACACUUCCGAGAAAUACUUUUUUUUUUCUUCUCAUUUUUCUUCUUUUUUCACUUUCUUUUCUUCUUCUUUUCUUAUUCCUUUUGCCGAUCACCGACCUUGACCAUGGUCAGUGCCGGCGACCUCGCCAGAGCAUCGCCAAUCCUCGGAGAGGCUAAGCCACAACGAGGCUCGUCAACCUGAGCCUCACUGUAGCUCGCUGUGGCUGCACGAGGCUCGGCCUCGCUGGGCCACCUCCAGGAUGGCGUUGCCUGGCAGUGGCUCGAGCGGCCAUGGCGAGGCUUGGCUUCACACCGGCUGGGGAGGCCGAGCCUCGUCGAUGGCUUGGCGAGGCUCGCCUGGCCAAUGGCCUGGCAAGGCUCGUCGGGGCCAGGCUGGCCUCUGGUGAGCUCACUGGACGUCACCCAGCCGAUCGCUGGCCACCGCCGUGGCCAACGACCAAUCAAAGAGAAAAAGAAAAAGGAAAAAGAAAAAAAAUGAACAAUAAAAUAAAAACAUUAAAAAAAUUAAAAGAAACAAAAAAUUAUACAAGUUUACCUAAUAUGUUUAUGUUCUUUUUCUAUUCUAGGAACAGAAAUUUUAUACAGUUACUAAACGUGUUCUUCUGUUAAAAAAUUGUUCUCCGGAACAGAAAUAGUUUUUUUCUAUUUCUGUUCUAAGGAACAAUUUUUGAAUAGAAAUGUUAAAAACGCGCCCUAUGUAAGCCAUUUAUGUAAACACCUACACAAGGGCAUAUAGAGUUGUUAAACUAGCUCCUUCAAUAUCUAAAAGCUUCUUUGGCAAGAGGAACUUUUUUGAAGAAUAAUGGUAUUGUGGGAUUUACUAAUAUUGAUUGGGCUAGGAACCUAAUGGAUAAAAAAUCUACCACAGAUUUUUGUACCUUUAUUGGUGGAAACAUUAUUACUUGGAAGAGUAAGAAGCAAACAGUUGUGGUUAGAUCUAGCACAGAGGCUGAGUACCAAGCCAUGGCUACCGCCACUAGUGAGAUUGUAUGGCUUCAUCUAUUACUUUAAAAAUUGGGCUGCAAUGCCAUGUCUAAGCCUACAAAGCUAUUCUGUGAAAAUUAGGCAACAAUACACAUUGCUUCAAAUCUAGUCUUUCAUGAUAGAUACAAACGCAUAGAGGUCGAUUGUCACUUUGUAAGGGAAAAGGUUCAAGACAAGAUGAUAGAAACACCAUAUAUUUGUAGUAAGGAUCAACUUGCUGAUGUGUUCACCGAAGCUUUAUCCAAUGGAGUAUUUCAAGAUAUGAUGAACAAGUUGAUCUCUAACGAUGUCUUCGCUCCAACUUGAGGAGGAGUAUUGGCAAUAUUGGGGGGAUUUGCGCUCCUAUUCAAGGAAAGGAGAGAUUGUAGGCAAAUUUGUAUAUUGAUAGUUUUCCUAUUUUUUGGGUUUGCUUGUUUCCUUUGUCGUAGCAACCUUGUGUACAAAUUGCAGAAAAAUGUCAUGACAAAAAAAUAAGAGAGUUGAGAGUUUUGUCCAAAGACAUAGGCACAUUGCAAAACCCCUUAAUCCGUGUGUUCUUUUUUGUGAUUGACUUGCUAAAAUUCAACAGGCCUCACUAGCUUGGGACUCUUGGGGACACAACAUUGCAUCACCGUGCCGUCAUUGAGGUCGCCAGGUCAGUGACGGUGGACUCGACGCCAGACAACGAGAAGGAGAAGUGGAGGCACUAGUCCCUCAUUGCCGUGAAGCUAAGACUCUUGGCCAUUGGACUGAAUCUUAAAGCUCGAUGCUCUUUUUGCGACCGCUUCCCUCCUCCUCUAGAAGCAGAGCAAUGGUGAGCGACCCCUUCCCUCCUCCUCUAGAAGCAGAGCAACGGUGGUGAUGCGAGAGGCGGGUGGUGACGCCGAUUUACAAAGACAUUCAUAAAGCGAGGACGACGACGAUGUUUCAAAGGUUUGAAUUGGUUAAGGUUGUGGUGAGGGUCGCUUUGAGAGUGCUGAGUGCUGAAUAAGAGAUGAGAGGUGUGUGCUUUUGACAAAAGAAGAACAGUACAGAAUAAGAAAAAAAAGAAAGUUCAGAAAACUAUAUUAAAUAAAAAAAGGAAACAACAUAAUUUUGCCUACAUCAAAUUACCGACUGUCAAAUAUUUGAGAAUUAAGGUAAAUCGGAGAUGAAUAACCGUCAUGUUACUAUUUUCUAAAAAACUUGACAGGAGUAUUAUAUUAAAAUUUUAUUAAAUAUUCAAGAUUACAUUGGUAAAAUUUAAAAAUUUAAAAUUAAAAUGACAUCUUUAUAAUAGCUGUAUGACUCAAUUAAUUUUUUUUUCAAUAGUGAGAAUAGAAGGUGAGAGUAAAUGAACAUAAAUAGUAGCUUCUACUGUCCCUUAUGUACGAACAAGAAAUUGUCUACCCACACCCGUGAAUGUGCAGAGAUUUUGCCAUUAUUGAUUAAUAAACUUCUUACUAAAGUUGCACUCAUGUUCUAGGAAAUAAGAAGCCAUUCACGGUGAACCCUCCAUCAACACAAAUGGUCUGCCCUGUUAUGUAAGAGGCUGCUGGCAAGCACAAGAAGGCCACUAAAGACGACACCUCCUCCGGCUCUCCGGUGCGGCCGAGUGGCGUCCUUGCUAUCACCUCCUCGUGGAACUUCUUGUCACUAAGUACCUGCAACGAAAUAUGAGUUAACAUCAGAUCAUGAUAGCGAACAUGGUCAAUAUUGAUGUGGUGAACUAUUUUCCAGCAUGAGAGAAAAUUUAAAGCCUUGGUAGAUCAAAUUACAGGCUCGGUUUGUGGAGUUAAUAUGAACCAAGGUGCAACAGAGUUGCUUCUUAUGUUGUCCUUAGCCCAUUCGCAUGCCAAAUUCUUGGUCAACUGGUUCAUUGCUCCUGCCAAUCAAUGCGGAUAGAAAACAAAAAAACAAACGCAAUUUGUUUAGCUCCCUAUUAAUAGUGUUUAGAUAGUAAAUAACGAUAAUGCUAUUACCUUUGGUGGCUGAGUAAAUUGAUCCGACGUUUAUUGAGACAACGCCACAGACGGAUGACAAGAACACAAUACUUCCAGCUCCCGAGGCCUUGAGAAGGGGAUGUGCGAGCUGGCUCAGAUGGUAAGCCGAUUCAAAGUUAGUUGUCAUGAUGAAGGAAAAAUCUUCUGCUGUGUAAUCCAUGGUCGACUUUAAGGUGUUGGUCCCGACGUUGUUUAUCUACCACAAAUAAAAACCGAGAACAAAAUCUAUUGAAAGACAAGCACAAACUGCGGCAUUGUUAUAAAUAUCAUUAUUGGACCCAUAGGAUCAAAGUCGCCUUAGACUCACUAGGAUGUUGAGC
rnacentral:lncRNA from 1 species